GUCGCGCGCGUGUGGAUGUGCCUGCCCAAGGACCGAAGAUGGAUAGUUUUGGAGUCUGAAGAUGCGCCGUUUUGUUCAGUUAUUAUUACUACUACUCUGCUAAGUUUUACUACAAGUUUGGAAAGGGCCUGUCUGGAGAUGUUCGUCCUUGGGUAAAAGACUAUCUUUUUAGUACUACUGUAGCAUUUUGUUGUUGUCUUGUUCCCUAUGUAUGAAGUUGGAGGCAUUUGAAGUUAUUUAGCUGAAGCCUUGAAGGUUGCAACGUCUUAUGUGAGCAGCAUUUCUCAUUCUUGACGUGGUAGACUAGUAAUUUGCAGCCAGUUCUUGUUCUUCAUGUGCGCGUAGGCCGCUGUUUGGGCAAUCAGCAAUCUUCUUUGAAAUGCAAGAUGUGCAAUCGAUUUGUUCCUUGAGGCUUGCCCCCCAUAUGGACGCACUCGUCUCCAACGCCCAAAGUGUUUUCAUAAUGAAGGGGAGGAUCCAUGACAACGUCAUAUAUGUUGGCAAUUUCGCGCGCCGGUUGCACAAACGCAAUAUUUCCACCCUUCUCUUCAAGCUCGACACUAGAAAAGCAUUCAACUCGAUCAAGUGGGAAUACGUCCUUGACUUAUUACAACGCAAGGAGCCCCCUUGCACAUUCUGGAGUUGGAUCGUCGCUCUGCUUUCAUCAUCCUCUUCACACAUCCUCCUCAAUGGGCUUCCGGGCCACCCGAUCAAGCAUCGCCGCUGGUUUCGUCAAGGGGACCCCAUAUCAUCGAUGUUGUUCGUCCUUGCAAUCGCCCUCCUUCAACAAAUCCUCGACAUCGCAACUCGUAAGGGCAUUUUACACAAGAUACGCGGACGCGGCGCCACGAUGAGAACCUCCAUCUAUGCGGGCGGUGCGGACAUCUUCAUGGCCCCAAUUAAGAGGGACAUUGACAACCUCUCAGUCAUGCUAAGGGGCUUCAGCGAGGUGACAGGCAUAUGCACCAACUUCCACAAGAGCUCGGUGGUGCCCAUUCGUUGCAAUCAUCUUCCGCUGGGGCAUAUAUUGAGUAGCAUUCCGGGGACUCGCGCCAUGUUUCCAAUAAAAUAUUUGGGCCUCUCGCUCUCAGUAAGGAGCUUCGGAAAGUCGACUUCCAAUAUCUUGAAGACAAGGCGGCCAGGAAACUGGUCACUUGGGAGGGACAAACCAUCACAACCAUUAGACUCACUGCCCUUGUCAGAUCUGUCAUCACCUCUCAAGCGGUCUUCUCCAUCACGCCUCUCAUUGUGCCGCAGGGCACACUUCAUAAUCUCAACAAGGUUGAGAGGGCCUUCCUUUGGUAUGGUUCAGACGAGAUGACCGAUGCAAAAUGUAAGGUCAAUUGGAAUGUGGUCUACAAGCCUACGAGUUAUGGAGGCCUUGGGGUCCUCAACACCGACAAGUUUGCUCACGCUUUACGGCUAAGGUGGAUAUGGUAAGAAUGGAAGGAUCCUACAAAUUAUGGGUUGGGUUGGGAAACCCUUGCACGAAGGAAGACGUGGAUUUCUUCUAUGCCCCAACCACAAUCAUCGUCGGGAAUGGUGCUAAAACACCUUUUGGGACUCCCCGUGGCUGCUUGGUCGACAACCCAUGGAUGUUGCCCUGCUUAUUUUUAAGCCUAGAAAAGAAAGAGUUGGAAGCUACAGGAAGCCCUACGCGGGAAUGCUUGAUGACCCACAUCAAGCAUGACACUGUUGUCUCCACCGCCCACUUUCGGGAGCUUUUCUCGCUUUGGACACUUCUGCACGACUUCCAUCUUGACGACCAGGUUGAGGACGACAUUGUUUAGAAACAUGUUGUAGAUGGGAUAUACUCGACAGCCACCGCAUAUAAGCGCAAUUCCUUGGUCUGCCACACUCGCCCAUUCACUACAUGGUCUGGAAAGCUUGGGAUCCCCCAAAGGUAAAAUUCCUCACUUGGCUGGCCUCGCAAGAUCGGAUUUAGACUGCAGACUGAUUGGAGCGACGUGGUUGGGAAAAUUGUGGGCAUUGCCCUCUUUUCAAAAGGGAGCAACAAACGGGCAUCCACCUUUUCGUCAAGUGCCGCUUCUCAAUGAUGCUCUGGCAAUCGGUCAUUGACAAGUUUCGUCUUGCGCACAAUGACACAUUGAGGACUCCCUUAUGCGUUGGUGGGACAGAAGAACCGACAUGCAGAACACCGAUAGACGAGCGAUGGCCUCCCUCACCAUGCUCGUCUCUGGGACUCUUUGGAAUGAGAGAAACGCCCGCGUGUUUCACCACAAGAGUGCAUCGCCGCCUAUUAUUCUCCAAAAUGUCAUGCUCGAGGCCAACCUAUGGGUUACAACAGGUACUAACAAACUAGGGUGUAUUGUUGUAUGAGAGUAAUUGGCAUCACACAACAAACUCUUUUCUCCUCUUAUUUAAUGGAUGAGGCAAAUAUUUUGUCCUCGUUUCGGAAAAAAGAUGUGCAACCGCAACUUGUCGAAACUUGAGCUUGGUGUUCUCUCGGGUUGUUUGUUGUGCACGCUCCAGAUGAAGGGCAUCAACACUCGACAAGGUGCGGUGGAGGUGGACCGAGAGAGUCCAGCUGAGCACGUACUCGAGGGUACGACCGCACUACCCGGUGCAACGAAUGCAGAGCACACGACCUGGUAUGUUUGUCACGAAUGGGCCGGUACACGAGUCCGAACUCCAAAGAAAUGUAUGCAUGCAUGCACCGGGUACGUGCAGUGUAUGGCAGACCCUUGUCCAAAUAUCUGAAGACCUAGUGUUCUUUCCCCUGUUCCCGUGUGCCAAAAGCCACAAUAGUCGUUAAAUUGUCAUUCAAUGGCUCACCUUGAAAGAUACCGGUUCACCAAUAAUGACUGCUCUCAUCCCUUGAUUUGUGAUCUGACGGUUGUUAGCUACUCACAGGUCAUUGUUUACUUUUGAACACACCAUGUGCUUUGGUUAGCUUUUCUUCUCUUUCCUUGUGUUGUAAUGUCUAUAAGGCCAACCUCUCCUCAUUUUGGACCAUGUUGACCUGUAUUCGGCUGUAAAACCAAGUUGUGGAUUACGUGCUAAACUACAUCCCCUUUUCCCAACCAAUAGAACCUAGUUUUAGCUCUCAUUUCUCACUGAAAUUGAAUGAUUGAGUAUUAAAUUCAUUACUUUGUAGCCCAGGGCUUGAUAAUUGGUAUCGAGAGCCAGUCCAUUCUCAGCGACGGAGUGAGUUCUAGGUAUCAUAGAGGCCGGGAAAUCGUAAAAUCCAUUGUGACAUGGUCUUCGGUGGCGGCUGCGAGCAUCAGGGAGGCGACCCGAGUGCCGUUGUUCGGGUGUAGUUAAGGCCCCAGCCUGGUUGCCGAAUAGUAAUUCUUCGGUGGUAAAACUCCAGCCACUAAGAUUUGACCACGCAUCACCGACAGCGGGAGUAGGCGGCAGUGCAGCUCCGGUGUACAAAGGUACUUAGAAACCCUCCCUUCCCAACCAUGUGGUUUUAGUCAUGCCGCACCUCGACAAAUCAGGCAACAAGGCAUACCUCUAGCUAGAUUCGCUGGAGCUGGAUGUCAAGAUCCUACAACAAGAGCAUGAUGAAGAUCAAAAGUAGUUCAAGGAGUUCCAAACAAUGCUUAAGAAAUGUUUUGCAACUUUGUAGAAGAACUUUCAAAAAAUCCAAGAUAAUUUCAGACGUUUGCUUUUGGAUCCAGACCAAGAGGAACAAACUAAUGAACUUUCUGCUCAAGGUAGUGUGCAACCAAAAGAUAACAACAACAAAUCACUAGUCAUACUUGUAGGAAGACCGAAGCAGCUGGAACCUUCAACUCCACCUUCAGUGGCACAGCAGAAAAUCAAGUUCCUCCUGCAGCAAGAACAACGACAUUGAGGGAUAUUUCAAGAAAGGAGCUCCAUUUAGAUGGCACUUCAAAAUUCCCAUCCAGGCACCCAAAAUUUGGCAAUUCCAAAGUGGAUCAUACUCAUGCAGGAGGGCGCCAUUACCAAAUCAAACAUAGAUACCUCUAGAUUAACUUGAGGAAUAAGAUUGGUAGGAGGGAAAUGCUAGAACAUAUGAACCUCCUACUUUUGUUGACAGCGGAAGGGUUGUCAAUUAAGCCAACUGAAGUAAACAUAUCUAAAUUUGAAGGAGAUGACCCUAACUCAUGGAUCCGGAAUCUGAAGUUGUAUUUUGUUGCUGCUAGAACUCCAAUUGAGCAUAAAACUAAGUUAGUUGUUUCUUAUUUAAGAGGACAUGUUGUCUAAUGGUGGAGAGAAACUGGGUAUGAUCCUAGCAAUGCCCGUUAGCAUAGAUUUUGCUCUUGUUUAUCUGAAACAUUUGCCCUAGAUUCUGUUUGUGACAUUGUUAGCUCUUUUCAUGCAACACAAAACACUUCUACUGUUGUCCUUUAUUUAGAAUAAUUUGAAAGGCUCAUGAAUGUAAUGAAACAGAAGAAUCCUGCAAUACUAAGUGACUCCUAUGUCACUAGCUUUCUGGCUGGUCUCAGCCCAUAGAUAAGAAGAUAAGAAGCCAUGUGGAGUGGCUUUAACCGAAAGACAUGCAAACAACAGUUUGGUAUGCCAGAAGGAUGCAAAAGUCACUAUUCUAGGAUCACGGAGUUUGAUAUUGGAGGAGGUUAGGAACAGGGAGGACGUGAAAUGCUAUUCCGAACACUAGUGACAUAAAGGUUUAGUACAAAAGUGAAAAGGCAAUCCUUGGGGAUAAAUGAGGUGUAGCCAUUAAACGGCCAAUGCUUUUGAUUUAUUCUUAAUUAUAAAGGUAACCUCACGUGGCAGUAAGGUUUUGCGGUUUGACAACUGACUCUUGAUGCACAUCGUGAAUCGGUUAAGACAUAAUUUGAACCAUCCCUGACUUUGUAUCCUUGCAAGCACAUCUUAACGGGUGUCUUGCAGAGCACUAACUAAUAUCAUUAUGAUCCUGAGCGCAAAUAGUGGUUGUAAGAAUCAAGUCCUCAGCCCAUGGCCAUUUUAGUUAUAUGUGUUUAAACCCUAAGGUUGUUAAGGCCCGACUAUAAAAACAUGAUUUAAUUAUUUGGCAAAGACUUGGUAGAGCCUCUAUCAUAGUAGCCAUCCUCUCGCUAGUUCGAUAAACUUAGGGUCACUCUUGGGGAAAGAGCAGGAAUACCUUCGUUAUCCAAACUAGAUCUUAAAGGGCAUCAUUGCCAUGUUCGACAUCCCAUUCUGUGUUGAGAGUAGCAUUUUGGGCUGGAACUAAAAGAGUGUGGUGCCCUCGUGAUUGAUUUUGGUAAUUAAUGACAAUUCCGAUGGACUAAUGGUUGCUUUGAGUUAUACUUGAAAGUCUAUCCAUAGGCAAUGCUUGAAGACCAUAUGUUGGUUUCAAGGUUGAAGGAAGAAGAUUAUUUGUUGACCAAGGUGUUAUUCGUGGAGUUAUACAAAGAUAGGUCAUGUGACAGUCGAGCCUAUUGCAAGCAUGUAUUGUUGAAGAAGAUUGUGUGAACAUUCAUGUUACCUUCAAGACAUUGUCUUAAUCAAGAAAGUAGGAAAGAUACAAGGUUGAUCAAGACAAAGUGCUAAGAGUGGAUUCAGCUUGAUCAACACACAAAGCAUAAAAUAUGUAAGGGGUGGGAAAUGUGAUCUCAUGGUAUGAUAAGCAUUGUCCAUUAUGCUUUGUGAACUAACCCAAUAUCUACGUGUUCGAUGUUUAUAUCCAGGGUUAGGUAUCUUUCCAUGGGCUUGCAUCAAAAGGAAGAUUUCAUAUAGCCCAAGAGGGGAUGGCUUCAAGGGUGAUAAUCAUCAAGGUGUGGUGCGCAAGUUCAAGAGGAGCAUCGUGAAGAGAUCAUAUGCUUGAAGCUUGCCGACCAUUUGGUGAUAAUGGUCUUGUGAAGAUGUGCGUAAGACUAACUCUUCCAUAGUGGAGUAUGGGGGAGCAAAUUGUGAGUCUUCACCAAGCAUGAGCUAUUAAGAAAGGUGUUCAAACUUGAAGUUGGCAUGAUCGCCAUCAUCUAGCUCAAGUGGAUUAUGUGCAAGGCAAAGGUUUGACCUUGAUAGGUUUUAUAUUUUACCGGUCUCAUAGGAUUGAUUGACGUACUAUCAAGAGGGGCUCUCGAGUGAGUAGCUUGAUCGUAUCGUUCAUAGAGAUCUCAAACCUUUGUAUCUUUGGCAUCAUCUUUCUUGGUUCUUGUUGGUCUUUUAUCUAGGUGAGUUUUGGGGCUUGUGGUUAUGUUCAUGACAAGAUCAAGUUCAUCAAAAACGGAUUUCGUAUGCAUCUUCUAUUUAUGUUUUUAAUGUUGGAGUUUUUCCUGGUUCUUCUCUUAUGUAGGUUUCAAACUUCUACAUUGUUGGCAUUUUACUCUUGCUUAUUCUGAAGAUUCCUAGUAGUGUUUUGACAACUCUUAUUGUUAGCUUUCUAUUAGGCUUGAGUUUGUAAAAAUUUAAGUUCGUUUGAAGAAGUUAUUGUUGUUCUGGUUGUGCUGCUAUCUAAUUAGAGGUAGUAUCAGUCCCUUAAGAGGUUGUACCACUUGUGCAUAAUUAGAGGCAGUGUCGCUUCCUAAGAGGUAAUACCACUUGUGUUGUACUUCCACUGUUGUGCCACAUGUAUUACCGUGGUUUUUUUGUUACCAACCAAUAAUUAGAGGUAGUACCACUCCCUUAGGAGGUAGUACCGCUUGUGCAUAGUUAGAGGUAGUACCACUCCAUUAAGUGGUAGUACCACUUGAGCAUUUCUGAACAUAAUGGUUUGAUUCUCCUUCCCACUAUUUAAUGGGGGCCUUCUUUCCCAUUUCCCCCAACGUUCUUGUGCAAGUUCUCCCCCACCAUUGUUGACCUCUUGGAGCUUGCUUUCUCUCUACUAGUCCCAUGAUUUUUGCAUCUUUUUGAGGGAAAAGAGAGAGGAGAUCUAGAUCUGCAUUUCCAACCAUCCAUCUCUCCUCUAAGUGAUGGGAACCUUGUCUAUCUAGAACUUGGAGUUUUUUGUGUACUCCUUGUUUUUCCUCUCAUAUUCCUCUCUAGCUUUCAUUGCUUUGGUGGGAUUUGAGAAUGAGGCACUUGAGCACUUCGUGUGUUCUUGCCAUUGCACUAGUUGUAUCGGUUUGAGUUCUCCAUGGGUUGAGAAGCUUAUUACUCUUGGGUCUUUGGCACCCUAGAGCUUGUGCCUCUUGGGUGCUUGGGUGCCUUAGACGGUUGGUGGUGUCUUGGAGCUCAAUAAUUUUGGUGUAAAGCUAUGGGCAAGCUUCGGGGUCUCCCAUUAAGUUGUGGACAUUGCCCCAAGCAAUUUGUAUGGGUUCGGUGAUCGCCCCCAAGUAUCGCCAAUUGUACGGGUUUGGUGACCGCACUCAAGGUUCCCUUAGUGGAAUCAUGACACUAAACCUGAGAAUGGUUACUAAAAAAUGGGUGAAACGGUUUGGUUCUUACUUUGGGUUUGAUUGGUUCAGGUUUUAUUGGGUUGAAUCUUUUUUAGUUUGGUUUUGGUUUGGGUAUGUGAAGAAACCAAUUUGGGUAUAGUUGGUUAUGGGCUUAAACAAUUUGGUUAUUAACGGCUGUAAACUAUGGGUCCAAACUGGUUUCUUAUGUGCAAUAACAAGGACGCAUAGACAACGAGUAUCUUUGAUCCGCGUACAUGCUGUGAUGCACUAUGUAAUUCUGUAUUAUGGGGAAACACCACAUGCAAAUCAAAUGUGUUUGCUUGUGCUUUAGCUAAGCAACUAGUUUUAAUACACUGGUCAGUGAGCUUUUCAGUCGUGGGCAUUGUCUUUUUGACUCUUGCUGUGUGUUGACCGUAUCUCGACGAUAACUUUGUUCCCAAACUGUUGUAGAUGCACUUAUGCCUUUUCUAUGUCAUUUGCUUGUUAACAUGUCAAUUUGUGCAAUCAUAUAUACAUUGAAGCAAACCCAUAGUUAUUAUUGGGUUUAAACCCAUGUUUAUGUAUUGGGUUUAAAUUGGUUUGGGUGGAAAAAAUAGAGGGUUUAGUUUUGGUUGGGCUGAAAAUGGCAUUAAACGGGUAUGGUUCAAGUAUGGUUUUGAGAGAUACAUGUACGGGUAUGGUUCAAGUAUGGUUUAAGUAUGAAACCAUUCUCAGAUUUACAUGACACACUGCAUUGUGCGAGGGCGUGAGGAGAAUCCAGUGGCCUAGUGGCAUUUUGGGGAGCAUUCUGCGUCAACACCGCUCUAACACAGAUUAGCACCCGCAAGGGUGUGAACUUCCGAAUACAUCAUCGUAUCCAUGUGCCUCAGUUAUCUCUUACCCGAGAUCUUUACGUGUGCACUUAGUUUGUGAUAGCCUUAGUGCUUCAUGUUAUAUAUUUUAUUAUCACUUAGUUGUUUAUCAUGCUUAGCAAAAGUUGUUAGUGCACAUAGUUGAGCCUUGUAUAUUUAGGUUUUGUCCUUGACAAAAUAAAUGCUAGUUUUAUCCUGCAUUUGUCCAGGCCUUAACGUUGUUUUUAAACCACCUAUUCACCCCCCUCUAGGCGACAUCCACGUCAUUUUAGAAACCUUUGCCCUAUGUUCAGGAUCUCCCUCAUUGCCCAAGCUCAUCUGAAGAUUUUUGAUACACUGACUUUUACUCCCGCCUGAUUCUAUGCCAUCUCCGUCCUUCACUUCCUACUUUUUCAAGGGGCUAUGAGCUGUAUCAUCGAUAUCUUCUUCCUCCCCCAAACCUGCGUCUUCUGAGCUCCAUUUCCUUGGGAUCCUACCAGGAUCACGUCCUCUACCUGAGAAACGAUCCUAUGAGAAGUUCAUGCCAUCACAAGCACCUCCCUCGGAGAUUAUGGGUCUCCCUCCUCUUUUCCACCAGCCAUUUGCCCAUUCUACAUUGUCGGGCGGGUGAACGUCGUCCCCACACUCCUCCAUAUCUGUUGGGGAACGUAGUAAUUUCAAAAAAUUUCCUACGCACACGCAAGAUCAUGGUGAUGCAUAGCAACGAGAGGGGAGAGUGUUGUCUACGUACCCUCAUAGACCGGAAGCGGAAGCGUUGGCACAACGCGGUUGAUGUAGUCGUACGUCUUCACGGUCGGACCGAUCAAGCACCGAAUGUUGGGGAUCGUAGUAGAAAUUUAAAAUUUUCUACGCAUCACCAAGAUCAAUCUAUGGAGUAAUCUAGCAACGAGGGGAAGGAGAGUGCAUCUACAUACCCUUGUAGAUUGCUAAGCGGAAGCGUUGCAAGAACGUGGAUGAAGGAGUCGUACUCGUAGCGAUUCAGAUCGCGGUUGAUUCCGAUCUAAGCGCCGAACCACGGCGCCUCCGCGUUCAACACACGUGCAGCCCGGUGACGUCUCCUGUGCCUUGAUCCAGCAAGGGGAGAAGGAGAGGUUGGGGAAGACUACAUCCAGCAGCAGCACGACGGCGUGGUGGUGAAGGAGGAGCGUGCCAAUCCUGCAGGGCUUCGCCAAGCACCGCGGGAGAGGAGGAGGACUUGGGAGAGGGGGAGGGCUGCGCCAAGACUAGGGUGCGGCUGCCCUCCAACCCCCCACAUAUAUAUAGGGGCAAGGGAGAGGGGGCCGGCCCCUUCAGAUCCAAUCUGAGGAGGGGGCGGCGGCCAGGGGGUUGCCUUGCCCCCCAAGGCAAGGGGGGCGCCCCCCUUUAGGGUCCCCCAAAACCCUAGGCGCAUGGGCCCUAGGGGGGAGGCGCCCAGCCCACUAAGGGGCUGGUCCCUCUCCACACACAGCCCAUAGGGCCCUCUAGGGCAGGUGGACCCUCCCGGUGGACCCCCGGAACCCCUUCGGUGGUCCCGGUACAAUACCGGUAACCCCCCGAAUUAUUCCGGUGACCGUAUGAUGACUUUGCAUAUAUAAAUCUUUACCUCCAGACCAUUCCGGAACUCCUCGUGACGUCCGGGAUCUUAUCCGGGACUCCGAACAACUUUUGGUAACCACAUACAUCUAUUCCCUAUAACCCUAGCGUCAUCAAACCUUAAGUGUGUAGACCCUACGGGCUCGGGAGUCAUGCAGACAUGGACGAGACAACUCUCCGGUCAAUAACCAACAGCGGGAUCUGGAUACCCAUGUUGGCUCCCACAUGCUCCACGAUGAUCUCAUCGGAUGAACCACGACGUCAAGGAUUCAAUCAAUCCCGUAUACAAUUCCCUUUGUCCAUCGGUACGAUACUUGCCCGAGAUUCGAUCGUCGGUAUCCCGAUACCUUGUUCAAUCUCGUUACCGGCAAGUCUCUUUACUUGUUCCAUAACACAUCAUCCCGUGAUCAACUCCUUGGUCACAUUGUGCACAUUAUGAUCAUGUCCUACCGAGUGGGCCCAGAGAUACCUCUCCGUUUACACGGAGUGACAAGUCCCAGUCUCGAUUUGUGCCAACCCAACAGACACUUUCGGAGAUACCUGUAGUGAACCUUUAUAGCCACCCAAUUACGUUGUGACGUUUGGUACACCCAAAGCACUCCUACGGUAUCCGGGAGUUGCACAAUCUCAUGGUCUAAGGAAAUGAUACUUGACAUUAGAAAAGCUUUAGCAUACGAACUACACGAUCUUUGUGCUAGGCUUAGGAUUGGGUCUUGUCCAUCACAUCAUUCUCCUAAUGAUGUGAUCCCGUUAUCAACGACAUCCAAUGUCCAUGGUCAAGAAACCGUAACCAUCUAUUGAUCAACGAGCUAGUCAACUAGAGGCUUACUAGGGACAUGGUGUUGUCUAUUUAUCCACACAUGUAUAUGAGUUUCCUAUCAAUACAAUUCUAGCAUGGAUAAUAAACGAUUAUCAUGAACAAGGAAAUAUAAUAAUAACCAAUUUAUUAUUGCCUCUAGGGCAUAUUUCCAACAGUCUCCCACUUGCACUAGAGUCAAUAAUCUAGUUCACAUCGCCAUGUGAUUAACACUCACAGGUCACAUCGCCAUGUGACCAACAUCCAAAGAUUUUACUAGACUCAAUAAUCUAGUUCACAUCACUAUGUGAUUAACACUCAAUGAGUUCUGGGUUUGAUCAUGUUAUGCUUGUGAGAGAGGUUGUAGUCAAUGGGUCUUGCCAUAUUCAGAUCCCUAUGUAUUUCGCAAAACUUUAUGUCAUAUCAUAGAUGCUGCUACCACAUUCCACUUGGAGCUAUUCCAAAUUGUUGCUCCAUUAUACGUAUCCGGUAUCUCUACUCAGAGCUAUCCGGAUAGGUGUUAAGCUUGCAUCGACGUAACUCUUUACAUCGAACUCUUUAUCACCUCCAUAACCGUGAAACAUUUCCUUAUUCAUCUAAGGAUAAUUUUGACCGCUAUCUGGUGAUCCAGUCCUAGAUCACCUUUGUACCCUCUUGCCAGACAUGUGGCAAGGCACACAUCAGGUGUGGUACUCAGCAUGGCAUACCGUAUAGGGCCUAUGACAAGAGCAUAGGGGACGACCUUCAUCCUUCCUCUUUCUUCUGCCGUGGUCAAUCUUUGAGUCUUACUCAACUUCACACCUUACAACUCAGGUAAGAACCCCUUCUUUGACUGAUCUAUUUUGAACUCCUUCAAAAACAUGUCAAGGUGUGCGUUCUUUGAAAGUAUCAUCAGGCGUCUUGAUCUAUCUCUAUAGAUCUUGAUGCCCAAUAUGUAAGCAGCUUUAUCCAGGUCUUCCUUUGAAAAACACUCUUCAAACAACCAUUUAUGCUUUCCAGAAAUUCUACAUUAUUUCAGAUCUACAAUAUGUCAUCCACAUAUACUUAUUAGAAAUGUUGUAGUGCUCCCACUCACUUUCUUGUAAAUACAAGUUUCUAGCAAACAUUGUAUAAAACCUAAAAGCUUUGAUCACUCCAUCAAAACAUAUAUUCUGAUUCCGAGAUGCUUGCUCUAGUCCAUAGAAGGAUUGCUGGAGCCAGCAUACCUUUUAGCAUCCUUAGGAUCGACAAAACCUUUUAUUGUAUCACAUACAAUUUUUCUUACGAAAACUUGGUAAGAAAACUUGUUUUGACAUCCAUCUGUAAGAUUUCAUAAUUGAAAAAAUACAGCUAGUGCUAACAUGAUUCCGACGGACUUAAGCAUCGCUACGGGUGAGAAAUUCUCAUCGUGGUCAACUCCUUGAACUUGUGAAAAGACUCUUUCCCACAAAUCGAGCUUCAUAGACGGUAACAUUACCGCCCAUGUCCGUCUUCUUCUUAAAGAUCCAUUUAUCUCAAUGGCUUGCCGAUCAACGGGCAAGUCCAUCAAAGUCCAUACUUUGUUCUGAUAUAUGGAUCCUAUCUCGGAUUUCAUGGCUUCUAACCAUUUGUCGGAAUAUGGGCCCACCAUCGCUUCUCCAUAGCUCGUAGGUUCAUUGUUGUCUAACAACAUGAUAUCUAAGACAGGAUUACCGUACCACUUAGGAGUAGUACAUAUCCUUGUCGACCUACGAGGUUAGAUAGCAACUUGAUCCGAAGCUUCAUGAUCACUAUCAUUAACUUCCUAUUCAACAGACAUAGGCGCCACAGAAAACAUCUUUCUGUGUUGCAUCACUCUCUGGUUGAAGUAAAGGUUCGACAACCUCAUCAAGUUCUAUCUUCCUCCCACUCAAUUGUUUCGAGAGAAACUCCUUCUCGAGAAAGGACCCGUUCUUAGCGACAAACAAUUUGCCCUCGGAUCUAAGAUAGAAGGUAUACCCUACUGUCACCUUUGGGUAUCCUAUGAAGAUGUGUUUGUCCGCUUUGGGUUCGAGCUUCUCCGGCUGAAGCCUUAAGCAUCGCCACCCCAAACAUUAAGAAACGACAACUUUGGUUUCUUGCCAAACCAAUGUUCAUACGACGUUGUCUCAACAGACUUAGAUGGUGUCCUAUCUAAAGUGAAGCAGCUGUCUCUAAUGCAUAACCUCAAAAUAAUGGCGGUAGAUCGGUAAGAGACAUCAUAGAUCGCACCAUAUCUCAUAAGGUUGGAUUAUGACGUCCGGAGACACCAUUACCCUGUGGUGUUCCAGGUGGCUUCAACUGUGAAAUAAUUCCACAAUGUCUUAAGUGUUUACCAAACUCAUAAAUCAGAAAUUCUCAUUGACCAGAUCGUAGGAAUUUGAUCUUCUUGUUAUGAUGAUUCUUAACUUCACUCUGAAAUCGCUUGAACUUUUCAAACGUUUCAGACUUGUGCUUCAUUAAGUAAAUAUACCUAUAUCUACUCAAAUCGUCAGUGAAGAUGAGAAAAUAGCGAUAUCCACCGCACGCUUCAAUUCUCAUUGGAUCACACGCAUCAACAUGUAUGAUUUCCAACAAGUCACUUGCCCAUUUCAUUGUACCUGAAAACGGGGUCUUAGUCAUCCUGCCCAUGAGGCAUGGCUCGCAGUGUCAAGUGAUUGAAAAUCAAGUGACUCCAAACAUCCAUCGACAUGGAGUUUCUUCAUGCAUCUUACGCCAAUAUGACCUAAGCGGUAGUGCCACGAGAAAGUGGUACUAUCAUUAUUAACUCUACAUCUUUUGGCGUGAACAUGUGUAUUACCACGACCGAGAUUCAAUGAACCAUUCAUAUAGGGUGCAUGACCAUGAAAGGUAUCAUUCAUGUAAAUAGAACCACCAUUAUUCUCUAACUUAAAUGAAUGACCAUAUUGCAAUGAACAUGAUCUAAUCAUAUUCAUGCUCAACGUAGACACCUGAUAACAUUUAUAUAGGUUCAAUACUAAUCCCGAAGGCAGAUGGAGCGUGCGAUGGUGAUCUCAUCAACUUUGGAAACACUUCCAACAUACAUCGUCACCUCGCCCUUAGCCAGUCUCCGUUUAGUCCAUAGCUUUUGUUUCAAGUCACCAAUAAUAGCAACUGAACCGGUAUCCAAUACCCAGGUGCUACCAGGAGUACUAGUGAGGUACACAUUAAUAACACGUAUAUACCUUGUUGAAGUUUCCAGCCUUCUUAUCUACCAUGCAUUUGGGGUAAUUCCGCUACCAGUGACCGUUCCCCUUACAAUAGAAGCACUUAGUCUCGGGUUUGGGUUCAACCUUGGGUUCCUUCACUGGAGCGGCAACUGGUUUGCCAUCCAUGAAGUUUCCCUUCUAGCCCUUACCCUUCUUGAAACCAGUGGACUUGUUAAACCAUCAACACUUGAUGCUCCUUCUUGAUUUCUACCUUUUGCGGUCUUAAGCACCGCGAACAGCUCUGGGAUCAACUCCAUCCCUUGCAUGUCAUAGUUCAUCACGAAGAUCUAGUAGCUUAGUGAUACUGGCUAGAGAACUCUAUCAAUCACUAUCUUAUCUGGAAGUUUAACUCCCACUUGAUUUAAGUGAUUGUAGCACCCAGACAUUCUGAGCACAUGCUCACUAGUUGAGCUAUUAUCCUCCAUCUUGUUGGCUAAAGACUCACACCUCUCAACACGGGCAUGAGCCUGAAAUCCCAAUUUCAGCUCUUGGAACAUCUCAUAUGUUCUAUGGCGUUUAUAACGUCAUUGGAAUCCCGAUUCUAAGCCGUAAAGUAUGGUGCACUAAACUAUCAAGUAGUCAUCAGGACGUGUCUGUCAGGUGUUCACAACAUCCACAGACGACGUUGUAGGUGUUUGCACAUCGAGCGAUGCAUCAAAGAUGUAAGUCUUCUGUGUAGCAGUGAGGACACUCCUCGGACUACGGACCUAGUCCGCAUCAUUGCUUACAAUAUCUUUCAACUUAACCUUUCUCUAGGAACAUAUUGAAACAAGGAGCUACAACGUGAGCUAUUUAUCUACAACAUAUUUGCAAAGACAAUUUAGACUAUGUUCAUGAUAAUUGAGUUCAUCUAAUCAAAUUAUUUAAUGAACUCCCACUCAGAUAGACAUCCCUCUAGUCAUCUAAGUGAAACAUGAUCCGAGUCAACUAGGCCGUGUCCGAUCAUCACGUGAGACGGACUAGUCAACAUCGGUGAACAUCUUCAUGUUGAUCGUAUCUUCUAUACGACUCAUGCUCGACCUUUUGGUCUUCCGUGUUCCGAGGCCAUGUCUGUACAUGCUAGGCUCGUCAAGUCAACCUAAGUGUAUUGCGUGUGUAAACCUGGCUUACACCCGUUGUAUUCGAAUGUUAGAAUAUAUCACACCCGAUCAUCACGUGGUGCUUCGAAACGACGAACCUUCGCAACGGUGCACAGUUAGGGGGAACACUUUUCUUGAAAUUUUAGUGAGGGAUCAUCUUAUUUAAGCUACCGUCGUUCUAAGCAAAUAAGAUGUAAAACAUGAUAAACAUCACAUGCAAUCAAAUAGUGACAUGAUAUGGCCAAUAUCAUUGUGCUCCUUUUGAUCUCCAUCUUCGGGGCUCCAUGAUCAUCGUUGUCACCGGCAUGACACCAUGAUCUCCAACAUCAUGAUCUCCACCAUCGUGUCUUCUUGAAGUUGUCUCGUCAUCCAUUACUUCUACUACUAUGGCUAACGCUUUAGCAAUAAAGUAAAGUAAUUACAUGACGUUUAUGUUGACAUGCAGGUCAUAAAUAAAUUAAGACAACUCCUAUGGCUCCUGCCGGUUGUCAUACUCAUCGACAUGCAAGUCGUGAUUCCUAUUACAAGAACAUAAUCAAUCUCAUACAUCACAUAUAUCAUUCAUCACAUCCUUUUGGCCAUAUCACAUCACAAGGCAUAUGCUGCAAAAACAAGUUAGACGUCCUCUAAUUGUUGUUGCAAGUUUUUAUGUGGCUGCUAUAGGUUUCUAGCAAGAACGUUUCUUACCUACGCCAAAACAACAACGUGAUAUGCCAAUUUCUAUUUACCCUUCAUAAGGACCCUUUUCAUCGAAUCCGAUCCGACUAAAGUGGGAGAGACAGACACCCGCUAGCCACCUUAUGCAACUAGUGCAUGUCAGUCGGUGGAACCAGUCUCACGUAAGAGUACGUGUAAGGUCGGUCCGGGCCGCUUCAUCCCACAAUACCGCCGAAUCAAGAUAAGACUAGUAACGGCAAGCAAAUUGACAAUAUCCAUGCCCACAACUGCUUUGUGUUCUACUCGUGCAUAGAAACUAUGCAUAGACCUAGCUCAUGAUGCCACUGUUGGGGAUCGUAGCAGAAAUUUAAAAUUUUCUACGCAUCACCAAGAUCAAUCUAUGGAGUAAUCUAGCAACGAGGGGAAGGAGAGUGCAUCUACAUACCCUUGUAGAUUGCUAAGCGGAAGCGUUGCAAGAACGCGGAUGAAGGAGUCGUACUCGUAGCGACUCAGAUCGCGGUUGAUUCCGAUCUAAGCACCGAACCACGGCGCAUCCGCGUUCAACACACGUGCAGCCCGGUGACGUCUCCUACACCUUGAUCCAGCAAGGGGAGAAGGAGAGGUUGGGGAAGACUCCAUCCAGCAGCAGCACGACGGCGUGGUGGUGAAGGAGGAGCGUGGCAAUCCUGCAGGGCUUCGCCAAGCACCGCGGGAGAGGAGGAGGACUUGGGAGCUGGGGCGGGCUGCGCCAAGACUAGGGUGCGGCUACCCUCCAACCCCCCACAUAUAUAUAGCGGCAAGGGAGAGGGGGGCCGGCCCCUUCAGAUCCAAUCUGAGGAGGGGGCGGCGGCCAGGGGGGUUGCCUUGCCCCCCAAGGCAAGGGGGGCGCCCCCCUUUAGGGUUCCCCCAAAACCCUAGGCGCUUGGGCCCUAGGGGGGAGGCGCCCAGCCCACUAAGGGGCUGGUCCCUCUCCACACACAUCCCAUAGGGCCCUCCGGGGCAGGUGGACCCUCCCGGUGGACCCCCGGAACCCCUUCGGUGGUCCCGGUACAAUACCGGUAACCCUCGAAUUAUUCCGGUGACCGUAUGAUGACUUCCCAUAUAUAAAUCUUCACCUCCAGACCAUUCCGGAACUCCUCGUGAUGUCCGGGAUCUCAUCCGGGACUCAGAACAACUUUCGGUAACCACGUACAUCUAUUCCCUAUAACCCUAGCGUCAUCGAACCUUAAGUGUGUAGACCCUACGGGCUCGGGAGUCAUGCAGACAUGGCCGAGACAACUCUCCGUUCAAUAACCAACAGCGGGAUCUGGAUACCCAUGUUGGCUCCCACAUGCUCCACGAUGAUCUCACCGAAUGAACCACGAUGUCAAGGAUUCAAUCAAUCCCAUAUAAAAUUCCCUUUGUCCAUCGGUACGAUACUUGCCCGAGAUUCGAUCGUCGGUAUCCCGAUACCUUGUUCAAUCUCGUUACCGGCAAGUCUCUUUACUCGUUCCGUAACACAUCAUCCCGUGAUCAACUCCUUGGUCACAUUGUGCACAUUAUGAUGAUGUCCUACCGAGUGGGCCCAGAGAUACCUCUCCGUUUACACAGAGUGACAAAUCUCAGUCUCGAUUCGUGCCAACCCAACAGACACUUUCGGAGAUACCUGUAGUGAACCUUUAUAGCCACCCAGUUACGUUGUGACAUUUGGUACACCCAAAGCAUUCCUAUGGUAUCCCGGAGUUGCACAAUCUCAUGGUCUAAGGAAAUGAUACUUGACAUUAGAAAAGCUUUAGCAUACGAACUACAUGAUCUUUGUGCUAGGCUUAGGAUUGGGUCUUGUCCAUCACAUCAUUCUCCUAAUGAUGUGAUCCCGUUAUCAGCGACAUCCAAUGUCCAUGGUCAAGAAACCGUAACCAUCUAUUGAUCAACGAGCUAGUCAACUACAGGCUUACUAGGGACAUGGUGUUGUCUAUUUGUCCACACAUGUAUCUGAGUUUCCUAUUAAUACAAUUCUAGCAUGGAUAAUAAACGAUUAUCAUCAACAAGGAAAUAUAAUAAUAACCAAUUUAUUAUUGCCUCUAGGGCAUAUUUCCAACACCGAAACUAUUGCACCUCCGAGUUCUAGCACACGUUCAGCUCAAUGACGAACACCGAAACUAUUGCAGAAUGUCAGGGAAGAGUUCCGUCAGCACGACGGCGUGGUGACGAUAUUGAUGUUCUACCGUCGCAGGGCUUCGCCUAAGCACCGCUACAAUAUUAUCGAGGAUUAUGGUGGAGGAGGGCACCGCACACGUCUAAUAUAUCUCAAGGAUCAAUUGUUGUGUCUAGAGGUGCCCCCUGCCCCCGUAUAUAAAGGAGCAAGGGGGAGGGGCGGCCGGCCAGGAGGAGGCGUGCCAGGGAGGAGUCCUACUCCUACCGGGAGUAGGACUCCCUCCUUUCCUUGUCCAACUAGGAGAGGGGGAAGGAAGGGAGAGAGGAGAGAAAGGAAAGGGGGGACGCCGCCCCUUCCUCCUUGUCCAAUUCAGACUAGAGGGGGAGGGGGCGCGCAGCCUGCCCUAGCCGCCCCUCCUAUGCUCCACUUUGGGCCCAUGAGGCCCAUUAACCCCCCCGGGGGGGUUCCGGUAACUCCCGGUACUCCGUUUUAUAUCCGAUAACUCCCGGAACCAUUCUUGUGUAUGAAUAUAGUCGUCCAAUAUAUCAGUAUUUAUGUCUCGACUAUUUCGAGACUCCUCGUUAUGUCCGUGAUCACAUCCGGGACUCCGAACAACCUUCGGUACAUCAAUAUAUAUAAACUCAUAAUGAAACUGUCAUCGUAAUGUUAAGCGUGCGGACCCUACGGGUUCGAGAACAAUGUAGACAUGACCGAGACACAUCUCCGGUCAAUAACCAAUAGCGGAACCUGGAUGCUCAUAUUGGCUCCUACAUAUUCUACGAAGAUCUUUUAUCGGUCAGACCGCAUAACAACAUACGUUGUUCCCUUUGUCAUCGGUAUGUAACUUGCCCGAGAUUUGAUCAUCGGUAUCUCAAUACCUAGUUCAAUCUCGUUACCAACAAGUCUCUUUACUCGUUUCGUAAUACAUCAUCCCACAACUAACUUAUUAGUUGCAAUGCUUGCAAGGCUUAUGUGAUAUGCAUUACCGAGAGGGCCCAGAGAUACCUCUCCGACAAUCGGAGUGACAAAUCCUAAUCUCGAAAUACGCCAACCCAACAAGUACCUUUGGAGACACCUGUAGAGCACCUUUAUAAUCACCCAGUUACGUUGUGACGUUUGGUAGCACACAAAGUGUUCCUCCGGUAAACGGGAGUUGCAUAAUCUCAUAGUCAUAGGAACAUGUAUAAGUUAUGAAGAAAGCAAUAUCAACAAACUAAACGAUCAAGUGCUAUGCUAACGGAAUGGGUCAAGUCAAUCACAUCAUUCUCCUAAUGAUGUGAUCCUGUUAAUCAAAUGAUAACUCAUGUCUAUGGUUAGGAAACAUAACCAUCUUUGAUCAACGAGCUAGUCAAGUAGAGGCAUACUAGUGGCACUCUGUUUGUCUAUGUAUUCACACAUGUAUUAUGUUUCCGGUUAAUACAAUUCUAGCAUGAAUAAUAAACAUUUAUCAUGAUAAAGGAAAUAAAUAAUAACUUUAUCAUUGCCUCUAGGGCAUAUUUCCUUCAGUCUCCCACUUGCACUAGAGUCAAUAAUCUAGUUCACAUCACCAUGUGAUUUAAUACCAAUAGUUCACAUCACCAUGUGAUUAACACGCAUAGUUCACAUCGACAUGUGACCAACACCCAAAGGGUUUACUAGAGUCAAUAAUCUAGUUCACAUCGCUAUGUGAUUAACACCCAAAGAGUACUAAGGUGUGAUCAUGUUUUGCUUGUGAGAGAAGUUUAGUCAACGGGUCUGCCAUAUUCAGAUCCGUACGUAUUUUGCAAAUUUCUAUGCAAACAAUGCUCUGCACGGAGCUACUCUAGCUAAUUGCUCCAACUUUCAAUAUGUAUCCAGAUUGAGACUUAGAGUCAUCUGGAUUAUUGUCAAAACUUGCAUCAACGUAACCCUUUAUGACGAACCUUUUGUCACCUCCAUAAUCGAGAAACAUAUCCUUAUUCCACUAAGGAUAAUUUUGACCAAUGUCCAGUGAUCUACUCCUAGAUCACUAUUGUACUCCCUUGCCAAACUCAGGGCAGGGUAUACAAUAGGUCUAGUACACAACAUGGCAUACUUGAUAGAACCUACGGCUGAGGCAUAGGGAAUGACUUUCAUUCUCUCUCUAUCUUCUGCCGUGGUCGGGCUUUGAGUCUUACUCAAUUUCACACCUUGUAACACAGGCAAGAACUCUUUAUUUGUUAGCACCUUUAUGAUUGACAAAACCUUCUUGUUGCAUCAUAUACAACUCUUCUUUAAUAAAUCCAUUAAGGAAUACAAUUUUAACAUCCAUUUGCCAUAUUCCAUAAAAUGCGGCAACUGCUAACAUGAUUCGGACAGGCUUUUAAGCAUCAUUACGAGUGAGAAAAUCUCAUCGUAGUCAACACCUUGAACUUGUCGAAAACCUUUUGCAACAAUUCGAGCUUUGUAGAUAAUAACACUACUAUCAGCGUCCGUCUUCCUCUUGAAGAUCCAUUUAAUCUCAAUGGCUUGCUGAUCAUUGGGCAAGUCAAUCAAAGUCCAUACUUUGUUCUCAUACAUGGAUCUCAUCUCAGAUUUCAUGGCCUCAAGCCAUUUCACUAAAUCUGGGCUCAUCAUCGCUUCCUCAUAGUUCGUAGGCUCGUCAUGGUCAAGUAACAUGACCUCCAGAACAGGAUUACCGUACCACACUUUAAGAAAUGACAACUUAGGUCUCUUGCCAAACCAUAGUUCAUACGGUGUCAUCUCAACGGAUUUAGAUGGUGCCCUAUUUAACGUGAAUGCAGCUGUCUCUAAUGCAUAACCCCAAAACGAUAGUGGUAGAUCGGUAAGAGACAUCAUAGAUCGCACCAUAUCUAAUAAAGUAUGGUUAUGACAUUCGGACACACCAUUACACUGUGGUGUUCUAGGUGGCGUGAGUAGUGUAACUAUUUCACAUUUGUUUUUAACUGAAGGCCAAACUCGUAACUCAAAUAUUUUACUUCUGCGAUCAUAUCGUAGAAACUUUUAUUUUUGUUACGAUGAUUCUCCACUUCACUCUGAAAUUCUUUGAACUUUUCAAAUGUUUCAGACUUGUGUUUCAUCAAGUAGAUAUACUCAUAUCUGCUCAAAUCAUCUGUGAAGAUCAGAAAAUAAUGAUACCUGCCACGAGCCUCAAUAUUCAUCGGACCACAUACAUCAGUAUGUAUGAUUUCCAACAAAUCUAUUGCUCGCUCCAUUGUUCCGGAGAACGGAGUCUUAGUCAUCUUGCCCAUGAGGCAUGGUUCGCAAGCAUCAACUGAUUCAUAAUCAAGUGAUUCCAAAAGCCCAUCAGCAUGGAUUUUCUUCAUGCGCUUUACACCAAUAUGACCUAAACGGCAGUGCCACAAAUAAGUUGCACCAUCAUUAUUAACUUUGCAUCUUUUGGUUUCCAUAUUAUGAAUAUGUGUAUCACUAUGAUCGAGAUCCAACGAACCAUUUUCAUUGGGUGUGUAACCAUAUAAGGUUUUAUUCAUGUAAACAGAACAAUAAUUUAUUCUCUUACUUGAAUGAAUAACCGUAUUGCAAUAAACAUGAUCAAAUCAUAUUCAUGCUCAACGCAAACACCAAAUAACACUUAUUUAGGUUCAACACUAAUCCCAAAAGUAUAGGGAGUGUGCGAUGAUGAUUAUAUCAAUCUUGGAACCACUUCCAACACACAUCGUCACUUCACCCUUAACUAGUCUAUGUUCAUUCUGCAACUCCCAUUUCGAGUUACUACUCUUAGCAACUGAACCAGUAUCAAAUACCGAGGGGUUGCUACGAACACUAGUAAAAUACACAUCAAUAAUCUGUAUAUCAAAUAUACCUUAGUUCACUUUGCCAUCCUUCUUAUCCGCCAAAUACUUGGGGCAGUUCCGCUUCCAGUGACCAGUCCCUUUGCAGUAGAAGCACUUAGUCUCAGGCUUAGGACCAGACUUGGGCUUCUUCACUUGAGCAGCAACUUGCUUGCCGUUCUUCUUGAAGUUCCCCUUCUUCCCUUUACCCUUUUCUUGAAACUAGUGGUCUUGUCUACCAUCAACACUUGAUAUUUUUCUUGAUUUCUACCUUCGUCGAUUUCAGCAUUACAAAGAGCUUGGGAAUCGUUUCUGUUAUCCCUUGCAUAUCAUAGUUCAUCACGAAGUUCUACUAACUUGGUGAUGGUGACUAGAGAAUUCUGUCAAUCACUAUUUUAUCUGGAAGAUUAACUCCCACUUGAUUCAAGUGAUUGUAGUACCCAGACAAUCUGAGCACAUGCUCACUGCUUGAGCUAUUCUCCUCCAUCUUUUAGCUAUAGAACUUGUUGGAGACUUCAUAUCUCUCAACUCGGGUAUUUGCUUGAAAUAUUAACUUCAACUCCUGGAACAUCUCAUAUGGUCCAUGACGUUCAAAACGUCUUUGAAGUCCCGAUUCUAAGCCGUUUAAGCAUGGUGCACUAAACUAUCAAGUAGUAAUCAUAUUGAGCUAGCCAAAUGUUCAUAACAUCUGCAUCUGCUCCUGCAAUAGGUUUGUCACCUAGCGGUGCAUCAAAGACAUAAUUCUUAUGUGUAGCAAUGAGGAUAAACCUCAGAUUACGGAUCCAAUCGCAUCAUUGCUACUAACAUCUUUCAACUUAGUUUUCUCUAGGAACAUAUCAAAAAUAAAACAGGGGAGCUAAACGCGAGCUAUUGAUCUACAACAUAGAUAUGCUAAUACUACCAGGACUAAGUUCAUGAUAAAUUAAAGUUCGAUUAAUCAUAUUACUUAAGAACUCCCACUUAGAUAGACAUCCCUCUAAUCCUCUAAGUGAUCACGUGAUCCAAAUCAACUAAACCAUGUCCGAUCAUCACGUGAGAUGGAGUAGUUUCAAUGGUGAACAUCACUAUGUUGAUCAUAUCUACUAUAUGAUUCACGCUCGACCUUUCGGUCUCCAUGUUCCGAGGCCAUAUCUGUUAUAUGCUAGGCUCGUCCAGUUUAACCUGAGUAUUCCGCGUGUGCAACCAUUUUGCACCCGUUGUAUUUGAACGUAGAUCCUAUCACACCCGAUCAUCACAUGGUGUCUCAGCACGAAGAACUUUCACAACGGUGCAUACUCAGGGAGAACACUUAUACUUUGAUAAUUUAGUGAGGGAUCAUCUUAUAAUGCUACUGUCAAUCAAAGCAAGAUAAGAUGCAUAAAAGAUAAACAUCUCAUGCAAUCAAUAUAAGUGAUAUGAUAUGGCCAUCAUCAUCUUGUACUUGUGAUCUCCAUCUCCGAAGUACCGUCAUGAUCACCAUCAUCACCGGCGCGACACCUUGAUCUCCAUCGUAGUAUCGUUGUCGUCUCGCCAAUAUUAUGCUUCCACGACUAUCGCUACCGCUUAGUGAUAAAGUAAAGCAUUACAGCGCGAUUGCAUUGCAUACAAUAAAGCGACAACCAUAUGGCUCCUGCCAGUUGCUGAUAACUCAGUUACAAAACAUGAUCAUCUCAUACAAUAAAAUUUAGCAUCAUGUCUUGACCAUAUCACAUCAUAACAUGCCCUGCAAAAACAAGUUAGAUGUCCUCUACUUUGUUGUUGUAAGUUUUACGUGGCUGCUGCGGGCUUAGCAAAAACCGUUCUUACCUACGCAUCAAAACCACAACGAUAGUUUGUCAAGUUGGUGCUGUUUUAACCUUCGCAAGGACCGGGCGUAGCCACACUCAGUUCAACUAAAGUUGGAGAAACUGACACCCGCUAGUCACCUGUGUGCAUAGCACGGCGGUAAAACCAGUCUCGCGUAAGCGUACACAUAAUGUCGGUCCGGGCCGCUUCAUCCAACAAUACCGCCGAACCAAAGUGUGACAUGCUGGUAAGCAGUAUGACUUAUAUCACCCACAACUCACUUUUGUUCUAAUCGUGCAUAUUACAUCAAUGCAUAAAACCUGGCUCGGAUGCCACUAUUGGGGAACAUAGUAAUUUCAAAAAAAAUUCUACGCACACGCAAGAUCAUGGUGAUGCAUAGCAACAAGAGGGGAGAGUGUUGUCUACGUACCCUCGUAGACCGGAAGAGGAAGCGCUAGCACAACGCGGUUGAUGUAGUCAUACGUCUUCACGGACCGACCGAUCAAGCACCGAAACUACGGCACCUCCGAGUUCUAGCACACGUUCAGCUCGAUGACGAUCCCCGGACUCCGAUCCAGCAGAAUGUCGGGGAAGAGUUUCGUCAGCACGACGGCGUGGUGACGAUCUUGAUGUUGUACCGUCACAGGGCUUCGCCUAAGCACCGCUACAAUAUUAUCGAGGAUUAUGGUGGAGGAGGGCACCGCACACGGCUAAUAGAUCUCAAGGAUCAAUUGUUGUGUCUAGAAGUGCCCCCUGCCCCCGUAUAUAAAGGAGCAAGGGGGAGGGGCCUCCGGCCAGGAGGAGGCNNNNNNNNNNNNNNNNNNNNNNNNNNNNNNNNNNNNNNNNNNNNNNNNNNNNNNNNNNNNNNNNNNNNNNNNNNNNNNNNNNNNNNNNNNNNNNNNNNNNNNNNNNNNNNNNNNNNNNNNNNNNNNNNNNNNNNNNNNNNNNNNNNNNNNNNNNNNNNNNNNNNNNNNNNNNNNNNNNNNNNNNNNNNNNNNNNNNNNNNNNNNNNNNNNNNNNNNNNNNNNNNNNNNNNNNNNNNNNNNNNNNNNNNNNNNNNNNNNNNNNNNNNNNNNNNNNNNNNNNNNNGGGGGGGGGUCCGGUAACCCCCGGUACUCCGUUUUAUAUCCGAUAACUCCCGGAACCAUUCCUGUGUCCGAAUAUAGUCGUCCAAUAUAUCAAUCUUUAUGUCUCGACUAUUUCGAGACUCCUCGUUAUGUCCGUGAUCACAUCCGGGACUCCGAACAACCUUCGGUACAUCAAAAUAUAUAAACUCAUAAUGAAACUGUCAUCGUAACGUUAAGCGUGCGGACCCUACGGGUUCGAGAAUAAUGUAGACAUGACCGAGACACGUCUCCGGUCAAUAACCAAUAGCGGAACCUGGAUGCUCAUAUUGGCUCCUACAUAUUCUACGAAGAUCUUUUACCGGUCAGACCGCAUAACAUCAUACGUUGUUCCCUUUGUCAUCGGUAUGUAACUUGCCCGAGAUUUGAUCGUCGGUAUCUCAAUACCUAGUUCAAUCUCGUUACCGGCAAGUCUCUUUACUCGUUUCGUAAUACAUCAUCCUGGAACUAACUUAUUAGUUGCAAUGCUUGCAAGGCUUAUGUGAUGUGCAUUACUGAGAGGGCCCAGAGAUACCUCUCCAACAAUCGGAGUGACAAAUCCUAAUCUCGAAAUAUGCCAACCCAACAAGUACCUUCGGAGACACCUAUAGAGCACCUUUAUAAUCACCCAGUUACGUUGUGAUGUUUGGUAGCACACAAAGUGUUCCUCUGGUAAAAGGAAGUUGCAUAACCUCAUAGUCAUAGGAACAUGUAUAAUUUAUGAAGAAAGCAAUAACAACAAACUAAACGAUCAAGUGCUAUGCUAACGGAAUGGGUCAAGUCAAUCACAUCAUUCUCCUAAUGAUGUGAUCUCGUUAAUCAAAUGACAACUCAUGUCUAUGGUUAGGAGACAUAACCAUCUUUGAUCAACGAGCUAGUCAAGUAGAGGCAUACUAGUGACACUAUGUUUUUCUAUGUAUUCACACAUGUAUUAUGUUUCUGGUUAAUACAAUUCUAGCAGGAAUAAUAAACACUUAUCAUGAUAAAGGAAAUAAAUAAUAACUUUAUCAUUGCCUCUAGGGCGUAUUUCCUUCAAUAUCAUGUCGCAGCAAACCACUAACAUCGCAGAAGUAACCUAUUUUUUCAUACUUCACAUCAAUCUUUCUCUGACCAGAUUAAUGGGAGUACAUCAUAUCAAGGGCUUACUCAUUUCAAUCUUCACCCAUAAACGCACAUAUUUCCCUCAUAAAACCUUGUAGGCUCAGCUCCAUGCUCCACAUCAUCCUAAUUCUCUGAGCCAACUGGUCCAUGAUAGGAUAUUUCCUAUAUAAAUAUGGAAUCUAGUGAAUCUUGUGUUGGGGAACGUAGCAUGCAAUUUCAAAAACUUCCUACACUCACGCAAGAUCUAUCUAGGAGAUGCAUAACAACGAGAGGCGGAGAGUGUGUCCAUGUACCCUCGUAGACCGAAACCGUUUGACAACGCGGUUGAUGUAGUCGAACUUCUUCUCAUUCCGACCAAUCAAGCACCGAACAUACGACACUUCCGAGUUCUGCACACGUUCAGCUCGAUGACGUCCCUCGAACUCUUGAUCUAGCGAAGUGUUGAGGGAGAGUUCUGUCAGCACAAUGGCUAGUGAUGGUGAUGGUGAAGUGAUCCGCGCAGGGCUUCACCUAAGCACUACGUGAAUAUGACCGAAGGCGUAAACUUUGGAGGGGGGCGCCGCACACGGCUAACAAUGUUUGUUGUGUGUUCUAGCGGUACCCUCCCCCGUCAUAUAUAUAGGUUGGAGGGGAGGAGAGGCAGCCAAGGGGGCACCCCAAGUAGGAGGAAUCCUACUUGGGCACCUCCCAAUUCGGCCUCCCCCCUUUCCUAUUCCUAUUCAGAGUAGGAAGGGAAGAGGGGGAAGGGGGAAUCCUAUUCCCUUUUUCCUUUCCUCCUUCCCCUUUCCUUCUCCAAUUUGGACAGCCCAUAUGGGGGGGGGGCGCACCAAACCCUUUGUGGCUGGUGUGUUUCCCCUCUUGGCCCAUAAGGCCCAUAUAGCUUGCUUGGGGUUGCCCAAAACCCCUUCCGGUGACCCGAUACGUACCCGGUAUCCUGAGAACACUUCCGGUGUCCAAAUACUAUCGUCCUAUAUAUGAAUGUUUACCUCCCGAUCAUUUUGAGACUCCUCGUCAUGUCCGUGAUCUCAUCCAGAACUCCGAACAACAUUCGGUCACCAAAUCACCUAACUCAUAUAAUACAAAUCAUCAUCAAACGUUAAGCGUGCGAACCCUACGGGUUCGAGAACUAUGUAGACAUGACUGAGACACGUCUCCGGUCAAUAACCAAUAGCGGAACCUGGAUGCUCAUAUUGGUUCCCACAUAUUGUACGAAGAUCUUGAUCGGUCAUACCGUAAUGACAACAUAUGUAAUUCCCUUUGUCAUAGGUAUGUUACUUGCCCGAGAUUCGAUCGUCGGUAUCUUCAUACCUAGUUCGAUCUUGUUACCGGCAAGUCUCUUUACUCGUUCUGUAAUGCAUCACCCUGCAACUAACUCAUUACUCACAUUGCUUGCAAAGCUUACGAUGUGCAUUACCUAGAGGGCCCAGAGAUACCUCUCCGAUACUCGGAGUGACAAAUCCUAAUCUCGAUCUAUGUCAACCAACAAAUACAUUCGGAGAUACCUGUAGAGCAUCUUUAUAAUCACCCAGUUACGUUGUAACAUUUGAUAGCACAUAAGGCAAUCCCCCGGUAUCUGGGAGUUGCAUAAUCUCAUAGUUAGAGGAAUAUGUAUAUGACAUGAAGACAACUAUAGCAAUAAAACUGAACAAUCAUUAUGCUAAGCUAACAUAUGGGUCUUGCCCAUCACAUCAUUCUCCUAAUGAUGUGAUCCCAUUCAUCAAAUGACAACACAUGUCUAUGGUUAGGAAACUUAACCAUCUUUGAUUAACGAGCUAGUCUAGUGGAGGCUUACUAGGGACAUGGUGUUUUGUCUAUGUAUCCACACAUGUAUCAAGUUUCCGGUUAAUACAAUUCUAGCAUGAAUAAUAAACAUUUGUCAUGAUAUAAGGAAAUAUAAAAUAACAACUUUAUUAUUGCCUCUAGGGCAUAUUUCCUUCAGUCCCCCACUUGCACUAGAGUCAACAAUCUAGUUCACAUCGCCAUGUGAUUUAACACCAAUAGUUCACAUCACCAUGUGAUUAACACCCAUAGUUCACAUCGCCAUGUGACCAACACCCGAAGGGUUUACUAGAGUCAAUAAUCUAGUUCAUAUCUCCAUGUGAUUAACACCCAAAGAGUACUAAGGUGUGAUCAUGUUUUGCUUGUGAGAGAAGUUAGUCAACGGGUCUACCACAUUCAGAUCCAUAUGUAUUUUGCAAAUUUCUAUGUCUACAAUGCUCUGCAUGGAGCUACUCUAGAUAAUUGCUCCCACUUUCAAUAUGUAUCCAGAUUGAGACUCAGAGUCAUCCAGAUCGGUGUUAAAGCUUGCAUCGAUGUAACUCUUUACGAUGAACACUUUAUCACCUCCAUAAUCGAGAAAUAUUUCCUUAGUCCUCUAAGGAUAAUUUUGACCGAUGUCCAGUGAUCUACUCCUGGAUCACUAUUGUACCCCUUUGCCAAACUCAUAUCAAGGUACACAAUAGGUCUGGUAUACAACAUGGCAUACUUUAUAGAACCUAUGGCUGAGGCAUAGGGAAUGAUUUUCAUUCUCUCUCUAUCUUCUGUCGUGGUCGGGUUUUGAGUCUUACUCAACUUCAUACCUUACAACUCAGGCAAGAACUCCUUCUUUGACUGAUCCAUUUUGAACUCCUUCAAAAUCUUAUCAAGGUAUGUACUCAUCUAAAGUCUUAUCAACCGUCUUGAUCUAUAUUUAUAGAUGUUGAUGCCCAAUAUGUAAGUAGCUUCGCCGAAGUCUUUUGAAAAACUUCUUUAAAACACUCCUUUAUGCUUUCCAGAAAAUUCUACAUCAUUUCCGAUUAACAAUAUGUCAUUCACAUAUACUUAUCAGAAAGGUUGUAGUGAUCCCACUCACUUUCUUGUAAAUACAGGCUUCACCGCAAGUCUGUAUAAAACUAUAUGCUUUGAUCAACUCAUCAAAGCGUAUAUUCCAACUCUGAGAAGCUUGCACCAGUCCAUAGAUGGAUCGCUGGAGUUUGCACACUUUGUUAGUACCUUUAGGAUUCAGAAAACCCUCUGGUUGCAUCAUAUACAACUGUUCUUUAAUAAAUCCAUUAAGGAAUGCAACUUUGCCAUCCAUUUGCUAGAUUUCAUAAAAUGCGGCAAUUGCUAACAUGAUUCGAAUAGACUUUAAGCAUCGAUACGAGUGAGAAAAUCUCAUCGUAGUCAACACCUUGAACUUUGUCGAAAACCUUUUGCGACAAUUCGAGCUUUGUAGAUAGUAACACUACUAUCAUCUUCCAUCUUCCUCUUGAAGAUGCAUUUAUUCUCAAUGGCCUAAUGACAAUCGGGCAAGUCAAUCAAAGUCCAUACUUUGUUCUCAUACAUGGAUCAUAUCUCAGAUUUCAUGGCCUCUCAAGCCAUUUUGUGGAAUCUGGGCUCAUCAUCGCUUCCUCAUAGUUCGUAGGUUCGUCAUGGUCUAGUAACAUGACUUCCAGAACAGGACCACCAUACCACUCUAGUGCGGAACGUACUCUGGUUGACCUACGAGGUUCUAUAGUAACUUGAUCUGAAUUUUCAUGAUCAUUAUCAUUAGCUUCCUCUCUAGUUGGUGUAGGCAUCAUGGGAACGGUUUUUUGUGAUGAGCUACUUUCCAAUUCAAGAGAAGGUACAAUUACCUCAUCAAGUUCUACUUUCCUCCCACUCACUUCUUUCGAGAGAAACUCCUUCUCUAGAAAGGAUCCAUUCUUAGCAACAAAGAUCUUGCCUUUGGAUUUGUGAUAGAAGGUGUACCCAACAGUUUCUUUUGGGUAUCCUAUGAAGACGCACUUCUCCGAUUUGGGCUCGAGCUUAUCAGGCUGAAGCUUUUUCACAUAAUUAAGCAUUGCAACCCCAAACUUUAAGAAACGACAACUUAGGUUUCUUGCCAAACCAUAGUUCAUACGGUGUCAUCUCAACUGAUUUAGAUGGUGCCCUAUUUAAAGUGAAUGCAACUGUCUCUAAUGCAUAACCCCAAAAUGAUAGUGGUAAAUCGGUAAGAGACAUCAUAGAUCGCAACAUAUCUAAUAAAGUACGGUUACGACAUUCGGACACACCAUUACGCCGUGGUGUUCCAGGUGGUGUGAGUUGUGAAACUAUUCCACAUUGUUUUAAAUGAAGGCCAAACUUGUUACUCAAAUAUUCUCCUCCGCGAUCAGAUCCUAGAAACUUUAUUUUCUUGUUACGAUGAUUCUCCACUUCACUCUGAAAUUCUUUGAACUUUUCAAAUGUUUUAGACUUGUGUUUCAUCAAGUAGAUAUACCCAUAUAUGCUCCAUCUGUGAAGGUCAGAAAAUAAUGAUACCCUCCGCGAGCAUCAACACUCAUCGGACCGCAUACAUCGGUAUGUAUUAUUUCCAAUAAGUCAGUGGCUCGAUCCAUUGUUCCGGAGAACGGAGUUUUACUCAUCUUUCCUAUGAGGCAUGGUUCGCAAGUAUCAAAUGAUUCAAAAUCAAGUGAUUCCAAAAAUCCAUCCGUAUGGAGUUUCUUCAUGCGCUUUACACCAAAAUGACCUAAACGGCAGUGCCACAAAUAUGUUGCACUAUCAUUAUCAACUUUGCAUCUUUUGGCAUCAAUAUUAUGAAUAUGUGUAUCACUACGAUCGAGAUUCAAUAAACCAUUGGGCGUAUGACCAUAGAAGGUUUUAUUCAUGUAAACAGAACAACAAUUAUUCUCUGACUUAAAUGAAUAACUAUAUCACAAUAAACAUGAUCCAAUCAUAUUCAUGCUCAAUGCAAACACAAAAUAACAUUUAUUGUGGUCCAACACUAAUCUCGAAGGUAGAGGGAGUGUGUGAUGGUUACCUUAACAACCUUGGAAUCACUUCCAACACACAUCGUCACCUCGCCCUUAAUUAGUCUCUGUUCAUUUUGCAACUCCUGUUUCAAGUUACUAAUCUUAGCAACUGAACCGAUGUCAAAUACCCUAGGGUUACUAUGAACACUAGUAAAGUACACAUCAAUAACAUGUAUAUCAAAUAUACCUUUGUUCAAUUUGCCAUCCUUCUUAUCCGCCAAGUAUUUGGGGUAGUUCCGCUUCCAGUGACCAUUCCCUUUGUAGUAGAAACACUCAGUUUCAGGCUUAUCUAGCUUUGGGUUUCUUCACGAGAGUGGCAACUUGCUUGCCAUUCUUUCUUAAAGUCCCCUUUCUUUUCCUUUGCCCCUUUUCUUGAAACUAGUGGUCUUGUUAACCAUCAACACUUGAUUCUCUUUCUUGAUUUCUACCUUCGCUGAUUUUAGCAUUGAGUAGAACUCGGGAGUCGUUUUCGUCAUCCCUUGCAUAUUAUAGUUCAUCACGAAGUUCCAGUAACUUGGUGAUAGUGACUAGAGAACUCUGUCAAUCACUAUCUUAUCUGGAAGAUUAACUCCCACUUGAUUCAAGCGAUUGUAGUACUCAGACAUUCUAAGCACAUGCUCACUGGUUGAGCUAUUCUCCUCCAUCUUGUAGGCAAAGUACUUGUCAGAGGUCUCAUACCUCUCGACUCGGGCAUGAGUCUGAAAUACCAGUUUCAGCUCUUGGAACAUAUUAUAUGCUCCGUGCCGUUUAAAUCGUUUUUGAAGUCCUAGUUCUAAGUCGUAAAGCAUGGCACACUAAACUAUCAAGUAGUCAUCAUACCAAGCUUGCCAAACGUUCAUAACGUCUGCAUCUGCUCCUGCAAUAGGUCCGUCACCUAGCGGUGCAUCAAGGACAUAAUUCUUCUGUGCAGCAAUGAGGAUAAUCCUCAUAUCACGGACCCAGUCCGCAUCAUUGCUACUAUCGCCUUUCAAUUUAUUUUUCUCUAGGAACAUAUUAAAAAUAAACGGGGAGCUACAUCGCAAGCAAUCACUGCAAGAAAAGACACAUCCAUGACAUUUUGGGCCAAACGAACUUUUUUCUAUCAUGCUUAUGACACUUCUAUGAUGAUAAUUGUGACAAAACCCGUUAUCAUCAUAGAUGUGGUGGGCUCCUACUUCUAUGACAAAAAAUCAUGACAGAAAAUGGGCUUUACAUCCUGGGCGGGCUGAAGACGCAGCUGCAUGACAUAUAACAUCCCCAAGCUUAUGGCUUUGCAUAUCGUUAGCAUCAUGGAUAUUCAAAGAAUUCAUACUAACAACAUUGAAAUCAUGCUCAUCAUUCAAAUAUUUUGUGCCAAACAUUUUAUUGACUUCUUCUUCUAACAAUUGAGCACAAUUUUCCGAACCAUCAUUUUCAAGAAAGAUAUUAUAAAGAUGAUCAAUAAUAUGAUGCAGCCUCAAUUCCAUUUUUUGUAGUUUUCUUUUAUAAACCAAACUAGUGAUAAACAAGAAACUAAAAGAUUCGAUUGCAAGAUCUAAAGAUAUACCUUCAAGCACUCACCUCCCCGGCAACGGUGUGAGAAAAGAGCUUGAUGUCUACUAUGCAACUUUAUUCUUGUAGACACGUGUUGGGCCUCCAAGCGCAGAGUUUUGUAGGACAGUAGUAAUUUUCCCUCAAGUGGAUGAUCUAAGGUUUAUCAGUCCGUGAUAGGUGUAGGAUGAAGAUGGUGUCUCUCAAACGAUCCUGCAACCAAAUACAAGAAAUCUCUUGUGUCCCCAACACACCCAAUACAAUGGCAAACUGUAUAGGUGCACUACUUCGGCGAAGAGAUGGUGAUAAAAGUGUAAUAUUGAUGUUUGAAUUAUAUUUUGAUAAUAAGAAUAAAUAAAAAACAGCAAGGUAGCAAAUAGUAAACGGGCACAAAAACGGUGUUUCAAUGCUUAAAAACAAGGCCUAGGGUCCGUACUUUCACUAGUGCAAUCUCUCAACAAUGCUAACAUAGUUGGAUCAUAUGAUUAUCCCUCAAAGUACAACAAAGAAUCACUCCCGAGUUCCUAUUAGCAGAGAACAAAAGGUAGGAAUUGUUUGUAGGGUGCGAAGCCACCUCAAAGCUAUUCUUUCCGAUCGAUCCAUUAAAGAUUUCGUACUAAAAUAACACAAAGAUAUUGUUUCCAUUCGAUCUAUCCUAGAGUUUGUACUAGAAUAACACCAAAGCAUAUUCAUAUUCAUAAUACUCUAUCCACACAAGGAACUACAAAGAGACCCUGAAGUUUCCGUCGAAGAAAAACGUGCAUCAACCCCUAUGCAUAGAUUACCCCAAGAUCACCAUGGGAAUCAACGAGUUGAAUGCCAUAACAUAUAUCAUGUGAAUCAAUAAGAUACCCCAAUUGUCACCUCAAGUAUUCAUACCGCAAGACAUAUAUCAUGUGUUCUCAUCUCUGAAUAUUCAAUCCGACAAGACAAAACUUCAAAGGGUAAAGAUUCAAUUCAUCACAACGAGAGUAUAGAGGGGAGAAACAUCAUAUGAUCCGACUAUAUUAACAGAGCCCAUGAUAUAGAUCACGAGAGAGAGAGAGAUAUUAAACACAUAGCUACUGGUACAAACCCUCAACCUCGAGGGUGGACUACUCCUCGUGGCGAUCACCGGGAUGAUGAAGAUGGCCACCGGAGAUGAUUCCCCCUCCGGCAGGGUGCCAGAACGGGUCUAGAUUGGUUUUCGGUGGCUACGGAGCCCUGCGGCAGUGGAACUUCUGAUCUAGGUUAACCCCAAGGGGUUUCGGAAUAUUUGGGAAUUUAUAUUGCAAAGAGGGGGUACAGGAGGCCACCGAGGUGGGCACAACCCACCUUGGCGUGCCAGGGGGCCCUGGCGUGCCAGGGGGCCCUGGCGCGCCCUGGUGGGUUGUGCCCCCUCGUGGCACCCCCUAGGUGCAGCUCUGGCCCAAUGGGUUCCUUCUGGUCCAAACAAAAUAUCUGUAAAGUUUCACGGUGUUUGGACUUCGUUUGAUAUUGAUUUCCUACAAUGUAAAAAACAAGAAAAAAACAGCAACUGGCACUUAGCACUAGGUCAGUAGGUUAGUCCCAAAAAAAUGAUAUAAAGUUGCUAUAAAAUGAUUGUAAAACAUCCAAGAAUGAUAAUAUAUUGGCAUGAAUACUUCAUAAAUUAUAGAUACAUUGGAGAUGUAUCAGGGGGUGGAUGAAUAGUUCCCGCUGGAGGGUUGGAUGAGCGGCACCCCGUGGUGUUGCCGCUGGAUGAACAGGACCCCGAUCGAUCGAGCCAGUUGGGGGUGGAUGAACAUGACCCCGUGGAGGGCUGGAUGAACAGGACGACCCCGUGGAGGGCUGGUUGAAUAGUAGCCAGUGGAGGGCUGGAUGAACAGUAGCCCGUGGGGGUGUGAUUUAACAGGACCCCGUGGAUAGGGCUGGUUGAACAGUAGCCGGUGGAGGAGCGGUGGAAGCUGGAUGAACAGGAGCCCGUGGAUGAACAGUCCCAGGUGGAGGCUCGAGGAGGUCAACGGUGGAUGAACAGUAGCCCAUGGAGGCUGGAGGAGGUCGACGGUGGAGAUGAACAGUAGCCUGUGGAGUCCCAUUUUGCGGUAUGCCACACCCCUCCCGAUGAACAGGACCCCCGUUUCGACCGUAGCGCUCCAACACAAGUCUUUUUCCUCCUUUUUGCAGUACGCCACACCACUCCCGAUCAACAGGACCCCGUUUCGACCGUAGAAGGUCCAAGAGAAGUCAGUUUCCUCCAUUUUGCGGUAUGCCAGACCCCUCCCGAUGAACAUGAUCCUGUUUUAUCAUGGCCGGUCGAACACAAGGCCGUUUCCUCCGUUUUACGGUACGCCAUGCCUCGUUUUGAUCGGCUGUUCCGUCCAAGCCAGUUGGCUCCCGAUGAACACGAAGCGUUUUUUUGCCUCCCGAUGAACAUGAUGAUGCAGUUUCUCCGUUCCGACCCAGCCGGUUGGUUGCCGAUGAACACGACACCAUCGCUGCCUCUCCAUGUACAUGAGCCCUGACCGUACGUAUGCGUGAGUAGGCAUUCGAGACCCCGCCCGUAUAUACAUACGUGGACGUAUUUACUUUCUUGCACCCUGGUGCUACCUCUUGAGCACUGUGUUGGUUUUCCCUUGAAGAGGAAAGGGUGAUGCAGUAAAGUAGCGUAAGUAUUUCCCUCAGUUUUUGAGAACCAAGGUAUCAAUCUAGUAGGAGAUCAUGCUCGAGUCCCACGCACCAACACAAACAAAUAAGAACCUCACAACCAAUGCGAUAAAGGGGUUGUCAAUCCCUUCAUGGUCACUUACGAGAGUGAGAUCUGAUAGAUAUGAUAAGAUAAUAUUUUUGGUAUUUUUAUGAUAAAGAUGAAAAAUAAAAUAAGCGGCAAAGGAAAUAACUAAGUAUUGGAAGAUUAAUAUGAUGGAAGAUAGACCCGGGGGCCAUAGGUUUCACUAGUGGCUUCUCUCAAGAGCAUAAGUAUUACGGUGGGUAAACGAAUUAUUGUCGAGCAAUUGUUAGAAUUGAGCAUAGUUAUGAGAAUAUCUAGGUAUGAUCAUGUAUAUAGGCAUCACGUCCGAGACAAGUAGACCGAAACGAUUCUGCAUCUGCUACUAUUACUCCACACAUCGACCGCUAUCCAACAUGCAUCUAGAGUAUUAAGUUCUUAAGAACAGAGUAAUGCUUUAAGGAAGAUGACAUGAUGUAGAGGGAUAAACUCAUGCAAUAUGAUAUAAACCCCAUCUUUUUAUCCUCGAUGGCAACAAUACAAUACGUGUCGGUUCCCUUUCUGUCACUGGGAUCGAACACCGCAAGAUUGAACCCAAAGCUAAGCACAUCUCCCAUUGCAAGAAAGAUCAAUCUAGCAGGCCAAACCAAACUGAUAAUUAGAAGAGACUUGCAAAGAUAAACCAAUCGUAAAUAAAAGAAUUCUGAGGAGAAUCAAAUAUUGUCCAUAGAUAAUCUGGAUCAUAAACCCACAAUUCAUUGGAUCUCGACAAACACACCUCAACAGAAGAUUACAUCUAAUAGAUCUCCAAGAAGAUCGAGGAGAACUUUGUUUUGAGAUCCAAAGAGAGAGAAGAAUCAUUCUAGCUAAUAACUAUGGACCCGUAGGUAUGAAGUAAACUACUCACACAUCACCGGAGAGGCCAUGGAGUUGAUGUAGAGGCCCUCCGUGAUCAAUGCCCCCUCCGGUGGAGCUCCGCAAAAGGCCCCAAGAUGGGAUCUCUCGGUUACAGAAGGUUUCGGUGGUGGAAUUAGGUUUUUGUGGUGCUCCUGGAUGUUUGGGGGGUACGUGGACUUAUAUAGGAGGAAGCAGUACGUCGGUGGAGCAACGGGGGGCCGACGAGGGUGGAGGGCGCGCCCAGGGGGGUAGGCGCGCCCCCUGCCUCGUGGCCUCCUCCGUUGUUUCUUGACACCCACUCCAAGUCUCUAGGAUCACGUUUGUUGAGAAAAUCACGUUCUCGAAGGUUUCAUCCAAUUUGGACUCCUUUUGAUAUUCCUUUUCUUCGAAACCCUAAAAUAGGCAAAAAAAAAGCAAUUUAGGCUGGGCCUCCGAUUAGUAGGUUAGUCCCAAAAAUGAGAUAUAAGUGUAAAAUAAAGCCCAUUAAGAUCCAAAAUAGAUAAUAUAAUAGCAUGGAGCAAUAAAAAAUUAUAAAUACAUUGGAGACGUAUCAAGCAUCCCCAAGCUUAAUUCUUGCUCGUCCUCGAGUAGGUAAAUGAUAAAAGAAGAAUUUUUGAUGUGGAAUGCUUUCUAACAUAUUUCUCAAUGUAAUUUUUCUUUAUUGUGGCAUGAAUGUUCAGAUCCAUAAGAUUCAAGACAAAAGUUUAAUAUUGACAUAAAAAUAAUAAUACACUACAAGAAAUAUGUCAACUUAUGACCACCACUAUUGGUCACUGAAUGGUCACAAAUUUCCAUUAAUGACCUUUUUGUGACCAAAAACAUAAUGUCAAAAGCUGGGCGUCGUAAACUGACUAUAGCGACCUUUCUUCUGGAAUGGUCGCAAACGUUUAUGACCAAAAUAUGUCCACUGUGGCGUUUUGGUCACUAGCAACCUCUCCAGGCCACGUAGGCAUCUAGCAUGGCAAGCUGAUGUGGCACAAGAUUCAGCCCGGUCCAAUUCAGUUUUCUACAUGGGCCUAGCCCAACAAUUUGGCCUUUUUUAUAUUUUUUUCUUGAUUAAUUUUGGUCAACUACAUGGGCCAGGCCCAACGUUGUAGCCUUUUUUAUUGUUGGCCCGUGUCCUUUUAUUAUUUAUUGCUUUUCUAUUUUCAGCCAUUAUAUAUUCAAGCUGGUCCCACUAGUCAGAUGGGUCCCACUUGUCAUGAUCAUCUCUCAAAUUGGUCCCACAUGUCAAAAAUGUACAAAAUUGACAGAUUAUUUUCAUAAGUGGACCCAUUGGUCAAGUUUCCAUUUCACAAGUUUUCAGAUCAUAUAAAUAAUAAAAAAGAAUCAUCAAAUAUACCACUAAAUAAAUCUAUUACAAUCUUUACAACACAUAUAUGCUACAAUAUGCUACUCUUCACUAAGUAGAACUUGACGGCUUCACACUUCACGGCUUCACACUUGCUUCAUACUUCACGGCUUCACACUUGAGCAUCUGUAAAAGAGGAACAACCACAAAUUUAAAUCUCAAUUGCAGUAUAUGCAGAAGCAGUUCAAAGUUGAAACAACAUCAAUUAAACACACGCGCACAGAAACAUAGGAGUCAAAAUGCAGUAUAGGACCAGGACAAGGAAACUCCUGUUAUCAAAUCAACACACAGCUUGUAGCAAAACAGCACAGAAACAUGUGGAUAUCUCAUGUGAGCAUCAUGAUGUGGUUUUAUUAAACAAUGAUAUAGCAACAGAAUACAAUAUCUUCAAUGCAAACCAGCAAUAGAAUUGCUCCUGCUAGCUGCUGUUGCUGCCACAAAACGCAUGACACAUUAGUUGCAGUACAAGCUAUGGAUCAGAAGUAGCUGGUUACACUAAUCAUGAAAUAUCAGUGGGAAUCCGAACGAUUUUCUUCAUCACCCGGAAUCAUGCAGUUCAACCCAACAGAACACAAUGAGCAAUAAGGUUCAUAACCAAUGAAGGAAUGCAUGUACAGUCAGUCUAAAGCAGUAAAAAUGUGCAAAUGUACUUCAGGAGAUGGCGUGACCCGUCGAUUUUCUUCAUCACCCAGGUAAUGCACAUCUCAUCAGCCAGCAGAACACAAAAAGAGGAUACGAAAAUUACUGCUAAGAGGUUUGCAAAAAAUCAAAGGAAAGUAUUUGCUCAAUAAUAAAGGAGUACUCCCUCUCUAAACUAAUACAAGAGUGUUUAGAUCACUAGUUUAGUAUUCUAAACACUCUUAUAUUAGUUUACGGAGGGAGUACAUAUAUAGUCCAAGAGAUGGCAUGAUCCGUCAGAAGUAUCUGGUUGUAAUAAUCAUGAAAAUCAGUGGGAAUCCGAACAAUUUUCUUCAUCACCCAGAUCAUGCACAUCUCAACCAGCAGAACAUCACAAGUAACAUAUGUAAAACAAUGAUUCUGAGCAUGAGCAAACAAUGAUUCUGAGCAUGAGCAAACAAUGAUUCUAUUAGAGUACCAGCAAAUCAGACUGAACUUUCAUGGAAUGAUUAGUAUAACUAGACCCAUUUUAGUUUAGCAUUACAUAAAAGACUAGUAGCAGUCGCACAAGCAACUAUUGAGCAUUGAAGAAACAGGACAGGGAAACAACAUACCCUGAUGGUGCCCAGGCUUCAGCCUCAGAACCCUGCAAAACCACAAGCGACGUUAACAUCAAACACACAUAUAAGACGCACCAUGUUAUGAAAUGGACAUAUAAGACGCACAUAUAAGAUGUUAACAUCAAAUUCACAGUUUAGAAAAUUAGUAUCUUCUUUCCAAAGGUGAAAUGAGAUGACUGAACUUGAUUUGGCUUUUUAGCUUCCAUAAUUUCUACUAGCAGCAGAUGUUAUGAAAUGGACUUACUAAAUUAUCUGAAUCAAGGAAAGAAAUUUGCAACUAGCUUCAGACCAUCUAUUACAUAGACUGAGAAAUCUAUUUCCAUCCAACUACUUUUACUUUUCUACAAGACUACAACAGUUUUAGACAACUCCAAAGUCCUAAAUUUGUUCACAGGUUAUUCAACACAAGUAAAUUUGUUCACAGGUUAUCUAUAAGAUUAGAAUAGUUUCAGACACCUCACACUCACACUUUCAGAUUUCAACAGAUUCAGACAACUGUUUUUCAGACUUGGAACAAUUUCAGUAAACUGUUCUUCAGACCACAAUAGUUUCAGUAAACUAUAGCAAAGUCUGAAUGUCAUGGAAAACAAAUGAUUUCACUAACCAAGGGUCCCGGUCAGGAAGAUGACGAUCUCGAGGGUCCCGCCAUAGCCACCGUCGGGCAGGUCGACGACGAGCGGGGUGAGCUGAGCUCGCUAAGCAUGUCGACUACUACAACAGAAAAUAUGCCCUCGCUAAGCUGAGAUCUCAAUCAACAGAGGCAAGAAGUCGACCAAACCAAACCAAACCAACCAGGGCGUUGUUCUUGACGCUGAGCAUGAGAAUGGAGAGGGGCCCCGCGCUGAACUCCUCCUCCUCCUUCUUCCCCUGCUGCCAACAAAACAAAGACAGAACCAAUGACCGUGUCAGUAAGCUACUGUGGCGGAUGAGAACACCGUCGAGGGAGAAGAGGGGCGGAGGAAAGCAGCAGUGCUAAUCUAGUUUAAAGAACAAUGCCAUCAACUCAACAUGGCCUCCUACUUAUUGGUAGGCAAAGGAUGGUAAGCAAUGAUGCAGAGAAUGGCCAGGUAAUUAAGGGGCAACGUGAUUGUGCCCAGCAGCAGUAGAUGGUGGUCUACUGUUUGUUUGACAGCAUUAUUAAUAGGUGUUUCGUGCUGUCUUCUCAGGCAACAACAGUCAGGUACAAGUACACCUAGCAACAGAGCUGCCAAGGACGGAUGGACAAUGCAUAUCAUCUGUCAAGAAAGAUCUACCCACCUAACUGAAAAUUGGACAGUAGUAUAUGACUGGAAUGAAAGGAGAAAAAAGGAAUUCCAGGUCCUUUUUCUGGAAACAAAAUAAUUUACCAGACGCAUGCAUACACGGGCCAGGGAAGAAAAUGAUGCAGUGAAUUAGUCUGACGGAUAGAGAGAAAGAACAGGGAAGGGGAUUGUACUACUCACCGGGACGUCCUCUUGGAAGACGCCGUAGCUGUGGGGCGCCUCCAUGGCGAACUCCAUGCUGUUCCUCGGAGCAUCAAACCCUGCAAUUGAGCCCAAUGAGAAUCGGUUAAACUUGCUGCAACACACUGGACUUGGAUCGUUCUAAAAAACCCAGCGGAAGCUACUAAUCAAGCGAGAAGAGGGGCUCACUGGUGUGCCCUUGCUUGGCGGCGACGUGGAAGGCAUCGAGGUCGAGGCGGGAGCGGAGCUUGGCGGCCUCGAGGUCGUAGAGUGGGAGGAGGAGGCGCACGGCCUCGGCGUCCGCCGGGACAUAGAGCGCAGACUCCUGGGCGCCGGCCAGGAGGCGGCGUACGGCCUCGGCGUCCGCGGACCGGAGGGCCGCGAAGAGCGCCUAGUGGGAGAGCGGCGGGAGAUCCAUCGUCGAGCGGGCGGCCAACCGGAGAGCCGGCGUGAAGCUGACCAAACGGAACCCUAGCGCGUCGGCCGAGCUUCUCGACUCGAUCUAGGGCAUAGGGUAGGGAAAGAUGGUGAGGGAAGGGAGGGACGAGGUCGGCGGCGGUGGUGAGGAUGGCUGCGAGGUCGGCGGUGGGUGGGAGCGGCGAGGAGAGAACUAGAUCAGGGAAAGGAGGCUGGGGAGAGGACUGGAUCGAGGGAGGAGGUGGCGACAGCUGCGAGGAGAGGAGGGGUGCGAUGGGGGAGUCGAUGGGAUCCAGAGCUCGGUUGCCAUGGCUGCGCCGCGGGCUAGAGUUUCGGGCGCUUGGGAGGCAUGGGGNNNNNNNNNNNNNNNNNNNNNNNNNNNNNNNNNNNNNNNNNNNNNNNNNNNNNNNNNNNNNNNNNNNNNNNNNNNNNNNNNNNNNNNNNNNNNNNNNNNNNNNNNNNNNNNNNNNNNNNNNNNNNNNNNNNNNNNNNNNNNNNNNNNNNNNNNNNNNNNNNNNNNNNNNNNNNNNNNNNNNNNNNNNNNNNNNNNNNNNNNNNNNNNNNNNNNNNNNNNNNNNNNNNNNNNNNNNNNNNNCAUGGGGAUUCGGGCUCCUCGCCAUCGACGACCAUGGUGCGGGGGCGGCGGCGGCGGCUAGGGUUUGGCGAGCAGGUGCGGGUACGGGAGAGUGGGGGCGUGGGGGCUAGGGUUGGAACGGUGGGGAGUGGGGGCUGCGUGGGUGAGGGGGGUGAGAGGGCUACGUGGGUGAGAGGGUGAGGGGAUGAGGUCCGCCGUUGGAUCCCGGAGCAUCCGACGGUGUCGGAUGCAUGAUCCACGUGAUAUGCCUAUAGACCAAUCAGAACGCAACAAACAAUUUGAAGACUUUAUGACCUUUUAAAUAGGUCACGAAAAUAUCAUUUUCCAUUUUUUAGUGCUCAAAAUGAGUUCUUUUUUGUAAAAGACCUACCAAAUAUUUGUUCACAUGAUAUUCUUUAUAUUCUUUAUAUUUGUUCAAAAUGAGUUCUUUAUACUCUACAAAAGUUUACAUCUUGGAAUAGUAAACAGUAUCAACAAAGGGAUUUUUUAUAUUCUUUGCACAAAAAAUCAUUUUCCAUUUUUCGAGUGCCCCAAAUGAGGUUUUUUUGUGAAGGACCUACCAAAUAAUUGUUUAAAAAUUGGACCAAAUCAAUUUUAUAAAAUACUAGGACAUAUAUAAUGCACAAUUGACAAAAUGGUUGGGUGAAAAAAGUUUUGAUCCACCUCUGGUGAAAAACACAAAUUGUCGUCGAUUCAGUUGGAAACGGGUCAAAUUUGAACUGUAGCUGCCUCAUAGUUUGCUCUUUAUUUUUUCCAAAAAUCAUUUCUAGGUAAAUAAGUAUCUAUUUAAUCAUAGAAACACCAAAAAAAUUCCAAGAUUCAACCACUAGCUAGGAACGGUCAAGUCCGCCGUUUUGACCGCAUUUUGAAACGGGCAUAAAAAAUUCAAAAAAAUCAAAAAAUUGGAAAACCUUCGCAUGGUGUCAUUAUAUGUGACCAAGUUUUCAGGAAAAAUAAUAAACUUGUAAUAUGGUAAUUAUUUUAAAAAAGUGUUCUCAGAAAUGAGCUAUCAUGCGUGAAGAUUCAUGGCUUUCAAGCCAAAUGAUCAAUCUUAUGGCCACAUUCAUGGCAUAGUUUGUUCAAAUGAUCUCAUAUUGCGCACGAGGGUGCAUCUUGGAAUUCCAAACAAUGUUGCCUAAGGAAGUUUUCAUUUUCUUUGCACGGAAAAUUCAUUUUUCAUUCUCUGAGUGCCCAAAAGGAGGGUUUUUUGUGAAGGACUUACCAAAUAAUUGUUGCAAAAUUGGACCAAAUCAUUUUUAUAAAAUACUAGGCCAUAUAUAAUGCACAAUUGAAAAAAUGGUUGGGUGAAAAAAGUUUUGAUCUACCUCUGGUGAAAAAGACAAAUUGUCGUCGAUUCAAAUGGAAACGGGUCAAAUUUGAACUGUAGCUCCCUCAUAGUUUGCUCUUUAUUUUUUCCAAAAAUCAUUUCUAGGUACAUAAGUAUCUAUUUAAUCAUAGAAACACCAAAAAAAUUCCAAGAUUGAACCACUAGCUAGGAACGGUCAAGCCCGCCGUUUUGACCGCAUUUUGAAAAGGGCAUAAAAAAUUCAAAAAAAAUCAAAAAAUUGGAAAACCUUCGCAUUGUGUCAUUAUAUGUGACCAAGUUCUCAGGAAAAAUAAUAAAAUUGUAAUAUAGUAAUUAUUUUAAAAAAGUGUUCUCAGAAAUGAGCUAUCAUGCGUGAAGAUUCAUGGCUUUCAAGCCAAAUGAUCAAUCUUAUGGCCACAUGCAUGGCAUAGUUUGUUCAAAUGAUCUCAUAUUGUGCACGAGGGUGCAUCUUGGAAUUCCAAACAAUGUUGCCUAAGGAAGUUUUCAUUUUAUUUGCACGGAAAAUUCAUUUUUCAUUUUCUGAGUGCCCAAAAGGAGGGUUUUUUGUGAAGGAACUACCAAAUCAUCGUUGCAAAAUUGGACCAAAUCAUUUUUAUAAAAUACUAGGCCAUAUAUAAUGCACAAUUGACAAAAUGGUUGGGUGAAAAAAGUUUUGAUCUACCUCUGGUGAAAAAGACAAAUUGCCGUCGAUUCAGUUGGAAGCGGGUCAAAUUUGAACUGUAGCUGCCUCGUAGUUUGCUCUUUAUUUUUUUCCAAAAAUCAUUUCUAGGUACAUAAGCAUAUAUUUAAUCAGAGAAACAUCAAAAAAAUUCAAGAUUCAACCACUAGCUAGGAACGGUCAAGCCUGCCGUUUGACUGAAUUUUGAAACGGGCAUAAAAAAUUCAAAAAAAUCAAAAAAUUGGAAAACCUUCGCAUUGCGUCAUUAUAUGUGACCAAGUUACCAGGAAAAAUAAUAAACUUGUAAUACGGUAAUUAUUUUAGAAAAGUGUUCUCAUAAAUGAGCUAUCAUGUGUGAAGAUUCAUGGAUUUCAACCCAAACGCUCAAUCUCAUGGUCACAUUCAUGGCAUAGUUUGUUCAAAUGAUCUCAUAUUGUGCACAAUCGUGCAUCUUGGAAUUCCAAACAAUGUUGCCUAAGGGAGUUUUCAUUUUCUUUGCACGGAAAAUACAUUUUCCAUUUUCCGAGUGCCCGAAAUGAGGUUUUUUUGUGAAGGACCUACCAUAUAUUUGUUGCAAAAUUGGACCAAAUAAUUUUUAUAAAAUAUUAGGACAUAUUUAAUGCACAAUUGACAAAAUGGUUGGGUGUAAAAAGUUUUGAUCCUCCUCUCGUGAAAAAGACAAAUUUCCGUCGAUUCAGUUGGAAGCGGGUCAAAUUUGAAUUGCAGCUGCCUCAUAGUUUGCUAUUUAUUUUUUCCAAAAAUCAUUUCUAGUUACAUAAGUACCUAUUUAAUCAGAGAAACAUAAAAAAAAUCCCAAGAUUCAACCACUAGCUAGGAACGGUCAUUCUCGCUGUUUUGACCGCAUUUUGAAACUUGCAUAAAAAAUUAAAAAAAAAUCAAAAAAUUGGGAAACCUUCACAUUGUGUCAUUAUUUGUGGCCAAGUUCCCAGGAAAAAUAACAAACUUGUAAUAUGGCAAUUAUUUUAAAAAAGUGUUCUCAGAAACGAGCUAUCACGUGUGGAGAUCAAUGGUUUUCAAGCCAAAUGAUCAAUCUUAUGGCCACAUUCAUGGCAUAGUUUGUUCAAAUGAUCUCAUAUUGUGCAUAAGGGUGCAUAUUGGAAUGGCAAACAAUGUUGCCUAAGGAAGUUUUCAUUUUCGUUGGACGAAAAAACCAUUUUCCAUUUCUCGAGUGCCCGAAAGGAGGUUUUUUUGUGAAGGAACUACCAAAUAAUUGUUGCAAUAUUGGACCAAAUUAUUUUUAUAAAAUACUAGGCCAUAUUUAAUGCACAAUUGACAAAAUGGUUGGGUGUAAAAAUUUUUGAUCCACCUCUCGGGAAAAAGACAAAUUUCCGCCGAUUCAGUUGGAAGCGGGUCAAAUUUGAACUGCAGCUGCCUCAUAGUUUGCUAUUUAUUUUUUCCAAAAAUCAUUUCUAGUUACAUAAGGACCUAUUUAAUCAUAAAUACAUGGUUUGGUGGCGAUACGUCCAGGUUUGGGCGGUGGCCGAGGGCCCAACUCUAGAGCGCGUAAACUCGCAUGCCCGUCGCGUGGUCACCGCGUGACCGUAAUGUUGCCAUGUGUUCUGGGCGGCCUAGGCAUGUCUAGUGGGUUGGGCACUCCCCAGGUUGGUUCUAGGAAGAAAAUUACAACAUAAGAUUCUCACGAGGAGACCGAUCGAUGCUCAAACAUGAAUUAGCAGCCAAGUGUUUGAUUUGCGGUACGGGAAAUGCACAUGGCCAAUGGGCGUGAGUUUUGGCUGAGGAUGAUCAUCUACUAAGGAGAAUGUCUUCACAAAUUUUUAGCUCAAAAGGAGGAUCCUAGGUGGUACUUGCUUUGCAAAGUACCACGCUGGACAAAAAUAUGAAUGUUGAAGCUGGGCUCAAAAUAAUGAAUGGAGUGAGCUGAAAUUUUGUGGAGGAUGGUUAUUUGGGCAUAGGAAAGCAUUGUAGAAAAUUGAUACCAUUUGGACAUGCCAAAGUAGUAGUUCCUUCACAAUGCUCUUCUAUGGAUAGAAACUUGGGAAAACUAGUGAGAGAGAUUGGAUGAAUGAAAUGAGCUCAAAAUUGGUGUAGGUAAGUUACUUUGGUAUGGUCAUGCGCUGGUCAAUUUUCAGAUCAUUUGGGUAAGCCUAGCUAGUACUUACUUCACAAAGCUUCUCUCGAGGUAGAAACUUUGGAAAUUUCCCGAGAAAGAUUUACUAGGAAAAUUGAGCUGAAUAUUACCAUGUGGCAAUGAUUUGGGUAUGGAAGAGUGCACGAAAAGUUUGAGGGUAAUAGGAGGGGUCUAUAUAACACUUGCUUUGCAACGUGCCAAUUUGGCCAUAAAAUAUAAAUUGAACCUGGGCUCACAUAGAUGAUUUGACUAAGCUGCAAUUUGGAGGAGGGUGAUAAUUUGCGCAUAUGAAGGAACUGUAUACAUUUCAUGUCAUUUACAGAUAUAAAAAAGGUACUUCCUUCACAAUGCUUCUAGGUGGACAAAAACUUUGAAAAUUCGCCAAGGAAGAUUUGCUAGGCAAAUGGAGCUGAAUUUUGUCAUGCGGUAAUGAUUUGGAUUGGAAAGAGUGCCCAAAAAUUCCGAGGUCAAUCAAGAAUAUAUAAAUAGCACUUCCUUCAUAAAGUGUUGUUGUGAACAGAAUAGGAAAAUGAAUAUUGUUGAAUUAGUUUUGAACUAGGCAAGGAAGGAUUUUUACAUAUUUGAUGAAGAUAUGCCCCAAAGAAUUUAUGAGAUUUUUUUGGGAAUUUUGGGAAUGAUAGAAAUAUAGGUUGCUUCACAACCUAGGGCAAAAACUGCCACAUGGACAUGACACAUAGGCAAAACUGAUGAGAUGGCGCCUAGUCAUCACAACCCACCACAAUCUACAAGGCUAUGACCAUCUAUAUUGGUCAUUAACAACUAGAAAUAAGGCAGCGGACUAGCACUGUUUGCUUUGUGACCAUUUCGUGUAAGGAAAUUACGACCUUUCUGACCAAAAUGGUCGCAAUGGUUUAGGGUUUGGAGCCCCCUGAAGAGCUUUUGACCAAUUGGUCUAAAAUGGUCAUAAAUUUAUGACCAAUUCUUCGAGGGUCACUGACAGAAGGUCAUAAGUUGACAUAUUUCUUGUACUGAUACUUCAAGCAUACCAACUAAGCAAUCAUGUCUUCUCAAAAUAACAUGGCCAAAGAAAGUUAUCCCUACAAAAUCAUAGUCUGGCUAUGCUCUAUCUUCACCACACAAAAUAUUUAAAUCAUGCACAACCCCGAUGACAUGCCAAGCAAUUGUUUCAUACUUUUGAUGUUCUCAAACUUUUUCAAUCUUCACGCAAUACAUGAGCGUGAGCCAUGGAUAUAGCACUAUAUGGUGGAAAAGAAUGGUGUUUGUGGAGAAGACAAAAAGGAGAAGAUAGUCUCACAUCAACUAGGCGUAUCAAUGGGCUAUGGAGAUGCCCAUUAAUAGAUAUCAAUGUAAGUGAGUAGGGAUUGCCAUGCAACAAAUGCACUAGAUCUAUAAGUGUAUGAAAGCUCAACAAAAGAAACUAAGUGGGUGUGCAUUCAACUUGCUUCCUCAUGAAGACCUAGGGCAAUUUGAGGAAGCCCAUCAUUGGAAUAUACAAGCCAAGUUCUUUAAUGAAAAAUUCCCACUAUUAUAUGAAAGUGAUAUCAUAGGAGACUCUCUAUCAUGAAGAUCAUGGUGCUACUUUGAAGCACAAGUGUGGAAAAAGGAUAGAAGCAUUGUCCCUUCUCUCUUUUUCUCUCAUUUUUUUCUUUGGGCCUUUUUUGGCCUCUUUUCUUUUUCCCUUUUUUUCGUCCAGAGUCUCAUCCCGACUUGUGGGGGAAUCAUAGUCUCCAUCAUCCUUUCCUCACUGGGACAAUGCUCUAAUAAUGAUGAUCAUCACACUUUAUUUACUUACAACUCAAAAAUUACAACUCGAUACUUAGAACAAGAUAUGACUCUAUGUGAAUGCCUCCGACGGUGUACCGGGAUGUGCAAUGAUGCAUGAGUGACAUGUAUGAAAAUUAUGAAUGGUGGCUUUGCCACAAAUACGAUGUCAACUACAUGAUCAUGCAAGCAAUAUGACAAUGAUGAAGCUUGUCAUAAUAAUGGAACAAUGGAAAGUUGCAUGGCAAUAUAUCUCGGAAUGGCUAUGGAAAUGCCAUAAUAGGUAGGUAUGGUGGCUGUUUUGAGAAAGGUAUAUGGUGGGUUUAUGGUACUGGCGAAAGUUGUGCAAUACUAGAGAGGCUAGCAAUGGUGGAAGGGUGAGAGUGUGUAUAAUCCAUGGACUCAACAUUAGUCAUAAAGAACUCACAUACUUAUUGCAAAAUAUACAAGUUAUCAAAGCAAAGUAUUACGCGCAUGCUCCUAGGGGGAUAUAUUGGUAGGAAAGGACCAUCGCUCGUCCCCGACCGCCACUCAUAAGGAAGACAAUCAAUAAAUAAAUCAUGCUCCGACUUCAUCACGUAACGGUUCACCAUACGUGCAUGCUAUGGGAAUCACAAACUUUAACACAAGUAUUUCUCAAAUUCACAAUUACUCAACUAGCAUGACUCUAAUAUCACCAUCUCCAUAUCUCAAAACAAUUAUCAAGUAUCAAACUUCUCAUAGUAUUCAAUGCACUUGUAUGAAAGUUUUUAUUAUUGCCAUGUUGUUCUAAAGGACUCUCAAAAUAAUAUAAGUGAAGAAUGAGAGAACAAUUAUUUCUAUAAAAUAAAACCACAGCCGUGCUCUAAAAGAUAUAAGUGAAGCACUAGAGCAAAAACUAUAUAGCUCAAAAGAUAUAAGUGAAGCACAUAGAGUAUUCUAAUAAAUUCCCAAUCAUGUGAGUCUCUCUCAAAAGGUGUGUACAGAAAGGAUGAUUGUGGGCGAAGGUACACUCCUGUUUUUCCCACCUGUUCGUUUUCUCUCUCGUUUUCCCACCUGCUCCCUCCCUCCCACCUGCUCCCUCACGCCGGCGGCCACUCCGGCCCCGGCGUCCACCUUCCUCGGCGUCGGUCGCCCCGGCCGCACCGCCCAUGGCCUCGUCCCCCCCGCCCUCCGCCGCCGUCGGGCGCUCCCGCGAGGAAAGAUGGCUAGAGUCGAGCCCUUCCUCCGCCGGGUCGCCGCCCACCUACCACCUGAUCCUCUACCGCCCGCCAUCGCCACCCCGGGCGCCCGCUCCCUCCUGUUCUCCUUCCCCUACGCCGUCGCCGACGGGCCCAGCUCCGCUGCCUGCCCCGCGCCCGCCUCCCCGCUCUGAGAUCUGCCAGAGGCCCUUGGAGGAGGUGGAUGCGUGCGUGUCUUGGCAGGUGGUGGUAAGCCGCAAGCGGCCCCGUCUGCGUGCGCUGGACAGCCGCCGGCGUGGCCUGGACGUGCGGCCCUGCCCCAGGCCGUCUUGGCUCCGCGAGGGUGACUGUCCAUGGUGCUUGGGCUCCGGUCACCCCCUCUUCGACUGCAGGAAGGAUAUUCGUUGCCAUCGUUGUCACUUCUUUGCCCACAAGGCCAAGUCUUGCUUCCUCCCCUGGGCCAUCGCGUUGUCCUCCGAUGGUUCCUCCCCUCUGCUUCGGCGCCGCGUUCCCACUCCGGUCGCCGCGGAUGGCCACCCCUCGUCCUCAGGAUCCUUGGCCGCCACGCGCACCUCCUCGGGCUUGCUCACGCCCGCGUUGGGGGCUUUUGGGGCAGGUGCACCCGUGCUCUUCGGGUCUGCCCUGGGCGCCGGAUCGCCCCCGGGACAAGCAUCCCCCGAGUCCUCCGGGUGGACUGCGGCGGCCUCGUCUCGGGCCGCCCUGCCGUCUCCGGCCACCUCUGCCCCUGCGUCUUCCUCGCGGCCUUCCUCGCCGACCUCGGUCGCCUCUUCCGUCGCCACACCGCUCUCUGGGCACCCAGCAUUUCGCCCUGCGGCCGCUGUGUGCUACCCACCGCGCUCCCAGGAGAUCAUCGAGGCAGAGCGUGCGCUGGAGCACGCGCUGCUCGUCAUCGUCACGGGCUGCCGCAUGGGCGUGUCGCGGGAGGAGGUUGCCGACGCCAUUUGCUCCCAGUGUGACCUUGCUGCUGCGGAGUUCACCAUUCACAAGCAUGCUCCAGAAGAUUUCCUCCUCCGCUUCUCCAGCACAGAGUCCCGCACCCACGUCGCCCAGAGCUGCGUUCCCACCUCCCGGUUCAGGCUGAUCUUUCAUCCAUGGGGCCGCGAGGCCGGCUCCGAGCCCGUUAAGGCACUCUUCCUCGUGUCCCUCGAGCUCUACGGCAUCCUUGCUCAUGCUUGGCACCGGGCGGCCACCGAGACCUUGCUUGCCCCCUUCUGCAAGGUCGAGCACCUCGCCCCCGAGACACGCAACCUCGCCGACAUGUACGUUUUUCGUUUGAGUGCAUGGACCAUCAACCCAGACGCGAUUCCGCGCUCCUCCUGCCGGGCGACGAUGCUGUGGAGCUUGACGCCGACCCGGACCGCGCCGAGCGCCUCGCGCUUGGGCUCGCGUGCUUCCCCAUUCGAAUCCAUGUGGCNNNNNNNNNNNNNNNNNNNNNNNNNNNNNNNNNNNNNNNNNNNNNNNNNNNNNNNNNNNNNNNNNNNNNNNNNNNNNNNNNNNNNNNNNNNNNNNNNNNNNNNNNNNNNNNNNNNNNNNNNNNNNNNNNNNNNNNNNNNNNNNNNNNNNNNNNNNNNNNNNNNNNNNNNNNNNNNNNNNNNNNNNNNNNNNNNNNNNNNNNNNNNNNNNNNNNNNNNNNNNNNNNNNNNNNNNNNNNNNNNNNNNNNNNNNNNNNNNNNNNNNNNNNNNNNNNNNNNNNNNNNNNNNNNNNNNNNNNNNNNNNNNNNNNNNNNNNNNNNNNNNNNNNNNNNNNNNNNNNNNNNNNNNNNNNNNNNNNNNNCUGCCUCCGCGUUGGCCGCAGCAUCACCAGUUCCACCCUGCCCGCUCCGGCGGCUCUCGGCGGCACCCUAGUCGGGGCGGCCGCCGGCGCGGUCGUCGCCAUGUGCACGUGCCCCCUCCGUGCCGUGGUUGGGAGGGAAUCUUGGGGCCCCACCCUGAUGCUCUUCCCUUCGCUGACUGGGUCUCCGCGCGGCUCUGAUUGGGCGACACCCCCUUGCUGACCAUUGUCGGGCCACGUGACGCGCCAGACGCGCCAUCCCCCGCGCUGGAGACCAGCCCAUCCGACCUUGUGCAAACCUCAGGGUCCCAGGUGUCCCGGGAUGCGUGCAUUUCAAACCGACCAACCGGCGCCGCGCCUUCCUCCCCAAGCCCCGCUGGGACUUCCCUGGCGAUCCCAAUCAGCCAAUCAGGAGUCGACAACGCCCCUCCCCGUGAUGAUGGGCCUAUGCCGCGCCUGCUGCUGGGCGACAUUGAGGGGCCCAUCCGGCCCCUACCGCCUGUUGCUGAUGCGGCCGACGUGGGAGAUUCGUCUGCGGCCAAUCCCACGCCUCCCCACCCCUUGUCCACAUGCAGCCCAGAUCCCGAGCCGACCGAGGCCCCACCACACUUGGUUGCGGCCUCUCCUAACGCGCCCUCCGUCUGCAUGGACCGCGCCGAUCCCGAGCCUAUGGCGGUCCCACCCUGCUUGGACAUGGUCUUGCAUGCUGCACCCACCGGUCCGGUCGAUGACAGGUCGGCCCCGCCACCCAUGCAACCCAUGCAAAAUACAGAUGUUUCUGCGCCCGACGUGGAUCUUUCCUCUUUCAUCAAUGCCAUCUCCACCAGGGCGUCUGCUCUGCUCCCGGCGCCUAAGCCUCGGCGACGUAGAAAGGAGCUGCCGUCCAACUUCACCCCUCAUCGCAGUUUCCGGAUCGUGCGCGCGGACCAAGGGCUAAACUCCGAGAUGAAAGCCAAGCGGGUGUUGCUUCGUCGUCUCGAUCUCAUCUCUUGUGACGAUGCGCCAAUCUCCGACGAGGUGCUUGGCAAAUACGCCCUCCUCUUCGAGCAGCCACUGGCGUUAGACGUGCUACAAGCUUUCGCCGACUUCUUCGGGUGGCAACUGCCCAGCUUGCUGCCCCCUCCCCUGGGGCAGCUCAUUGUCGCCUAGGUGGCUGCCUCUGCGCCGUCUAUAACGUGCCCCCCUUUUCCUAUGGACUGUAACCUCAAAACAAUUUUUUGGAAUGUCUGUGGUCUUAACUCUGGCGCUAAGCGCUCCGCCGUCCACAGCGUGAUCUCCGCUGCCGUGCCUACCAUAGUGUGUUUCCAAGAGACAAAGCUCGCUCACGUCUCCGACACCAUUGUCGUGGACACGCUAGGUCCGUCCUUUGAGGACUUUUUCUUCCUCCCCGCGGAUGGCACACGCGGUGGCAUCCUCCUAGCUUGGCAAAGUUCUACCAUCUCCCUCUCCAACCCCCUCAUCGGUGAGCAUCACGUUACGGCCUUGGUCUCCUCCUUCGCCGGCGAGGGCCAUUGGUGGCUCACCGGGGUGUACGGGCCUCAAGAUGAUGACGCCAAACUUGAGUUCCUUGCCAAGUUACAUGACGUGCGCGAGUCCCGUAUCGGCACAUGGCUCAUUGGUGGAGAUUUCAACAUGAUCACCUCGGCGUCAGAGAAGAACAACUCUAACAUCAACCGUCGCACCAUGAACAGAUUUAGGUGCUUCAUCGCCGACGAGGAGCUUUGUGACCUCUAUAUGCACGGCCGACGAUAUACUUGGUCCAACAAGCGCGACGCCCCUACUCUUGUUCAUAACGACCGCAUUCUUUGCACCUCCAGUUGGGAGAUCGCCCACCCACACUGUUGGGGAUGUCACUACUGGGCGUAAACCGGCCUAUCUGGGCCGGGUUAACUUUGUCAGUAGUUAAGUAUGUUAAAGCCCAAGAAGGCAGAUGAGGGCUCAAGGCCCAUAGUCAGUUCAAGGCCUAUAGCCGUAAACCGGCGUUGGUAUUUAACUUGCAUUGUAAGUUAGGAAUAAGUAGAGACCAAACCGGACACAUCUAUGAGCCGGUAUUGGGACUCUGUGAACCGACGGGCGUCACUCAUGUAUAUAAGGGGACGACCCGGCGGCGGUUCAGGGACAACAGACAACAACUCGAGACAUAGGCGAAGCUUGUUUGCUCCCUGGUCAUCGAAACCCCAUCAAUUCCAUCACAACUAGACGUAGGCUUUUACCUUCAUCGAAGGGGCCGAACUAGUAUAAACUCUCUUGCGUCCCUGUGUCCGCUUUAACCCCUUCAAGAUAACCCGUCGCGAUGGCUCCAUGACUAAGUCCUUUCUCUAGGACAUCUGCCGUGACAAAAUCACGAUAGUUGGCGCCCACCAUGGAUCGGGAUCUGGCGGCGAGACCGUCAUUUACUCCGGCGAUGAGUCAUCAACCGGAGAAACCGAAUCUCUAUAUCAGCUACAAGAUGGCCGGAUUGGGGGUUGUUCCGAUGGCGACAGUAUUCCGGACCCCUCUGAUCUACCCAGCCGAGUUGGAAUAUUCAUGGCUGGCACACAAGCAGCACUUCAUUCUUCGACCGCUGCGCCAAUGACCUUCGGUUCAGUAGCAGCGACGGCUGCCGGGGCAGGAGGCUCUAUACGCCCGCCGGCUCAAUUUCUAUCAGAUCUGUUUGAUACAUUGGCCGUGCUCAUGGCAGAAGCUAAGCCGGCGGAUCAGGACGCCCACAACGCGGAGAUAGCAAAGGUGAAGGAGCAGAUCACCCAGGCCAAGGCAGACCUGGCAGCUGAGGAUACCAGGAUGACCGUAGAGCGGGCCGCUUUAGACGCACAAGCCUACAAGCUCAUGUUGGACCAGAACGCGUCGCUUGAAGUCAUGAGGAGGAAGUACCGAUCCCGUUUGCCUUCGGUUUUCGAGGCCAGAGACCUUUUCAACACCCCAGGAGCAGGAACCAGUAAUCCGAUGGAGGUAAAUCGGGCGGAAGCCCCUGCGACCGGCGUGCCGGUUCAGCCCCGUCGGACGGAUCUGCCUCGUCAAAAUACCGUUAUACCUCAGGCUGUUUCGACACCUCCGGGUCACUACUCCAACCCGAUGGACAAUCUCGUUGCCGCUGCUGCACGGAUGGAGGCCAUUCCAAUCGAAGGUGACUCGCCGCAGGCAGUAGAGAUGCGGCGGGUCAAGGAGCUUCUGAGGACAGCUUUGGUCCAACAGGAAGCAUGCUCGUACAGCCGUGACCGGAUCCACUCAACACCCCGUCCAAGCCGGAGCUAUAGCAGGCAUAUGGAUGAACCGGAAGUGUCGAGUAAUGAAUGACGUGGAGCACCCCGUGGCAACUACCCGGCGGGUGGUGCUGAUAACGCUUAGGAAGUGGUGGACUGGGCCCGAGCGCGCAGGGAGGCCGAGUUAGCCGCACAGUAUCAGGCUUGGCAGCUUAUGCCGGUUCGUCCAACUAUCUCGAUCGAACCUGGUGUUACUUCUAGUUCUUUGGGGGUGCCUUGCCUUGUCCCCGCUUUACGCAAUGUGCGCCUGCCCAAGGAUUUCAAAGGCCCGCGCAAAGUACCAAAUUACACGGCGGAUCAACCUCCAGAGACAUGGGUGGAGAGCUAUGAGAUGGCCAUGGAGAUGCUUGAUGUGGAUGACGCGGCAUGUGCGAAAUACUUCACCAUGAUGCUUGAAGGAACGGCCCGUACUUGGUUAAAAAGCUUGCCGGCUAAUUCUAUCAGUUCAUGGGCCCAAUUACGAGCCCAGUUUAUCAGCAAUUUCAAGGAUACAUGUAAGCAGCCUAUGUCGAUAGUGGACUUAGCUGCCUGUGUCCAGGAGGAAGGAGAAUCAACGACCCAUUGGGUACGCCGGGUUUCACAAGUGUUGCAUUCGUCAGACCGCAUAAACGCUGACACCGCAGUAUUAACCCUAGAAGGCAACUGCCGGUUUGGGCCCCUGAAGCUGAAGUUGGGACGGAUGAAGCGUCAUUGCACUGACAUGGGGACCCUCAUGGCUGCUUUGGUAAAGUAUGCUGAUUCUGAUAGUACCAAGGAUCCCGAAUCUGAUGAUGACAAGGCAGGAAAGGGAAAGAGGAACGACAACUCCAAAGGGCAGCAGCAUCACUUGGUAGGCAAUGGUGGUGGAGGCAAGCGUAAAGCGGAUGGUAACAUGGACUUUGUGGCUAAUACCAACGCGCAGGACAAGGGCCAGCGAUGCAGGGGUAAACCGCCAAAUCGCAGUGGGGCACCCAACCCUAACCCGGACCGCCUAAACUAUCUACUGAGCCAGCCCUGUCCGAGACAUGGGACGAAGGAGGCGCCAGCAAACCACCUUUGGAAGGAUUGCUUCACUAUGCAGGAGUUCAAGAAUUCUAAUGCUUUCCGGUAUGAUCAUGGCUCCGGCAGUGGUUCAGGAUCCGGGUCGGGUUACGGUGGAGGAAAUUCCGGUUCAUGAUUUAAUGGUAAUCCGGGUGGACAUAAUAAUCAAAAUAAUCAGAACAACCAGGGUGGUAACAACCAACAGCAGCAACAGUCAGGUUACCAGAGCAAUCCAAAGCAGUUGAGUAGUGGGCAGUACCAUGUCUUCACCACUAGCUUGGACAAGCGAGACCGGAAAUUUUAGAGGCGGGCAGUCAACUCAAUUGAACCGGCCGUUGUCGGCGUUCUGGGAACGGGGGUCCCCAGACUUGCUUGCCUGCGGCCUGUGGCGUGGCUCAAAAGGGGGGGGGGCAGCACGGCCCAUCUUCAUCAACACAGACUCAAGACCCUCGCGAGGGGCCAAGCCUCGCGGGGUGGACAACAUGGAGCUUCCUCAAGCACGGCCUCAUCAGGCUGGCCCGCGAGGAGGCGGAGAGAUCAAGGCGGGGUACCUCACGAGGUGCCCGUGACGCAAGCCAUGACGACCAAGGGCGCCAGGCGGGCGCCAGCCCGCGCAGCGUCCUCCUUUCCCCUUUGGUGCAAAGGGGGCAAGCGCAACCGCGGAGUACCGAGGCAUUAGGCAAAGGUUGCCCUUUCGGUGCAACAAGACCAAGACCAGAAGGACUGCAAGACGGAGGUCAUCGUGGAGCCCAAGACGGCGUCACCACCAGAGCUUUGUGCAGGCGAAGACUACUUUUGUCAGGAUAGCUGGUACUAGCUGUCCCCCUUCAAAUUAGCCCGCCAUUGUUGGCUCCCUUCCCGCUCAAUAUUUGGGAAGAGGACCAGGGCCUCUAUAAAUAGGACUAGCCACCCCCAGUAGAGGGCAUCAAGGAUCGAAAAGAGGAGAUCGAAUCAGAGAGAAAGAGAGAGAAGGGUGAUUGAACUCCUCCUAGCAGUUCAUCGCCCCAGCCAAGAACAGACCCUCGCGAGGCUGUUCUUCCUUGUAUUGUUCAUCAUCAUCAGCCCAAGAGGCAAUCCACACACCACACACCGGAGUAGGGUAUUACACCACAACGGUGGCCCGAACCAGUAUAAACCCCGUGUCUCUUGUGUUGUUCUUUCCAUAGCUUAGAUCUUAGCGAGGCGGAGGGGUGCAGGUAGGUAGAAGGCGAAAUCUCCGCGCGCACCCCAGUGUUUGAACCUCAAGGGUCUGCCGGAACCCGAAAUCCGACAUUUGGCGCGCCAGGUAAGGAUGUUUUGUUAAUAUUGUGGUGCUCUAUCCAUCAAUGUCUUUGUUUGCAUUUAUGGAGCGCCCUAGGUUGAGUCAUUCGAGCUCUACUUUUGCUAUAAAAUGAUCCUGGCAGAUUGUUGACAUGUUUAGUGAUUUUGCCGAGGAUGUUGCUAUUGAUCCGUGCAUGAUAUGAUGUUGUUCUUGCCAUGUAUAGCUCCUAUGCCAUGUCUUAUUGAUGAGUGUAUACUUAGUUUGUCAUGCCAUGCCCUGUAGUGAGUGCAUCGAGCUCGUAAACAUGCCUACUCGUUAACUGUUUUACAUGCUCCGGUUUUUCACCAAGUCUGAAUCCGUUUAUGUUUUUGCCAUGUUCACAUGCUUGCAAUUGUAUUUUAUGAUCCCUUUUGGCUCAAGGUCACUAAGGGACUUUUGUUAAGUGCUUUGAGUAGCUUCAUGCCAUGCCUUGCUUUGCCAUGUUAAGUUCCUGUAGCAUGUAGUUUUCAUGCUCUAAAGUGUGCUUCCUGAUGAUAAAUUCCAGACUUGUGUUAAUUUCACUAAGUCUGAAACCUGUUAUCAUUUGCACUUUUGCCAUGCUUGUUUGAACCUGUUAAUGGAUGAAUUAGCCGUAGCUCAGUGUUCAUCUUUUGUCAAGCAUCAUGAGUGGAUCCCUGCCAUUUAUUUUGUUAUCAUGUUUGAGUGUUGUAGCAUAUUUAUCUUGAUGCAUUUAUCUGGCUACUUGCUGAUUAUCGCAGACCGGUGCCAUAUUUGUUUUGUUUGCCAUUUCCAAACCGUGCAUCCGAUUCCGGUGAUCUUUAUAUCGAUUUCAACCGAAAUCACCUCACCUUUCCAAUGGAACUCUUGGAUUUCCAAGUUGAGGCCAGGUUCCAUCAUUCCUUUGCAAAUCUUGCAUAUGCAUCACAUACCGCAUCCCGCAUAUCAUACCAUGUUUGCAUCAUGUUGUUUGAGCAUUGCACGUGGUUGAUUGUGUUCUGUUUGCUUGUUGUUCUUGGUUGGGUAGAGCCGGGAGACGAGUUCGUGAACGAGGAGCCCGUUGAGUUCGCUUACAAGGAUCAAGGCAACUCUAACAACUUUGCAGGCAAGAUGACCAUACCCUCGAAAUCACUUCUAUCUUUGCUUGUUAGAUGCUCGCUCUUUUGCUAUGCCUGGGCUACGAUACCUACCACUUUCUUAUCAUGCCUCCCAAAUUGCCAUGUCAAACCUCUAACCCACCAUGUCCUAGCAAACCGUUGUUUGGCUAUGUUACCGCUUUGCUCAGCCCCGCUUAUAGCGUUGCUAGUUGCAGGUGAAGAUUGGAGAUCGUUCCUUGUUGGAACAUUGUUUAUUGUUGGGAUAUCACAAUAUUAUAUUGUUUAUUUUAAUGCACCUAUAUACUUGGUAAAGGGUGGAAGGCUCGGCCUUAUGCCUAGUGUUUUGUUCCACUCUUACCGCCCUAGUUUCUGUCAUAUCGGUGUUAAGUUCCCGGAUUUUGCGUUCCUUACACGGUUGGGUUAUAAUGGGAACCCCUUGACAGUUCGCCUUGAAUAAAACUCCUCCAGCAAUGCCCAACCUUGGUUUUACCAUUUGCCACCUAGCCUCUUUUUCCCUUGGGUUUCCGGAGCCCAAGGGUCAUCUUUAUUUAAACCCCCCUGCGCCAGUGCUCCUCUGAGUGUUGGUCCGACUGAGCUGCCUGCGGGGCCACCUCAGGGAAACUUGAGGGUUGGUUUUACUCGUAGCUAGUCUCAUCUGAGUGUGCCCUGAGAACGAGAUAUGUGCAGCUCCUAUCGGGAUUUGUCGGCACAUUCGGGCGGUGUUGCUGGAUGUGUUUUACCAUUGUCGAGGAUGUGUUGUAACCGGGAUGCCGAGUCUGAUCGGAUUGUCUUGGGAGAAGGAAUAUCCUUCGUUGACUAUGAGAGCUUGUGAUGGGCUAAGUUGGGACUCCCCUGCAGGGAUUUGAACUUUCGAAAGUCGUGCCCGCGGUUAUGGGUAGAUGGGAAUUUGUUAAUGUCCGGUUGUAGAUAACCUGAAACUUAACUUAAUUAAAAUGAAUCAAUCGCGUGUGUAACCGUGAUGGUCUCUUCUCGGUGGAGUCCGGGAAGUGAACACGGUGUGGAGUAAUGCUUGGCAUAGGUUGUUCUAGGAUCACUUCUUGAUCAUAGUUGUUCGACCGUGCUUUUGCCUUCUCUUCUCGCUCUCAUUUGCGUAUGUUAGCCACCAUAUAUGCUAGUCGCUUGGUGCAGCUCCACAUCAUACCUUGUCUUACCUAUAAGCUUAAAUAGUCUUGAUCGUGAGGGUGCGAGAUUACUGAGUCCCCGUGACUCACAGAUUACUUCCAAACCAGAUGCAGGGACCGAUGAUACCGUUCCAGAUGAUGCGCUUGAGCUCAAGAGGGAGUUCGAUGAAGACUCUCGUUGUUACUAUGUGUCUUUCCCAGAUGGUCAGUAGUGGUGCCCAGUUGGGGCGAUCGGGGACUUUGUCGCAUGUGGGGGUUGAUCUUUAUUUUGGUACCGUAGUCGGACCAUGAGUGUAUUGGAUGAAUGUAAUGUUAUUCAUGUAUUUGUGUGACGUGGCGAGUGUAAGCCAACUAUGUAUAUUUUCCCCUUUUAUCUAUUUACAUGGGUUGUUGUGAAGAUUACCUUACUUGCGAUAUUGCUUUCAAUGCGGUUAUGCCUCUAAGUCGUGCUUCGACAUGUAGGAGAUAUAGCCGCAUCGAGGGCGUUACAUGCUGGAUAUUACUGAAGGUUUAUUGAGGGGUUCUCCACCAUAGCAAAACCAAUGACAGAGUUACUCAAGAAGGAUAAGAAAUUUCUAUGGACUGAAGCUUGCGAGAAAAGUUUCCAAGAACUCAAAAGGAAAUUAACAACAACACCAGUAUUGGUUGUACCAGACAUACACAAAAGUUUUGAAGUAUAUUGUGACGCAUCCCGGAAGGGCCUCGGAUGCGUACUAAUGCAAGAAGGCAAAGUAGUCUCAUACGCUUCCGGGCAACUACGAAAGCAUGAAGAAAAUUAUCCUACUCAUGACUUGGAAUUGGCAGCAGUCAUUCAUGCACUCAAAGAGUGGAGGCACUUUUUGCUUGGAAAUUGUUGUGAAAUAUAUACGGACCAUAAAAGCCUCAAAUAUAUUUUCACACAACCAGAACUCAAUUUACGACAAUAGCGCUAGUUGGAAUUAGUGAAAUAUUAUGAUGUUGGCAUUCACUACCAUCCAGGAAAGGCGAAUGUAGUGGCAGAUGCUCUUAGUCGAAACCCCAGCUCGAGCAAAGACAGUCUACAGAACUUGAGACCUGAAUUUCAGCAGGAGUUCGCCAAACUCAACUUGGUGAUGGUCACUGAAGGCAAUGUGUCAGAUUUGGAAAUACAGCCAACCCUAAUGGAACAGAUUAAGAAGGCUCAUCAUGGACACCCCAACAUCAAAGGCAUAAAAAGAAAAGUGAGUCUGGGAAAGGCUUCAGAAUUCAUCGUAGACGAUAAGGGAAUAUUAUGGUACGGAGACAGACUUUGCGUACCAAAUAUAGUGGACCUCAAACAGCGAAUUCUAGCCGAAGGCCACACCGCUCCAUAUUCAAUCCACCCUAGAGGAACCAAAAUGUACAAGGACAUUCAGGAAAAAAUUUGGUGGCACGGUAUGAAGAGGGAUAUAGCCACAUUCAUUGCAUGUUGUGAUUCAUGUCAGUGCAUUAAAGCCAAACACCAAAAACCAGCACGAAUAUUAUAGCCAAACAGGAUACCUGAGUGGAAAUGGGCCAAAUUUGGAAUGGAUUUUAUUGUCGGACUACCUCGGUCACGACACGGAAAUGAUGCCAUAUGGGUCAUCACAGUUAGAUUAACUAAGGUGUCACAUUUCAUCCCAACAAAGACAACCCACACCACUUAGAAGCUUGCCAAACUUUAUCUCUCCCGUAUAGUUUGUCUGCAUGGAAUUCCAAAGACUAUAAUAUCCGACAGAAGCACUCAAUUCGUCUCUAGAUUUUGGGAUCAUUUACAACAAGCUCUGGGAACUCAACUAGUAUUCACCACAGCAUUGAAGGAAAUAUGCCCUAGAGGCAAUAAUAAAGUUAUUAUUUAUUUCCUUAUAUCAUGAUAAAUGUUUAUUAUUCAUGCUAGAAUUGUAUUAACCGGAAACAUAAUACAUGUGUGAAUAUAUAGACAAACAGAGUGUCACUAGUAUGCCUCUACUUGACUAGCUCGUUGAUUAAAGAUGGUUAUGUUUCCUAACCAUAGACAUGAGUUGUCAUUUGAUUAACAGGAUCACAUCAUUAGGAGAAUGAUGUGAUUGACUUGACCCAUUCCGUUAGCAUAGCACUAGAUCGUUUAGUUUGUUGCUAUUGCUUUCUUCAUGACUUAUACAUGUUCAUAUGACUAUGAGAUUAUGCAACUCCCGUUUACCGAAGGAACACUUUGUGUGCUACCAAAAAUCACAAUGUAACUGGGUGAUUAUAAAGGUGCUCUACAGGUGUCUCCAAAGGUACUUGUUGGGUUGGCGUAUUUCGAGAUUAGGAUUUGUCACUCCGAUUGUUGGAGAGGUAUCUCUGGGCCCUCUCGGUAAUGCACAUCACUUAAAGCCUUGCAAGCAUUGCAACUAAUGAGUUAGUUGCGGGAUGAUGUAUUACGGAACGAGUAAAAAGACUUGUCGGUAACGAGAUUGAACUAGGUAUUGAGAUACCGACGAUCGAAUCUCGGGCAAGUAACAUACCGAUGACAAAGGGAACAACGUAUGUUGUUAUGCGGUUUGACCAAUAAAAAUCUUCGUAGAAUAUGUGGGAGCCAAUAUGAGCAUCUAGGUUCCGCUAUUGGUUAUUGGCCGGAGACGUGUCUCGGUCAUGUCUACAUAGUUCUCGAACCCGUAGGGUCCGCACGCUUAGAGUUUCGGUGAUGAUUGUAUUAUGAGUUUAUGUGAUUUGAUGUACCGAAGGUAGUUCAGAGUCCCGGAUGAGAUUGGGGACAUGACGAGGAGUCUCGAAAUGGUCGAGACGUAAAGAUCGUUAUAUUGGACGACUAUAUUCGGACAUUGGAAAGGUUUCGAGUGAUUCGGGUAUUUUCGGGGCUACCGGGAGUUACGAGAAUACGAGGAAGAAGUAAUGGGCCUCAUGGGCCAAGUGGUGGAAGAGAGGAGGCAGCACGCAUGGCCCCCCUAGCCCAAACCGAAUUGGACUAGGGGGGCGGCCCCCCUUUCCUCCUUUUCCUCCCUCUCCUUCCUUCUCCUUCUCCUCCUUCCUUUCCUCCUCCUAGUAGGAGUAGGAAAGGGGAGUCCUACUCCUACUAGGAGGAGGACUCCUCCUCCUGGUGCGCCCAUAGAGGGCCGGCCGGCCUUCCCCCUUGCUCCUUUAUAUACGGGGGCAGGGGGCACAUCUAGACACACAAGUUGAUCUCUCCCAGCCGUGUGCGGUGCCCCCCUCCACCAUAUUCCACCUCGGUCAUAUCGUAGCGGUGCUUAGGCGAAGCCCUGCGUCGGUAGCAACAUCAUCACCGUCAUUACGCCGUCGUGCUGACAGAACUCUCCCAUGACGCUCUGCUGGAUCGGAGUUCGCGGGACAUCAUCGAGUUGAACGUGUGCUGAACUCGGAGGUGUCGUGCGUUCGGUACUUGGAUUGGUCGGAUCGUGAAGACGUACGACUACAUCAACCGCGUUGUGCUAAUGCUUCCGCUUUCGGUCUACGAGGGUACGUGGACACACUCUCCCCUCUCGUUGCUAUGCAUCACCAUGAUCUUGAGUGUGCGUAGGAAUUUUUUUGAAAUUAAUACGUUCCCCAGUAGUGGCAUCCGAGCCAGGUUUUAUGCGUUGAUGUAAUAUGCACGAGUAGAACACAAGUGAGUUUUGGGCAAUAUAAGUCAUACUGCUUACUAGCAUGUCACACUUUGGUUCGGCGGUAUUGUUGAAUGAAGUGGCCCUGACCGACAUUACGCGUACGCUUACGCGAGACUGGUUUUACCGCCGUGCUAUGCACACAGGUGACUAGCGGGUGUCAGUUUCUCCAAUUUUAGUUGAAUCGAGUGUGGCUACGCCCGGUCCUUGAGAAGGUUAAAACAGCACUAACUUGACAAACUAUCAUUGUGGUUUUGAUGCGUAGGUGAGAACGGUUCUUGCUCGGCCCGUAGCAGCCACGUAAAACUUGCAACAACAAAGUAGAGGACAUCUAACUUGUUUUUGCAGGGCAUGUUGUGAUGUGAUAUGGUCAAGACGUGAGGAGAUAUAAUUUUUUGUAUAAGAUGAUCAUGUUUUGUUGAAGUUAUCGGCAACUGGCAGAAGCCUUAUGGUUGUUUCUUUAUUGCAUAAGAUGCGAGAGCCAAAUAAUUGCUUUACUUUAUCGCUAUGCGAUAGCAAUAGUUGCAAGAGCAAUAGUUGGUGAGGGAGUUCUGGAUUAAGGGGUCUCCGGACAGCCGGACUAUCUCCAUUGGCCGGAUUGUUAGAGUAUGAAGAUACAAGAUUGAAGACUUCGUCUCGUGUCCGGAUGGGACUCUACUUGGUGUGGAAGGAAAGCUAGGCAAUACGGAUAUGGAUAUCUCCUCCUUUGUAACCGACCUUGUGUAACCGUAACCCUCUCCGGUGUCUAUAUAAACCGAAGGGUUUUAGUCCGUAGGACAACAACCAUAACAUACAAUCAUACCAUAGGCUAGCUUCUAGGGUUUAGCCUCUCCGAUCUCAUGGUAGAUCUACUCUUGUACUACCCAUAUCAUCAAUAUCAAUCAAGCAUGACUUAGGGUUUUACCUCCAUCAAGAGGGCCCGAACCUGGGUAAAACAUUGUGUCCCAUGCCUCCUAUUACCAUCCGGCCUAGACGCACAGUUUGGGACCCCCUACCCGAGAUCCGCCUGUUUUGACACCGACAUUGGUGCUUUCAUUGAGAGUUCCUCUGUGUCGUCGCCAUUAGGCUUGAUGGCUCCUACUAUCAUCGAUAGUGAUGCGGUCCAGGGUGAGACUUUUCUCCCCGGACAGAUCUUCGUAUUCGGCAGCUUUGCACUGCAGGCUAAUUCGCUUGGCCAUCUGGAGCAGAUUGAAAGCUACGCCCCUGGCCGUCAGGUCAGAUUUGGAAGUUUGAACUACAUGGCCGACAUCCGCGGAGACUUGAUCUUCGACGAAUUCGAGCCACAGUCGGGCGCGCUGCACUGUCACGAUGGGUAUGACCUAGCGCUGCCGCCGAACAGUACCCCAGAGGCCGCGCCCGCAUCGGCUCCAACCCUUAGCUCGGAGCCAACUGCACCAAUCGAGGACGGGUGGUUAGACACCGCCUCAGGGGCUGCAGUCUCAAUGGCGAUCAAGCCGAACACCAGCCUAACCCUCUGCGCAGCCCGUGACUCCAAGGUGCCGGACUCUUUUCCGGACUCUGAACCAUCCGCGCCCCUGCCAAUCGAAUCCGAUUGGGCGCCGAUCAUGGAAUUCACCGCCGCAGAUAUCUUUCAGCACUCGCCCUUCAGCGACAUUCUGAAUUCACUAAGGUCUCUCUCUUUGUCAGGAGAGCCCUGGCCGGACUAUGGCCAACAGGAUUGGGAUGCGGACGACGAAGAAAUUUGACGCCCACCCACCACCCACUUCGUAGCCACUAUCGAUGAUUUAACCGACAUGCUCGACUUCGACUCCGAAGACAUCGACGGUAUGGACGACGAUGUAGGAGACGAACAUGAACCAGCGCCUAUAGGGCACUGGAAAGCCACCUCAUCAUAUGACAUAUACAUGGUGGAUACACCCAAUGAAGGAAAUGGCGACGAGAUAGCGGAGGAUGACCCCUCCAAGAAGCAACCCAAGCGCCAACGUCAGCGGCGCCGCUCUAAGUCCCGCCAAAGCAAAAGUGGUGAUACUGGCACAGGAGAUAAUAACACUCUGGAUAGUGCCGAAGACGACAACAGUCCCCUCCAGCAAGAUUUAGAGCAGGAGGAUGAAGGAGCCAGCUCUCCUGAGAGAGCGGCAGACGGAGAGGAGGAGGAUGACAAUUACAUCCCCCCCCCUCCGAUGACGAGGCAAGAGCUUACGGCCACGGCAAAUAGCCUGAAGAAAAAGCAGCAGCAGCUUCAAGCUGAUCAAGAUCUGCUAGCUGACAGAUAGACUGAAGUCCUCAUGGCCGAGGAAUAUAAACUCGAGUACCCCUCCAAGAAUUACCCAAAGUGCAGGCUACUACCCCGACUGGAGGAAGAAGCGUAUGAUACGGCUGAUCGGCCACCUCGUGGCCGCGAUAGAGAGGCAUUCCAGCCAAAAGCUCAGCCUCCACCCCAACGCCAUUCAAAUAAAAAGGCAUGGGGAGAUACGCCAGACCUGCGAGACAUAUUGGAGGACAAAGCAAAGCAUGCAAGAUCGAUCUACGGAUCACGACGGCGCACCACUCUGCGAGACGAUAAACGUCACGCCGGAUACAGUAAAAGCAAAUCCGGCCGGGCCGAACACAGCGGGCAAGACCCAUUUGAGCUGCGUUGUGAUAUAGCCCAAUACAGAGGCGCCACACACCCCUUAUGCUUCACAGACGAAGUAAUGGAACAUCAAUUCCCAGAAGGUUUCAAACCUGUAAAUAUUGAAUCAUACGACGGCACAAUAGAUCCUGCAGUAUGGAUUGAGGAUUUCCUCCUCCACAUCCACAUGGCCUGCAGUGAUGACUUACACGCCAUCAAAUACCUCCCACUAAAGCUCAAAGGACCAGCGCGGCAUUGGCUUAACAGCUUGCCAGCGGACUCCAUUAGCUGUUGGGAAGAUCUGGAAGCCGUAUUCCUCGACAACUUUCAGGGCACUUAUGUGCGACCACCAGACGCCGAUGAUAUGAGCCACAUAACUCAGCAGCCAGAAGAGUCGGCCAGACAAUUCUGGGCUCGGUUCCUUACAAAGAAAAAUCAAAUCGUCGACUGUCCGGAUGCGGAGGCCUUAGCGGCUUUCAAGCACAACAUCCGAGACAAGUGGCUAGCCCGGCACCUUGGUCAGGAAAAGAUGAAAUCUAUGGCAGCUCUCACGACGCUCAUGACCCGCUUUUGUGCGGGAGAAGACAGCUGGCUGGCUCACAGUAAUAACAUAUCAAAGAACCAUGGUACCUCAAAUACCAAGGAUGGCAAUAGCAGGUCACGUCGCAACAAACAUAAGCGCCGCAUUAACAGCGAAAAUACUAAGGAUACGGCAGUCAAUGCCGGAUUCAAAGGCUCUAAACCCGGUCAGCGGAAAAAGCCAUUCAAACAAAGUACGCCGGGUCCGUCCAGCUUGGACCGUAUACUCGAUCGCUCGUGCCAAAUAAACGGCACCCCAGACAAGCCAGCCAAUCACACCAACAGGGAUUGUUGGGUGUUCAAGCAGGCCGACAAGUUAAUUGCCGAAAACAAGGACAAGGGGCCGCAUAGCGAUGACGAGGAGGAGCCCCGGCAGCCGCACACUGGAGGACAGAAGAGGUUUCCCCCGCAAGUGCGGAUGGUGAACAUGAUAUACGCAACCCACAUCCCCAAGAGGGAGCGGAAGCAUGUGCUCAGGGACGUAUAUGCGUUGGAGCCAGUCGCCCCAAAGUUCAACCCUUGGUCCUCCUGUCCGAUCACCUUCGAUCGCAGGGACCACCCCACUAGUAUCCGUCAUGGAGGAUUCACCGCACUGGUCCUAGACCCAAUCAUUGACAGAUUUCACCUCACUCGAGUCCUUAUGGAUGGCGGCAGCAGCCUGAACCUGCUUUAUCAGGACACAGUGUGCAAAAUGGGUAUAGACCCCUCAAGGAUCAAACCCACAAAAACGACCUUUAAGGGCGUCAUUCCAGGUGUAGAGGCCCAUUGCACAGGCUCAAUUACACUGGAAGUGGUCUUCGGAUCCCCGGAUAACUUCCGAAGCGAAGAGUUAAUCUUCGAUAUAGUCCCGUUCCACAGUGGUUAUCAUGCGCUGCUCGGGCGAACCGCAUUUGCUAGAUUCAAUGUGGUACCGUAUUAUGCAUACCUCAAGCUCAAGAUGCCAGGACCUUGCGGAGUUAUUACAGUCAAUGGAAACACAAAGCGCUCUCUCGAACAGAGGAGCACACCGUAGCCCUCGCAGUAGAAACGCAAAGCAGCCUCUCAAGGCAAUCAACCAGUUCGGCACUUCACAGCCCGGACACCUUCAAGCGCGCUCGGGGCAAUCAGCAAAUAGACCGCCUGGCGCGAUCUGAGCUCGCGUAGCAAUACGGCGGCCACCCCAAUCCCAGCCCAGCGGUGAAACUCGUGCCGCGCGUACAUAAUUACGCAUUAAAAAUACCAUGGGCACAGGUGGGGAGGGGGCACAACUGCGGCACGCCCCAAAACGUGGCCUAAACCACGCUAGGGGCUUCCCAUUUGGUUAUUUUUUCUUUUUCUUUCAGGACCUUAAUAUCUGGAAACACUGUCUGGCAGCACUAUUGCCGAACACAUGAUGCAGCAACCAAGGAGGAAGACAGCUACGUUAUACCACGGAAUUCCCAGGUUGAUUAUAGUAAUGAGUGAAAUAUUCAAUUUAAUAUCAUUCCUCAGCUUGCCCUUGGAAGGAACAUAGUCCUAAUCUUUGCUUAUCGCAUUAUCUGUAUCACUCUGCUUUAACGCAAUUUUUUAAUAAACAAUGCAUGACAUUACGACUAUUAUUGCAUUCUUGUUAUAUAUAUAUAUAUAUAUAUGUGUGUGUGUGUGUGUGUGUGUGUGUGUGUGUGUGUUCAUUAAUGACACCUUGCAACCGUACACUAUGGUACGGCCAAUACACCAGGGGCUUACAUGCCCCACAAUGCGGUGUGAAAAGUCCGAACACUUUCACAAGUGCGGCACCCCGAACUUAUAGCAUUAUAUGCAUCAGCUCUGAAUCAUGUCUUUGGUCAAAUGUUGGGUUUUCCCGGCUCCUAUGUUUUGGUACCCUACGUUCCGCUCUAUCGGCUAAGGUAGCGCUAGGAGAACUACUGCGAUUGUGCCCCGGUUCUGCUGGGUUCAGCACAUCAGUAGAGAAAGCUAAAACUGACUGUCAUGAUAAGGCGAGAGACUGGUCACUGUUCGGCGAGGUUUCCGAGUCCCUAAAGACUUAUGCCGCUUAGAGCGAGGGCCGGCCCUGUCCGGCUUAAAGGCGUGUAUCGCGCCCCGAACUCGGCCUUCCGAAUACCAGGGGCUUCGCUGAAAUUUAAAAUUAUAGAAUUUUGUGUCUAAGUGAGAGUGAUAAAGCAUUAUUAGUCCGGUUGCCUUGUUCGCUGUGCUGAGCACCUCCCUUGAAGGACCCAAACAUGGGAACAAGAGUGCUCAAGUUUAUCUCGAACACCCCAGCACUCGUGGCAUGGGGGCAGAAGCCGAGGACUAGCCAUCUCUCAGAUUGGAUAAACAGCCAAACAGAAGGUAAUAUUUCAAAUUCCAACAAGCAUUGCAUAGCGCAUAUGAAACAAGUUUUCAUACAUACAGGAUCAAACGAGCAAGUCUCAUUCAAAUAUUACAUCUUUUGAACACUCGUCCGUGAUGAGACGGGCACUCGGUGCGCUCCUUGGCCGCUUUGUCUUCGGCCUUGGUUAGCGCUUGCUUCAGGGUCGCCACCUCGGUUGUGGCCCCUGGCAAACAUACGAUGAUCCUGUCAUUUUGCAAUCGCGUCCUCUUUUAUAUAUACAUAUCUAUAGACAGGGUAUUACUUACCCUUGUUCUCCUCGAGCUGCCUAUUGGCAAGGCCGAGCUCUUUCUUGGACCCCUCGAGGUCCUGCUUCAGUACGGCGACCUCCGUAGUCAGUGCGGCGGAUGCCAGCUACGAAGUCUGCAUAUGCAUAUUGACACACUUAUGUUAGACUCCUGCGAUAUUAUUUGAUCCUCUGUUCGGCUUUUCUUUGUGAACACCGAACAAAGCAUCAGGGGCUACUGUCUAUGCGGUAAUAUUUCUACCACAUUUUAAAACGCUUACCUCGAAGCCUGUUAGAAGGCUGGCACAGGCUUCAGUCAAUCCGCUCUUGGCGGACUAAACCUUCUGGAUCACCGCACUCAUGAUAGUGCGGUGCUCCUCGUCGAUGGAAGCGCCGCGAAGCGCUUCCAGCAUGUUGUCCGGCGCCUCUGGAUAGAUAGAGGUCACCGGCAUAGGCGUCUUGCCCCUCUUAGAAGGAGGCCGCCUGCCCGAGCCUGGAACCGCUGGAGGUUCCGGCGCGGUGUUCAGCUGAGGGCCGAACUCGGAGCUCUCAGGGGCCCCGUCCCCUCGGCUCCCGGAGUCCGGAAGGUCGCCUUGAGGCGCCUCCGGGACUGUCUUCCCUCGAUCCGGUGCCUCUUGAGACAACACCUCGGCGUCGUCGGCAGGAUGAGGGGAGGUUGUGGUCGGGACAGGAUCGUUGUCCAUGUCCGACGAGCCCAGGGAGCCGUCCGAUGAUACCUCGAUAUUGGCUCGUGGCAGCCUGCAUAAUUAUGUUCGGCGUUAGGGAAAGCAGUGCGACAAAGGAAUCCUAUGGGUUACUCUAGUAUCCGAAUACUUACGAUCUCCCCUGGGGCUUGGCCCUGGGCAACCACUCGUCUUCGCCUUCGUCGGCGACGGUGGAGCUGUCCGGAAGGAGGGUCCUUCCCUUCUUGGACCCUUCGCCCCCCUAGUUUGGGCGGCCUUCCUUUUCCUGUCUCCCCCAGUCAGUGGGGGAGCAUCUUCUUCUUCUUCUUCCUCGUCUUCGAGGGAAGAGUGCGCCGCAGAGUCAUCGAACGGUGAGUCCGCGACGCCUGGCGUCGGGAACUCUUUCGGGUUCCCUUGGCCUUCUUGGUCUUCUCCGGCACCGUAUAAGGGGCCCAAGUCAACAUCUUCGCCAGAAGAGCGUCUGCGGGGCCUUCAGGCAAAGGAGCCGGACAGUCGAUCUGUCCGGCCAUCUUCUGCCAGUCCUGUCAAAGGUACGGGAGUUUAGAUCCUGCAUAGAGUCAAUCUAUAAAAAAAUAAGUAUCCUGUGAAAGGUAAAGCAGCUUACCGCACUGGCUUGGCGCUUCGCGCGGAAUCCGCGAUCCUCGGUAAUAGGAGGGGGGACCUCGGCACUUUUGAACAGCACCCUCUAGGCAUCUUUAUGAGUCGUGUCGGAGAACCUGUUCAGAGUUCGGUGCUGCACCGGGUCGAACUCCCACGAAUUGAACUCCCGUUGUUGGCACGGGAGGAUCCGGCGGAUGAGCAUAACUUGGACUAUGUUGACAAGUUUGAGCUUCUUGUUCACCAUGUUUUGAAUACAUGUUUGGAGUCCGGUCAGCUCUUCCGAACUACCCCAGGACAGGCCCUUCUCUUUCCAGGAGGUGAGCCGUGUAGGGAUGCCAGAUCGGAACUCAGGGGCCGCUGCCCAUACAGGGUCGUGCGGCUCAGUGAUGUAGAACCACCCCGAUUGCCACCCCUUUAUGAUUUCCACAAAGGAGCCCUCGAGCCAUGUUACGUUGGGCAUCUUACCCACCAUGGCGCCUCCGCACUCCGCCUGGCGGCCUCCCACCACCUUCGGCUUGACAUUGAAGGUCUUCAGCCAUAGGCCGAAGUGGGGCUUGAUGCGGAGGAAGGCCUCGCACACGACGAUAAACGCUGAGAUGUUGAGGAUGAAGUUCGGGGCCAGAUUACAGAAAUCCAGUCCAUAAUAGAAGAUGAGCCCCCGGACAAAUGGAUGGAGAGGGAAUCUCGAUCCGUGGAGGAAAUGGGUGAGGAAUACUACCCUCUCAUGGGGCCUGGGGGUGGGGAUGAGCUGCCCCUCAUCUGGAAGCCGGUGCGCGAUGUUGUCAGGCAGGUAUCUGGCUCUCCUCAGUUUCUUGAUGUCUCCCUCCGUGACGGAGGAGACCAUCCACCUGCCUCCUGCUCCGGACAUGGUUGGAGAAGGUUCGGGUGGGAAGUGUGGACUUGGGCGCUAGAGCUCGAGCAUGCGAAAACGGAUGAGAAAAGGAGGAAGAAGGCGUGGAUAGAAAGGUGAAUCCUUAUCCCUUUAUAUGGGCGGACGAAGCUAAGCGUCCCCACUUGCCUGGUAAAACUCACUUAUCCCCCAGGCGCCGCAAUUGAUGGUGCGGUUGGGUUACCCAAGACCAUAUUGAUGAGAAUCCCGUAAUAAGGGGACACGAUCUCUGCUUUGACAUGACGUGUCGAAAAACUGCCUCGCGUUAUGUGCGGGGCUGGUUAAAGGAAACGGUUCGAAUAAUCACCGGGCCAUGACAUAACGUUAUGCUGCCAAAACAAGUCAGUGAAUUGGAUUUGCGAAAAUAUUAUUCUCUCUACGGCGGUAUGUGGAACUUAGUUUGCAGGGUCGGACACUAUCGUCGUAUUCAAAUUCUUCUAUGAUGUAUUCGGAGAAGGAACCCGCCUUGCAAUGCCGAAGACAAUACUGCGCGCCGGACUCAUCGUCAUUGAAGCCUGGUUCAGGGGCUACUGAGGGAGUCCUGGAUUAGGGGGGACAGCCAGACUAUCUCCAUUGGCCGGACUGUUAGACUAUGAAGAUACAAGAUUGAAGACUUCGUCUCGUGUCCGGAUGGGACUCUACUUGGCGUGGAAGGCAAGCUAGGCAAUACGGAUAUGGAUAUCUCCUCCUUUGUAACCGACCUUGUGUAACCCUAACCCUCUCCGAUGUCUAUAUAAACUGAAGGGUUUUAGUCCGUAGGACAACAACCAUAACAUACAAUCAUACCAUAGGCUAGCUUCUAGGGUUUAGCCUCUCCGAUCUCGUGGUAGAUCUACUCUUAUACUACCCAUAUCAUCAAUAUCAAUCAAGCAGGACGUAGGGUUUUACCUCCAUCAAGAGGGCCCGAACCUGGGUAAAACAUUGUGUCCCCUGCCUCCUGUUACCAUCUGGCCUAGACGCAUAGUUCGGGACCCCCUACCCGAGAUCUGCCGUUUUUGACACCGACAGUUGGCGAGACGACCAUGUGACGACACAUUGAUAUAGAUCAAGAUGAUGGAGAUCAUGGUGUCAUGCCGGUGACGAUGGAAAUCAUGACGAUGCUUUGGAGAUGGAAAUCAAAGGCACAAGAUGAUGAUGGCCAUAUCAUGUCACAUAUUUUGAUUGCAUGUGAUAUACAUCUUAUUUUGCUUAGUUCGGCGGUAGCAUUAUAAGAUGAUCUCUCACUAAAUUUCAAGAUAAAAGUGUUCUCCCUGAGUAUGCACCGUUGCCAAAGUUCAUCGUGCCCAGACACCACAUGAUGAUCGGGUGUGAUAAGCUCUACGUCCAUCUACAACGGGUGCAAGCCAGUUUUGCAGAUGCAGAAUACUCAGGUUAAACUUGACGUGCCUAGCAUAUGCAGAUAUGGCCUCAGAACACUGAGACCGAAAGGUCGAGCGUGAAUCAUAUAGUAGAUAUGAUCAACAUAAUGAUGUUCACCAUUGAAAGCUACUCCAUUUCACGUGAUGAUCGGUUAUGGUUUAGUUGAUUUGGAUCACGUGAUCACUUAGAUGAGUAGAGGGAUGUCUAUCUAAGUGGGAGUUCUUAAGUAAUAUGAUUAAUUGAACUUUAAUUUAUCAUGAACUUAGUCCUGAUAGUAUUUGCAUAUCUAUGUUGUAGAUCAAUAGCUCGCGUUAUUGCUUCCCUAUGUUUUAUAUGUGUUCCUAGAGAAAACUAAGUUGAAAGAUGAUAGUAGCAAUGAUGCGGACUGGGUCCAUGAUCUGAGGUUUAUCCUCAUUGCUGCACAAAAGAAUGAUGUCCUUGAUGCACCGCUAGGUGACUGACCUAUUGCAGGAGCAGAUGCAGACGUUUUGAACAUUUGACUAGCUCAAUAUGAUGACUACUUGAUAUUUUAGUGCACCAAGCUUAACAGCUUAGAAUCGGGAUUUCAAAGACGUAUUGAACGUCAUGGACCAUAUGAGAUGUUCCAGGAGUUGAAAUUAAUAUUUCAAGCAAAUACCCGAGUUGAGAGAUAUGAAGUCUCCAACAAGUUCUAUAGCUAAAAGAUGGAGGAGAAUAGCUCAAGCAGUAAGCAUGUGCUCAGAUUGUCUAGGUACUACAAUCGCUUGGAUCAAGUGGGGCUUAAUCUUCCAGAUAAAAUAGUAAUUGACAGAAUUCUCUAGUCACCGUCACCAAGUUAGUAGAACUUAGUGAUGAACUGUAAUAUGCAAGGGAUGGCGAAAACAAUUCCCAAGCUCUUCGCGAUGCAAAAAUCGGCGAAGGUAGAAAUCAAGAAAAACAUCAAGUGUUGAUGGUUGACAAGACCACUAGUUUCAAGAGAAAGGGCAAAGGGAAGAAGGGGAACUUCAAGAAGAACGGCAAACAAGUUGCUGCUCAAGUGAACAAACCCAAGUCUGGACCUAAGCCUGAGACUAAGUGCUUCUACUGCAAAGGGACUAGUCACUAGAAGCGGAACUACCCCAAGUAUUUGGUGGAUAAGAAGGAUGGCAAAGUGAACAAAGCUAUAUUUGACAUACAUGUUAUUGAUUUGUACUUUACUACUGUUUAUAGCAACCCCUCGGUAUUUGAUACUGGUUCAGUUGCUAAGAGUAGUAACUCGAAAUGGGAGUUGCAAAAUAAACAGAGACUAGUUAAGGGUGAAGUGACGAUGUGUGUUGGAAGUGGUUCCAAGAUUGAUAUGAUCAUCAUCGCACACUCCCUAUACUUUCGGGAUUAGUGUUGAAGCUAAAUAUAUGUUAUUUGGUGUUUGCGUUGAGCAUAAAUAUGAUUGGAUCAUGUUUAUUGCAAUACGGUUAUUCAUGUAAGUUAGAGAAUAAUUGUUGUUCUGUUUACAUGAAUAAAACCUUCUAUGGUCAUACACCCAAUGAAAAUGGUUUGUUGGAUCUCGAUCGUGGUGAUACACAUUUUCAUAAUAUUGAAGCCAAAAGAUGCAAAGUUAAUAAUGAUAGUGCAACUUAUUUGUGGCACUGCCGUUUAGGUCAUAUUGGUGUAAAGCGCAUGAAGAAAAUCCAUGCUGAUGGGCUUUUGGAAUCACUUGAUUAUGAAUCAGUUGAUGCUUGCGAACCAUGCCUCAUGGGCAAGAUGACUAAGACUCCGUUCUCCGGAACAAUGGAGCAAGCAACAAAUUUGUUGGAAAUCAUACAUACUGAUGUAUGUGGUCCGAUGAAUAUUGAGGCUCGCGGCAGGUAUCAUUAUUUUCUGAUCUUCACAGAUGAUUUGAGCAGAUAUGAGUAUAUCUACUUGAUGAAACACAAGUCUGAAAUAUUUGAAAAGUUCAAAGAAUUUCAGAGUGAAGUGGAGAAUCAUUGUAACAAAAAUAAAAGUUUCUACGAUAUGAUCGCAGAAGUAAAAUAUUUGAGUUACGAGUUUGGCCUUCAGUUAAAACAAUGUGAAAUAGUUUCACUACUCAUGCCACCUGGAACACCACAGUGUAAUGGUGUGUCCGAACGUCGUAACCGUGCUUUAUUAGAUAUGGUGCGAUUUAUGAUGUAUCUUACCGAUUACCACUAUCGUUUUGGGGCUAUGCAUUAGAGACAGCUACAUUCACGUUAAAUAGGGCACCAUCUAAAUUUGUUGAGAUGACACCGUAUGAACUGUGGUUUGGCGAGAAACCUAAGCUGUCGUUUCUUAAAGUUCGGGACUGUGAUGCUUAUGUGAAAAAGUUUCAACAUGAUAAGCUCAAACCCAAAUCGGAGAAGUAAAUCUUCAUAUGAUACCCAAAAGAAAAUGUUGGGUACACCUUCUAUCACAGAUCUGAAGGCAAGAUAUUCAUUGCUGAGAAUGGAUCCUUUCUAGAGAAGGAGUUUCUCUCGAAAGAUGUGAGUGGAAGGAAAGUAGAACUUGAUGAGGUAACUGUACCUGCUCCCUUAUUGGAAAGUAGUUCAGCACAGAAAUCUGUUCCUGUGACUACUACACCAAUUAGUGAGGAAGCUAAUGAUGAUGAUCAUGUAACUUCAGAUCAAGUUACUACUGAACCUCGUAGGUAAACCAGAGUGAGAUCCGCACCAGAGUGGUACCGUAAUCCUGUUCUGGAGGUCAUGUUACUUGACCAUGACGAACCUACGAACUAUGAGGAAGCGAUGAUGAGCCCAGAUUCUGCGAAAUGGCUUAAGGCCAUGAAAUCUGAGAUGAGAUCCAUGUAUGAGAGCAAAGUAUGGACUUUGAUUGACUUGCCCAAUGAUCGGCGAACCAUUGAGAUUAAAUGGAUCUUCAAGAGGAAGACAGACGCUGAUAGUAGUGUUACCAUCUACAAAGCUAGAAUUGUCGCAAAAAGGUUUUCGACAAGUUCAAGGUGUUGACUACGAUGAGAGUUUCUCACUCGUAUCUAUGCUUAAGUCUGUCCGAAUCAUGUUAGCAAUUGCCGCAUUUUAUGAAAUCUAGCAAAUGGAUAAACAAAACUGCAUUCCUUAAUGGAAUUAUUAAAGAAGAGUUGUAUAUGAUGCAACCAGAAGGUUUUGUUAAUCCUAAAGGUGCUAACAAAAUAUGCAAGCUCCAGCGAUCCAUCUAUGGACUGGUGCAAGCAUCUCGGAGUUGGAAUAUACGCUUUGAUAAGUUGAUCAAAGCAUAUAGUUUUAUACAGACUUGCGGUGAAGCCUGUAUUUACAAGAAAGUGAGUGGGAGCACUACAACAUUUCUGAUAAGUAUAUGUGAAUGACAUAUUGUUGAUCGGAGAUAAUGUAGAAUUAUUCUACAAAGCAUAAAGGAGUGUUUGAAAGGAGUUUUUCAAAGAAAGACCUCAGUGAAGCUGCUUACAUAUUGAGCAUCAAGAUCUAUAGAGAUAGAUCAAGACGCUUGAUAAGUUUUUUCAAUGAGUACAUACCUUGACAAGAUUUUGAAGUAGUUCAAAAUGAAUAGUCAAAGAAAGAGUUCUUGCCUGUGUUACAAGGUGUGAAAUUGAGUAAGACUCAAAGCCCGACCACGGCAGAAGAUAGAAAGAGAAUGAAAGUCAUUCCCUAUGCUGAAAAUAUGCCAUGCUUUGUACCGGAUCUAUUGUAUACCCUACAUUGUUUUUGGCAAGGGAGUACAAUAGUGAUCUAGGAUUAGAUCACUGUACAGCGGUCAAAAUUAUCCUUAGUGGAAUAAAGAUAUGUUUCUCGAUUAUGGAGGUGACAAAAAGGUUCGUCGUAAAGGGUUACGUCGAUGCAAAUUUUGACACUGAUCCAGAUGACUCUAAAUCUCAAUCUGGAUACAUAUUGAAUGUGGGAGCAAUUAGCUAGAGUAGCUCCGCACAGAGCAUUGUUGACAUAGAAAUUCGCAAAAUAUACGGGUCUGAAUGUGGCAGACCCGUUGACUAAACUUCUCUCACAAGCAAAACAUGAUCACACCUUAGUACUCUUUGGGUGUUAAUCACAUAGCGAUGUGAACUAGAUUAUUGACUCUAGUAAACCCUUUGGGUGUUGGUCAUAUGUCAAUGUGAACUAUGGGUGUUAAUCACAUGGUGAUGUGAACUAUUGGUAUUAAAUCACAUGGCGAUGUGAACUAGAUUAUUGACUCUAGUGCAAGUGGGAGAUUGAAGGAAAUAUGCCCUAGAGGCAAUAAUAAAGUUAAUAUUUAUUUCCUUAUAUCAUGAUAAAUAUUUAUUAUUCAUGCUAGAAUUGUAUUGACCGGAAACAUAAGACAUGUGUGAAUACAUAGACAAACAGAGUGCCACUAGUAUGCCUCUACUUGACUAGCUCGUUGAUCAAAGAUGGUUAUGUUUCCUAACCAUAGACAUGAGUUCUCAUUUUAUUAACGGGAUCACAUCAUUAGGAGAAUGAUGUGAUUGACUUGACCCAUUCCGUUAGCAUAGCACUUGAUCGUUUAGUUUGUUGCUAUUCCUUUCUUCAUGACUUAUACAUGUUCCUAUGACUAUGAGAUUAUGCAACUCCCGUUUACCGGAGGAACACUUUGUGUACUACCAAACAUCACAAUGUAACUGGGUGAUUAUAAAGGUGCUCUACAGGUGUCUCCAAAGGUACUUGUUGGGUUGGCGUAUUUUGAGAUUAGGAUUUGUCACUCCGAUUGUCGGAGAGGUAUCUCUGGGCCCUCUUGGUAAUGCACAUCACUUAAAGCCUUGCAAGCAUUGCAACUAAUGAGUUAGUUGCGGGAUGAUGUAUUAUAGAACGAGUAAAGAGACUUGCCGGUAACGAGAUUGAACUAGGUAUUGAGAUACCGACGAUCGAAUCUCGGGCAAGUAACAUACCGAUGACAAAGGGAACAACGUAUGUUGUUAUGCGGUUUGACAGAUAAAGAUCUUCGUAGAAUAUGUGGGAGCCAAUAUGAGCAUCCAGGUUCCGCUAUUGGUUAUUGGCCGGAGACGUGUCUCGGUCAUGUCUACAUAGUUCUCGAACCUGUAGGGUCCGCACGCUUAAAGUUUCGGUGACGAUUGUAUUAUGAGUUUAUGUGAUUUGAUGUACCGAAGGUAGUUCGGAGUCCUGAAUGAGAUCGGGUACAUGACGAGGAGUCUCGAAAUGGUCGAGACGUAAAGAUCGAUAUAUUGGACGACUAUAUUCGGACAUCGGAAAGGUUCCAAGUGAUUCAGGUAUUUUCGGGGGUACCGGGGAGUUACGGGAAUACGAGGAAGAAGUAAUGGGCCUCAUGGGCCAAGUGGUGGAAGAGAGGAGGCAGGACGCGUGGCCCCCCUAGCCCAAACCGAAUUGGACUAGGGGGCUGGCCCCCCUUUCCUCCUUUUCCUCCCUCUCCUUCCUUCUCCUUCUCCUCCUUCCUUUCCUCCUCCUAGUAGGAGUAGGAAAGGGGAGUCCUACUCCUACUAGGAGGAGGACUCCUCCUCCUGGCGCGCCCAUAGAGGGCCGGCCGGCCUCCCCCUUGCUCCUUUAUAUACAGGGGCAGGGGGCACAUCUAGACACACAAGUUGAUAUGUUGAUCUCUCCCAGCCGUGUGCGGUGCCCCCCUCCACCAUAUUCCACCUCGGUCAUAUCAUAGCGGUGCUUAGGCGAAGCCCUGCAUCGGUAGCAACAUCAUCACCGUCAUUACGCAGUCGUGCUGAUAGAACUCUCCCGUGAAGCUAUGCUGGAUUGGAGUUCGCGGGACGUCAUCGAGCUGAACGUGUGCUAAACUCGGAGGUGUCGUGCGUUCGGUACUUGGAUCGGUCGGAUCUGAAGACGUACGACUACAUCAACUGUGUUGUGCUAACGCUUCCGCUUUCGGUCUACAAGGGUACGUGGACACACUCUCCCCUCUCGUUGCUAUGCACCACCAUGAUCUUGAGUGUGCGUAGGAAUUUUUUUGAAAUUACUACGUUCCCCAACAAGCAUACCACCGCCAGACUGGAGGACAAACUGAACGUGUGAACCAAAUUCUAGAGGACAUGCUGAGAGCAUGUGUUCUCACCUAUGGAACUAAUUGGGAAGAAAGCUUGUCGUAUGCCGAGUUCGCAUACAACAACAGUUACCAAGCCAGUCUACAAAUGGCACCUUUUGAAGCCUUGUGCGGGCGAAGAUGCCGUACCUCAUUAAAUUGGUCAGAAACAGGAGACAGUCGUAUCUUCGGCCCAGACAUGCUCAAGGAAGCUGAGGAGAAAGUUAGACUAAUCAGGGAUCGACUCAAGAUAGCCCAGAGCCGACAAAAGAGUUAUUACGAUCAAAAACAUCGUGAAGUCUUCUUUGAACCCGGUGAAUAUGUGUAUCUACGAGUAUCUCCUAUGAGGGGCCUGCAACGAUUCAAAGUUAAAGGAAAGCUAGCACCACGGUUUAUUGGACCCUUUUGUGUGAUUGCACGAAGAGGCACAGUGGCCUACCAGCUAGACCUACCCGAAGAACUGUCAGGCGUCCACGACGUCUUCCACGUCUCACAGUUGAGGAAAUGUGUAAGCAACCCCGAAAAGCAUGUAUCUCACGAGAACAUUGACAUGCAACCAGACCUCACCUACACGGAACGUCCAAUAAAAAUAUUGGAGGAGUCUGAAAGAAGGACCCAUCAGAAAACAAUUAAGUUUUUCAAGGUCCAGUGGAGUAAUCACACCGAGGAUGAAGCAACAUGGGAAGGAGAGGAUUUCCUUCGGGUAGAGUACCCACACCUAUUUGAGGAUCAGCUGAAAUCUCGGGGACGAGAUUUUUCCUAAGGGGGUAGGUGUUGUAACACUCCAAAAAUUUUGAUUUUGGUUUUUAUCAAAUUCUUUAAUUAAUUGGAAGGAGGUUAUUUAAAAAAAAUUCUAAAAGACUCUCGUUCUCAAAAAAAAUCUUUUAUGACAAGUAUUUUUAUGGGUUCUUCCCAACCUUGAUUGUUGGUCUUGAAGAUUUUUCAUCUUGUGUUGGCUCAACACAAAUAAUUUUGGAAGGUUUUUACAAUUCCUUUUUAUUAAAAAGAACUCCUAUAAAUUAUGAAUUUUAUUUUUCCCCAUUCAAAAAGUACUCUCUUGCCAUGGCCUAUGUAGAAAACUUUCUUCCAAAACCCACCUCCCUACUUUGGGUCAAGCCAAGCAUCCAAUUCCAGCAAGUUUCAACCUCUUUUAGAUUAUAUUUCUAUUUAUUUUAUCCUCAAACCUUUUUCUAUAUUUUAUUUUGGACUCCUGGGAUUUACAAAGGAGGUACCAGAUUUCUUAAGUUUCUAAGCCCAAGUAACUUACACUAGCUACUCCUUAGUACCCUCAACCUAGAUCCAUCAAGAUCUGCUAGUCCACAGUUCAAAUUUUUCAAAUUUUACUUGCUGCAAGUUUGGACCAGAUUUGCCAUUUUUGGUGAAAUUCAUUCUUUUCCUUUUCCAAAAAUUCUGAGAAAAUUCAGGCAGUCUCUGGAUGCAUCAAGAGGCCAUCUCACCAAAUUUCAGCUCAAGAAAAAAUUUCCACGUGCGCCAAACAUUUUGUCGAACAGCUGGUGUGCACUGUUCCUAUUCAAAUUCAGAGUUUCAGUGUUAAGCUUCAGUCGUCAGUGUUGUUUUCUUCACAGCUUGGCGUCAAUCUCGCCAGUGCUCGCCCUGGCCUCUUGCUCCCUGUUCCCCCUCCUUAUCCAGUGCGCCGCAUGGUUGUUUGGCCGGUCGCAAGCGUCGGUGGCGAUGUGUCACGUCAACUCUGGCGCCUCCCGCGGUGGCAGAACCGCCCGUGGCGGCCAGCAGGGGCCAGCCCUGCAGUAUGGCGUCGUCCAGCACCGCCCACACCACCAGGAGCCUCCGCGUGGCCGUCAUCUUCUCUGUGCGCGCUGCAGAACCAUCAUCGUGGCCUGAGAGGUGCAGAGCGCGCUCUCUGCCGCCGACGAGCCCGUGAGCUCCGUUCCAUCGAAGCCACGGGAGCAGGCCAGAUCCGAUCAAGCUUAGCUGUUGAAUGGAGCCAGUGGACCAAUCCGAAGAUGCCCAGUCACCUAAACCUCCAGCCCGACCACUGCCUCGCCGUAAUCGCUCGCCGGAGUGAUCCCGUUCUCGGCAACCGCCUCGGGCCGGCUAUAAAUGGAGGCCCCGAGCUCGCCUUCGACCCAGCACCACCUGCACCUCACCAGAACCGCGCCCAGCCGCUAGGAGGACCUCGAGGAGGCCUUCUUCCCCGACUCCGGCCGCCCCGAUCCGCUUCGGGCUCCGGCAAGAUUCUCUCUAGUGAGUGCACCCCCGCUCCCCAACCUCUGCCAGUAGCAUCCUAGUGCACCCGCUUGCCUGACCCGCGCUUCAAUUUGGAGUUUGCAGCUCCCUUCGGAGAGAAUCAUCCUCGAUCGAACCACCAUCCGCCAGAGUGGAGGCCGCCGUCGACGUGGUGCUCGCCGAUGACCAACUCGACCACCCACAGACGCGAGAGAACUCUGUGAGUCUAUAGGUACCUUCCACUCCCCCUACCUCGCCGUGGAUCGAUGCCGGCGACCACUGUGAGCCUCGGGUGCCGGUGGGACUCUGUUCUGAAUUUCAAACCUGACGGGUGGGACCCCCUCGUCAGCCUCACCCUUCCCCUUCGAACCAUUUUCCGUUAGCACCUUCGGCCCGGAUACGUUUUCCCCUCUGGAAGGCGUAUUCCAACUGAAGUGUUUUCUGUUUUUCUAAGCUAGCCCCUGGAAAGUUUCUGUUUCAUCACAGAUUAGUCCCUGGACUAAAACCUUUAUAACUUUUAAACAAAAGAUGAUUUUGAGCUGAUUCUUUUUCUGUCAUCUUUAUUUUUCUAUCUAGUUUUUUUAUCAUAUUUAUUUGAAUAUGGUUUAGUAAGUUGCAAACCUCUUUCCUUGUACACACCAAAUAGAGGGGUCGUGAUGAGGGUUCCAUGGCCCUGGAUUAAAGCCCGUCAUCCGGUCAGGGGCAUGGGUGUUUCAGGUUGGGACCGAGAGGGGGGCACCCCUUAGAGCGCGUGAUAUAAAUUUGAUCCCAUGCUAUUCGAGGUUGUAGCCUCCCCGUCUUAGAGUUUUUCUUGAACGUUGCCUAGGGUGAUUCCUGGCAGCGGAAUGUGGAAUGGGUGUGUACUGGUUAGAUGUGUUUCUCCUAAAAUACUGUAAACGGAACUAGUCCUUUGUGACUACUGAAAUUCGUUGGCUGUGGUUAAAGAGUACAAACUCUGCAGAGUCAUAACCAUUCGAGUAACCAUGUCCAUGGUCAAGGACUUGAACAACAUCUCAGUGUCAGUGUCAGUCUCAGUGUCAAUCUCAGUGUCAGCCUCAGUGACAGUCUCCGGAGAAUAAGCACGAAACUGAGAGUGGUAAACCCGGCUGAAUGUUAUUCCUGUGGAUGGACUAACCAGUUUAUUAUCAUGUACCGAGUAUUCCGUUGAAUGAUGUUACCUUCAUGAGCUACUUGAAUUCGAAUGAUGAGAUAUAAGCCCUUUAUGUGAUGUCGCUCAAACGUUCGACUGUGGCAUUCUUGUUAUUUACUUUUGAUAUAAGCCCUUUAUGUGAUGUCGCUUAGACGUCUGACUGUGGCAUUCUUGUUAUUUACUUUUGAUAUAAGCCCUUUAUGUGAUGUCACUCAGACAUCCGACUGUGGCAUUCUUGUUAUUUACUUUUGAUAUAAGCCCUUUAUGUGAUGUCGCUCAGACGUCCGACUGUGGCAUCGGAGUUAUUUACUUUCAUUAUAAGCCCUUUUCGAGAUGUCGCUUAGACGUCCGACUGUGGCACAUACUGUCAUUUACGUUUCAAUAUAAGCCCUUUAUGUGGUGUCGCCCCGACGCCCGACUGCGGCAUGUUAAUUUAUUUUACCUUUCGAGGCGUCGCUUCAGACACCCGAUUGGUCUUCAGCUAUUUUAUUGGGAUUUCGGGAGGACUACCGCCUGACUUCCUUUUUAUUUAACAUGCAUUGCAAAUUUAUUAUCUGAGUGCACAUUACUAGUCUGCUCAUGUGCAUCAUGUUUGCAUUUGUUAUAUCUUAUGUCCAAACUGUCUUGCGAGUACAUUCAAAGUACUCACCUGGCUUGCUGAUUUGGCCAGAUGUUGACGAAGGCGAUCUUAUGGAUGAAGAGUAUGAUAGCGAGUCCAACGCCUAGAGGAGUCCCAGUUAGUCUCGUGCGAUCCUGGAGUUGGUCACUUGUAUUAUAUACGCUUCCGCUACCCUAAUAAAAUCAUCAAACCUCACUCCGGCGCUUGAUGAGCUGUAAGAUUUUGGAGUCAUGUCACCCACUUCUCUGUGACAUAUGCACCACCACUUUUAUUACGAGUUAGUAGUUAUGCCACCAUACCCAUUGUGUUGUUUUUUUCCUUUAUGUGUAAUAUCGGCGUGCUUGUAAUAAAUUGUUGAGCAGCCUUAGCUCAACCCUGUAUAAUAUUCAGUACUUCUGGAUUUUUGUAUCAAGGAUUUGUCUACCAGUAAGGAGGAUAUUUUCUAUACUGGUCUGAUAAUGGUCGAUUUUUCAAUAAAUAUUUUAUUAGAAAACCGGUCUUGACAAUUGCUAAAUUUAUUGCCAGCAUGGUGGAUACCCAGGAUAACGUUUCUUGAGCUAUUCUGAAGUUGUUUCAGUUAUGGACUUGUUUUGCUGUCACGUUUAUUUGCAAUGGUGGCCAAUUUAGACGGCCAGAGUAUGUAAUAUGCUGCUUUGUUCCCUAUAUUUGCACUGGUGGUGAACUUUGAUGCCCAGUGGAUGUAAUAUGUGUAAUAGUCAUAAUGGCCUAGUGUUAGUUGCUUGCUUAUUUAUUCCUUAUUGUCUUGUUUAGUUAUUUGGUUGUAGUCAUUGUAGUUCUUUUUCCGCGUUUUUCUAGUGGCCACGAUAAACUAGGCCACAAUAACCAUGGCAACACACGAACUGUUGUGACCAUGGUCCUGCUACUUGUUGUAGUGACCAUGGCCCUCCAAGGGGUGUAUGGUCCAUGGGCCUUCCACGGGCCGUAGGAUCCAUGGGCCUUCUACGGGCCGUAUAAUCGUUUCGCCAAACAUGGGCCGUACUAUUCAUGGACCAAUGAAGGACCGUAAAAUGGGCUGUAAACGGGCUAGAGUGGAAAUCAUCUAUUUUAUGGCCCAACCAUAACGGGCCGUGAAUAGGCCGUAAUUGAUGACGCUACGAAAACAACCAAUGUGUUAACGGGCCACCAACAGGCCGGUUGUAAGCACGGGUUGAAUUUGGCCCACAAGCUAAACAUGCCAGUAACGGACCGUAAGUAAUCGAAUUCUAGAAAUGAGCCCAAGAAUAAAUGGGCCCUUAGAAGGCCGAAAGUUAACACAGGCUAGAAACGGCCGACGGACUAAUGGGCCGUUAAUGGGUAUAAAGUGAUACACUGUUCAUUACGGGCCAGUUUCACCACGGGCCGUUAAUGGUCCAAGAGUUACAAAGGGCCUCAUAUGGGCUGAAAGACGCCAUGGGCCAUACAUGGGUCGGAAGUUACAGCUGGCUGGAAUCAUACUAGACGGCCCAGAUGACUCUACUGGGCCUAAUUCGGAUAAGUCGUAAUGGGUCGUGACCUAGCGGGCUGUAAAUGGGCUAUAUGCUAACACGCCUUUAACAGGCUUUCCAUGGGCCGGCCCGCUACCUCUUUUACCAAGUCAAACGGGUCGGCGUUUUCACCAGAAUGGGCCUCUGUUGGGCCGUGCCACGUGUCGACGUAUCAUAGGCGCCUCCUGUCCAAUGAGUGGAUGACAUCUCUCCCAACGGUGAGUCAACACGUGUUUCCUUCGUCCAAUGAAAAUUUGCAUGUGGAAAAUCCUCAUUGGUCCGGGCUGUUAACGGGUUAUCGGAUCCAAAACCGGACCCGAUAGCUUAACAACGACCUGUUACAGUGGAUGCCGCGUGUCGGUUACCCUUGAUGAAAACACUUCCAUGACGCACCAUUUAUCGUCAUGGAAGUGGACACUUCCGUGAUGAUAAUUUUGGUAAUGUCAUGGAACACUUCUACGACAGCACAGGUAUGACUAUCUUGAUUCUGUCAUAAAAUCGUCAUGGAUGUACAUGCAUGACAGAAAACGUGACCUACAGUGACAAACACGUAUCAUCAUAGAAGUGUAUUUUUUUGUAGUGCAUUGAUCUACAACAUAGAUAUGCAAAUACUAUCAGGACUAAGUUCAUGAUAAAUUAAGUUUAAUUAAUCAUAUUACUUAAGAACUCCCAGUUAGAUAGACAUCCCUCAAGUCAUCUAAAUGAUAUGUGAUCCAAAUCAACUAAACCAUGUCCGAUCAUCACGUGAGAUGGAGUAGUCAUCAAUGGUGAACAUCUAAUGUUGAUCAUAUCUACUAUAUGAUUCACGUUCGACCUUUCGAUCUCCGGCGUUUCGAGGCCAUGUCUGUACAUGCUAGGCUCGUCAAGUUUAACCCCGAGUAUUCCGCAUGUGCAAAACUUUCUUGCACACGUUGUAUGUGAACGUAGAGCUUAUCACACCCGAUCAUCACGUGGUGUCUCGGCACGACAAACAGUCGCAAUGGUGCAUACUCAGGGAGAACACUUAUACCUUGAAAUUUUAGUAAGGGAUCAUUUUUUAAUGCUACCGCCGUACUAACCAAAAUAAGAUGCAUAAAAGAUAAACAUCGCAUGCAAUCAAAAUAUGUGACAUGAUAUGGCCAUUAUCAUCUUGUGCCUUUGAUAUCCAUCUCCAAAGCACCGUCAUGAUCCCCAUCAUCACCGGCUUGACACCUUGAUCUCCAUCGUAGCAUCGUGGUCGUCUCGCCAACUAUUGCUUCUACAACUAUCGCUAACGCAUAGUGAUAAAGCAAAGCAAUUACAUGGUGUUUGCAUUUCAUACAAUAAACUGACAGCCAUAAGGCUCCUGCCAAUUGCCGAUAACUUUGAAAAAACAUGAUCAUCUCAUACAACAAUGUAUAUCACAUCAUGUCUUGACCAUAUCACAUCACAACAUGCCCUGCAAAAACAAGUUAGACAUCCUCUACUUUGUUGUUGCAAGUUUUACAUGGCUGCUAGGGGCUUCUAGUAAGAACCAUUCUUACCUACGCAUCAAAACCACAACUGUGUUUCGUCAAGUUUGUUGUUUUAACCUUCAACAAGGACCGGUCGUAGUCAAAUUCGAUUCAACGAAAGUUGGAGAAACAGCACCCGCCAGCCACCUUUAUGCAAAACUAGUUGCAUGUCUGUCGGUGGAACCGGUCUCAUGAACAUGGUCAUGUAAGGUUGGUCCGGGCCGCUUCAUCCAACAACAACGCCGAAUGAAAAUAAGACGUUGGUGGUAAGCAGUAUGACUAUCACCGCCCACAACUCUUUUGUUAUACUCAUGCAUAUCAUCUACGCAUAGACCUGACUCGGAUGCCACUGUUGGGGAACGUAGCAUGCAAUUUCAAAAAAAUUCCUACGCUCACGCAAGAUCUAUCUAUGAGAUGCAUAGCAACGAGAGGGGGAGAGUGUGUCCACGUACCCUCGUAGACUGAAAGCGGAAGAGUUUGACAACACGGUUGAUGUAGUCGAACUUCUUCUCGUUCCGAUCGAUCAACCACCGAACGUACGGCACCUCCGAGUUUUGCACAUGUUCAGCUCGAUGACGUCCAUCCUCUUGAUCCAGCAAAGUGCCGAGGGAGAGUUCUGUCAGCACAACGGCAUGGUGACGGUGAUGGUGAAGUGAUCCGCGCAGGGCUUCGCCUAAGCACUACAUGAAUAUGACCUGAGGCGUAAACUAUGGAGGGGGGCGGCGCACACGGCUAACAAUCUUUGUUGUGUGUUCUAGCGGUGCCCCCCUCAUAUAUAUAAGUUGGAGGGGAGGAGAGGCAGCCAAGGGGGCGCCCCAAGUAGGAGGAAUCAUACUUGGGCACCUCCUAAUUCGGCCUCCCCCCUUUCCUAUUCCUAUUCGGAGUAGGAAGGGAAGAGGGGGAAGGGGGAAUCCUAUUCCCUUUUUCCUUUCCUCCUUACCCUUUCCUUCUCCAAUUUGUCUAGCCCAUAUGGGGGGGCACCAGCCCCUUUGUGGAUGGUGUGUUUCCCCUCUUGGCCCAUAAGGCCCAUAUAGCUUGCUGGGGGUUGCCCGUAACCCCUUCCGGCGACCUGAUACGUACCCGGUACCCCCAGAACACUUCCGGUGUCCAAAUACUAUCGUCCUAUAUAUGAAUCUUUACCUCUUGAUCAUUUCGAGACUUCUCGUCAUGUCUGUGAUCUCAUCCGGGACUCCGAACAACAUUCGGUCUCCAAAUCAUAUAACUCAUAUAAUACAAAUCGUCAUCGAAUGUUAAGCGUGCGGACCCUACAGGUUCGAGAACUAUGUAGACAUGACCAAGACACCUCUCAAGUCAAUAACCAAUAGCGGAACCUAGAUGCUCAUACUGGUUCCCACAUAUUCUGCGAAGAUCUUUAUCGGUCGUACCGUAAUGACAACAUACGUAAUUCGCUUUGUCAUCGAUAUGUUACUUUCCCAAGAUUCGAUCAUCGGUAUCUUCAUACCUAAUUCAAUCUCGUUACCGGCAAGUCUCUUUACUCGUUCCGUAAUGCAUCAUCCCGCGACUAACUCAUUAGUCACAUUGCUUGCAAAGCUUAUUAUGAUGUGCAUUAUCGAGAGGGCCCAGAGAUACCUCUCUGAUACUCAGAGUGACAAAUCCUAAUCUCGAUCUAUGCCAACCCAAAAAAUACCUUCGGGGAUACCUGUAGAGCACCUUGAUAAUCACCUAGUUACGGUGCGACGUUUGAUAGCACACUAAGUUUUCCUCCGGUAUUUGGGAGUUGCAUAAUCUCAUAGUUAGAGGAAUAUGUAUAUGACAUGAAGAAAGCUAUAGCAAUAAAACUGAACGAUCAUUAUGCUAAGCUAACGGAUGGGUCUUCUCCGUCACAUCAUUCUCCUAAUGAUGUGAUCCCAUUCAUCAAAUGAAAACACAUGUCUAUGGUUAGGAAACUUAACCAUCUUUGAUUAACGAGCUAGUCUAGUAGAGGUUUACUAGGGACACUGUGCUUUAUCUAUGUAUCUACACAUGUAGCAAGUUUCCAGUUAAUACAAUUCUAGCAUGAAUAAUAAACAUUUAUCAUGAUAUAAGGAAAUAUAAAAUAACAACUUUAUUAUUGCCUCUAGGGCAUAUUUCCUUCAUCUUGCCCCACAUCGAGCCCCUGUGAAUUUUUACCGAUUCGAGAGUAUUUUUGCCAUAAAAAUCUUCAAAUAGCACCGUGAGACCAUCGAAGAUACAUGGCCCCUAAAACAUCACCCUUUUUCCAAUCCCCAAGACAAAACAUCUAGACCACAAAAAGGUUGCCAUCCAUCUCUCGAGCUGAUGGGCUAGGUUGUAGAUGAAUUUCAUUGUUUCCUUGAAUGCCACACUACUAAAGUUCUUGGUGGUGUGUACCGUAGCCACCGCAAGCCAACAAGCCAAUUUAGCCUACUCAUCGAUCUUCUCAAGCCCUACAUAAACGUCAUCUUCCUCAUAGCAUCCUCGAGAGCCCCCUCGGAUUGCGUCUCAUUUCCUUUGUCUGUCCCUCCGGAACUCGAACUUGGAGCCACCGUGACAACAUAUUUGAAAAGCUUCGACGGAAAAAAAAUGUGUAUGUGAUCACCCUGAGUUCUCUCCGUAGAGACCAAGGUCGGGCGAACGGGCCAACCGUCCUCAUAGUCAGCCCAAGAAUCUAUGCGGUGAACACCGACAGUGGAGAGCGAAAGGUGGGAAGAACUUGACACUAGCAGAAGGCUUCGGUUGAGAAGGCUAAACCCUAAUCGUCUUGAUAGUGUAAGUCGCGUCCGUGGACAUUUUUCUUCUUCUUUUGAAUAAAGACAUCAAAGGGCAUAUUAGAUUAGCUUAAUAUCGGGAAAAAUACUGCCCUUCGAAAAUUAGAUUAGCUUAUGUCCAGUUGUCCAGGGCAUUUGAAUGUCUGAAUAGACAACGGGAUCUCCGGGCAUUCUGAGGCCCUGGACCAUGAAUAGCACGACCCAGCUGGUGCCCUACCAGCAACUAGCAUCCACUAGAAGGCUCGGCCCAUAUUUUGCACCCUGAUACCGAUGCACAUGCCUUCCACGCGGGACCUCCUAUUGGACGCUCAUUGUGUCUAAUAGCAUGUGGUACGCACAUGUGAUAGUGACUGGGCCGACCCACUGGCAAGUGCCGAACGCAGGAAAUCCUAAAAAGCAACACUAUCGGUAGGAAUCAAACCCAUGAGCUCCUACUCAACUACACGUGUUACUAGCCACCAUGGCUGAUGGUUGUUGACUGGUUGGAGCGCGGAAGUUUUAAGAACUCACAUGCACAUUUUUUAUUUACUUUGAAUUCAUUUUGGAAAGCACAAACACUUCAAAAAAACGUGAAAUUCCAAAAUACUUUUUGAAAAACACAAACAAAAUUUGACUGCUGAGCAUUUUUUUGGAAAAAAUGUGAAUAUUCUUUAAAAAAUAAGAACAAAAUUUGCAAGCGUGAUUUUUUUAUUUCCACACAUCUUUUAAAAUGAUCCGAACAAUUUCUGAAAAUCCUAACAAUGUUCCUUCAAUUUCAAUUUGGCAGCAUAUUCGUACAAGUCUAUCUUAGUAGUGCCAUUUCGUUGUUGUCUUGUUUCGUUGGGGUUUAGACUAUCUUAAAGCAUCUUUAGCAGACCCCGUAUAAGUGGUCAAACCCUUCCGUUGGGUUUUACAGUUUAGCUGAAGCCUUGAUAGUGCGAAUGCAGGCCGUGGCAUGUGCAAUCUCAGUCCCCCAGCUGCAGGUGGUAUAACUGGCCACAUCGUCUGACCUUUUCUUUAACCACUUCGUAUCAGUUCCUUUCGACAGUAGCCUAUACUACUUCCUACUUCUGUCGAUAAACCCUGGUGAAUCUUUUCGUCUGCCUCAUGCAACCCCUACGCUUUUAUACCAUACCAAACCACUAGUUUGCCGAGCUUCAGAAAAGAAAAGAGAAAAAGGAGAUGGCUCAGAAAGGUAAACUGGAAACUGAAAAAGCUGUCAUGAUCCUACCCUCCUCCGCUGGAAACCACGGACACGGAGCAUCUCCACAACUUCCACCAUGACACCUCCUCCACUGCGUGAUUGUUGCUGCCUCCAGACUGAAAAUGCAGCCACGGCUCCCCCGCCCGCCCACCACGGCGAUGCUCGCCGCGUCCCCGCCAACAACGCCGCCGCACUUCCCACCACUCCAUCGUGCAUGCUCUAGCGUCGGCGCGCCGAGAUCCGCUAGGUUCCACCCACGUUGCUCCAUCUCGCCACCAUCGUUGUUUCGUGACUCAGAAGCAGGGAGGGGAUCUGCGCAGCGGAUCUCUGCAGGGCGGAGGUCCGCAUCCACGACUGCCUGCAACGCGAAUGGAGCCUGGUGGCGAAGGGAGCAGGGCAUCAGACCGGAAGAUCGUUGGUUUGAUCUCGGAUUUGGGGAGAAAACAGCAUGCAGCGGCGAGGGCCGCGCGGGAUGUGGAGAUCGCGGCAGGUCGGGUACGAGAUGUGAAGAUGCUGCUCGCGCUUCGUACCAUGUCACGGACAAACCAAGAGGAGAGGGAUCAGAUUUUCGCGCUGGGUCAGUCCCUCACUGUCACAUCCCUAGUUCUGGUAUGACCUAGGCUAGCUAGUCAUGUGUGCAUCAUGUUUAAAUUCCAUUUAACUUUGAAAUGGGGAUUUGUAAAACCCUCAGAAAUCAUUUCUGGAAAUGACCCAAAUAAAAAUUGCUCUAAAAGGGUCCAAGAAAAUGUUCAUGUCUCUCUCUGAAAAUAUUGGGCACAGGUAAAAUUCAAACCAAUAUUUUUAGGAGCUCAUAAAUAUUUAUUUUGGCCAUUUGGAAUUAAUCCAGUAAUUAUUUGCGUUGGAUAAAUAUUUAUAUAUAUAUAUAUAUAUAAUAUUGUCCAAUAAUUCUGAAUUUUGGUGAGGGGCUUUGGAAUAAUCCUUUAGGCCCCUGCAAAAAUUGUCAGAAGAAAAUAAAUUGAUUUAGUAUUUUUAUUAAAUCAAAACAAAGGUCAGAAAAUAGAAAAGAAAACAAAAUGGAAAAAUGCUUACCUGGGCCACCUGCGGCCUGGCACUGUGCCGGCCCAACUGUGCUGGCCCAGCCCACUGGCCACCGCACCGUCCUCCACCUCGCGCCAGUAGGCGAGGCGUGUGCCCGGCGCGCGCGCGCGCUCCGCGCGCCACGGCACCUGCCUGCCUGUCCUCCUCCUCAUCGCCUGGAUGCCCCGCGCGACGCCACGCACCGCCCCGCACCUCUCACUCUCUCUCACUCUCCCUCCUCCCCUGGAUCCCUCUCUCUCGACCAGCCCGAGCGCUAUCGUCGCCGCCGCUCGCCGUAGUCGUAGCCACUGACUCCCCCUAGCCCUCUCUCCGUGUCUGCAAGCUCCGCCAUGUCAUUUUGCGAUAUGCCAACUCCACUUGAAAUCCAAACUCCAGGGUCUAGAUGGCAAACUACCAGAAUAAGCCAUGGUAAUGAAAUCCUUGUUGACAGACUUGUAUUCCUUGCAUCACUUAUAGCCCUCAAGUCUACAGAUAUUAACAUCAUCUUGGGUAUGGACUGGAUGAAGCUCAUCAUGCCAAGAUUGAUUGUUACACAAGGUCUGUUCAGCUUACACACCCAUCUGGCAAGAUAGUCACCGUCUCCACUAGAGUUGCAAAGCGUCAACUCUAUUCUCUUAAUGCCAACCCUCUUCCAGACCUUGAAGAUAUCCCGGUAGUCCGUGACUUUCCGAAUGUCUUUCCAGAGGAACUGCCAGGUAUUCCACCUGACAGAGAUGUAGAGUUUGUCAUAGAUCUUAUCCCAGGAACCGCUCCAAUCUCUAGGAGACCUUACAAGAUGGCACCCUUAGCACUAGCUGAGCUUAAGAUACAACUCGAUGAAUCCUUGCAAAAGGGUUUCAUCCGUCCUAGUUCUUCUCCCUAGGCUUGCCCCGUCCUCUUCGUCAAGAAGAAGGAUGGAACGGACCGGAUGGUUGUAGAUUAUCCUCCCGUUAAUUUGGUCACGAUAAAGAACAAGUAUCCGCUCCCCAGGAUCAACGACUUGUAUGAUCAGCUUGCUGGAUCCUCAGUCUUUUCCAAGAUGGAUUUGAGGUUAGGCUACCACCAAAUCAAGAUCAGAAAUGGGGAUAUUCCUAAGACGGCUUUUGUCACUCGUUAUAGUUAGUACGAGUACACCGUCAUGUCCUUUGGUCUAACCAACGCUCCAGCUACUUUCUCUCGCUUGAUGAACUCGAUCUUCAUGGAGUACUUAGAUAAGUUCGUCGUGGUUUACCUCGAUGAUAUUCUUAUUUACUCGAAGAACGAGGAAGAUCAUGCCGAACAUCUUAGACUUGUGCUAGAAAAACUCAGAGAGCGCCGCCUUUAUGCCAAGUUCUCCAAGUGCGAAUUUUGGUUGCCAGAAGUGACCUAUCUUGGCCACGUAAUCUCUGGUAAGGGCAUUGCUGUCAAUCCCGAAAGAGUUCAGGCCGUUCCUGAUUGGACUCCGCCUGAAACAGUUAAGCAAGUUAGGAGUUUCCUUGGUCUAGCCAGUUAUUGUCGCCGAUUCGUUGAGAACUUCUCCAAAGUGGCCAAACCUCUCACGGAACUUCUCAAGAAAGAUAAAAAGUUUGAGUGGUCCCCACAGUGUGAGCACAGUUUUCAGGAACUAAAAAGACGCCUGACUUCUGCUCACAUACUUGUGCCACCGGACUUCACUAAGGACUUUGUUAUCUAUUGUGAUGCCUCACGACAGGGACUAGGUUGCAUUCUUAUGCAAGAUCGCCAUAUGAUUGCCUAUGCAUAUCGACAAUUGCAUCCACAUGAGGAGAAUUAUCCUACACAUGAUCUAGAGCUUGCAGCCGUAGUCUAUGCACUUAAGACCUGGCGACAUUACCUUCUUGGUAAACGUUGCGAGAUUUACAUCGAUCAUCAGAGUCUCAAGUAUAUCUUCACCCAACCAGAUUUGAACCUUAGGCAAAGACGUUGGUUGGAGUUGAUCUCAGAUUACAACUUGGCGAUUACCUACACCCCAGGCAAGGGGAAUGUCAUGGCUGAUGCACUAAGUCGUAAGUCCUAUUGCAACAAUCUCAUGUUGCAACAGGGCCAACCACUUCUCCAUGAGGAAUUAUGUAAGCUAAACCUUCACAUCGCUCCUCAUGGAUUCCUUUCUACCUUGGUGGCGAAACCUACUCUUGUGGAUCAGAUCAUCUCUGCUCAGAAGCAGGAUACGGGAAUUUCCCGGAUCAAGAGAAACAUUAACAAGGGAGUUGGUGGUAGUUUCUCUAUAGAUGAUCGUGGUGUUGUUUUCUUUGAGAGUCGCUUGGUGGUUCCCAAGAAUCAACAUCUUCCACAAUUAAUCCUUAAGGAGGCGCAUGAAUCUCCUCUCACGAUUCAUCCCGGUAGUACUAAGAUGUAUCAGGACCUACGCCAGAGGUUCUGGUGGACUAGGAUGAAGAGAGAAAUCGCUCAGUUUAUUGCUAACUGUGACGUUUGUCGUCGCGUGAAGGCAGAGCAUCAGAGACCUGCUGGCACCCUUCAACCUUUAGCUAUUCCUGAGUGGAAAUGGGAUAAAGUUGGUAUGGACUUCAUCACCGGCUUUCCCAGGACCAAGAAAGGGAAUAAUGCUAUCUUCGUAGUCAUUGAUCGUCUUUCCAAAGUGGCUCACUUCCUACCUGUUCGAGAGAAUAUCACUGCUAGUCAGCUCGCUGACUUAUAUAUUUCUUGAAUAGUGUCACUUCAUGGUGUUCCACUAGAGAUCAAUUCAGACCGUGGUAGUCUUUUCACUUCUCAUUUCUGGGAGAGUUUCCAAACUGCCAUGGGCACCCAUCUUUCCUUCAGUACGGCUUUCCACCCUCAAUCAAGUGGUCAGGUGGAAAGGGUCAAUCAAAUUCUUGAAGACAUGCUUAGAGCUUGUGUUAUCUCAUUCGGUAUGGAUUGGGAGAAGUGUCUUCCCUUCGCUGAGUUUGCUUAUAACAAUAGUUACCAAUCCAACCUCAAGAAAGCUCCUUUUGAGGUUCUGUAUGGACGAAGAUGUCGAACACCUUUGAACUGGUCAGAACCCGGUGAAAGACAAUUCUUUGGACCGGAUAUGAUCCAGGAGGUGGAAGAGCAAGUUCGCAUCGUUCAUGAGAAUUUGAAAACAGCCCAAUCUCAUCAUAAGAGCCAGUAUGACCGUAGUCAUAAGGAAGUGGCUUAUGAAGUUGGCGACAAAGCUUACCUUCGGGUUACCCCUUUGAAGGGUACCCAUCGAUUCGGUAUCAAGGGCAAGUCGGCUCCCCGUUACAUUGGUCCCUUUCUUAUUCUCGCUAAACGAGGAGAGGUUGCCUACCAGUUGGAACUACCCCCACAUCUUUCUCGAGUUCAUGAUGUUUUCCACGUCUCUCAACUCAGGAGUUGCUUCUCGGAUCCCAUCCGCGGAGUGGACCACGAAACGCUUGAUCUCCAAGAUAACCUCACAUAUCGAGAGUACCCUGUUCGCAUCCUUGAUCAAGCAGAGCGUGUCACUCGAUGUCAUAACAUCAAGUUUCUCAAGGUUCAGUGGUCUCAUCAUUCCGAGAUAGAAGCUACUUGGGAGCGUGAAGAUCGUCUUCGACUAGAGUACCCCGCUUUCUUCCCGCCGACUCCUGAAUCUCAGGAUGAGAUUUCUUCGAGUGGGGGCGAGUUGUCACAUCCCUAGUUCUGGUAUGACCUAGGCUAGCUAGUCAUGUGUGCAUCAUGUUUAAAUUCCAUUUAACUCUGAAAUGGGGAUUUGUAAAACCCUCAGAAAUCAUUUCUGGAAAUGACCCAGAUAAAAAUUGCUCCAAAAGGGUCCUAGAAAAUGUUCGUGUCUCUCUCUGAAAAUAUUGGGCAGAGGUAAAAUUCAAACCAAUAUUUUUAGGAGCUCAUAAAUAUUUAUUUUGGCCAUUUGGAAUUAAUCCAGUAAUUAUUUGCGUUGGAUAAAUAUUUAUAUAUAUAUAUAUAUAAUAUUGUCCAAUAAUUCUGAAUUUUGGUGAGGGGCUUUGGAAUAAUCCUUUAGGCCCCUGCAAAAAUUGUCAGAAGAAAAUAAAUUGAUUUAGUAUGUUUAUUAAAUCAAAAAGAGUCAGAAAAUAGAAAAGAAAAUAAAAUGGAAAAAUGCUUACCUGGGCCACCUGUGGCUUGGCACUGUGCCGGCCCAACUGUGUUGGCCCAGCCCACUGGCCACCGCACCGUCCUCCACCUCGUGCCAGUAGGCGAGGCGUGUGCCCGGCGCGCGCGCGCGCUCCGCGGGCCACGGCACCUGCCUGCCUGUCGUCCUCCUCGUCGCCUGGAUGCCCCGCGUGAUGCCACGCACCGCCCCGCACCGCUCUCACUCUCUCUCCCCCCUGGAUCCCUCUCUCUCGACCAGCCCGAGCGUUGUCGUCGCCGCCGCUCGCCGUUGCCGUAGCCACCGACUCCCCCUAGCCCUCUCUCCGUGUCUGCAAGCUCCGCCACGUCUGCGUCUACCUCUCCGUCGAGCCACGCACCUCGGGAGGCCCUGGAGCGCCUCCAUCGCCAUCGUCUUCAUCUCCGGCUGCCGUGGAUCCCCAUCACCGCACCAUCGACCUCAGCGCGUCCCCGAGCUCGCUGACGACGUCUACGAUCUCCCCGUGAGCUCUACUUCGUUCUCCCCUCCUCCCCGUGCUCGUUUGCCCCACCUAGCUAGCUCAGCUGCCGCGCCCGAGACCUCAUCUCCGCCGGCCAUGGCGCCACCGUGGCCAGAGGCCGAGCCAGCCGCUCCCGCGCGCGUCACCGUGCUCCUGGUGACGCCAGGAGGCCGUAGAGGGCCUCCGCAGUUCCUGCCGUGCCCCGCAGCCCGUUUUCGCCCGGAGCCGUGCUCCGGCCGCCGCCUCGAGCUCGUUUCCGGCGAGCUUAGGCACCCCCGCAGCCUCCCGCUUACUCCAAACGACACGGACGAGCUCCAGCUCCUCGUCCGUGAUCUCCGCCGCCUAAAUGGUCGCCGGAGGGCGUUUUCCGAGCCCUCCGCCGUGUUCGGCCUCGCCGGCGAUUAAACGUCAGUGGGGUUUGACCCCUUUGACCUCGCGGGCCCGUCAGGUGGGCCCCAUGGGUCAGGUGAUUACCUUAAGGCUAAUCACCAUUUGCUAACCCCCUGACACUGACAGUGGGCCCAACGCCACUAAUUUUAAUUAGAUUAGUAUAAUAACUCCCUGUUAACUAACCGGUCACUGACGUGUGGAUCCCACAUGUCAGGUUUGACCUGGUCAGCUCCAUUGACCUGCUGACGCAGGCAUGACGCAAUGCUGACGCAAUAUUUCAUUUUCUGGUUUAAAAUUAAUCAGGAAAUUCCAAAAAAUGUUCUAAACUUCAAAAAUUCAUAGAAAUUCAACCGUAGCUCAGAUUGAAAUAAUUUAUAUAUGAAAAAUUAUCACAAAAAUUCAGUCUAUCCAUCUGUACCACUUUCAUGCAUGUUCAACCAACUUAUACCCACUGUAUAAGUGAAAACAUGAUAAUGGCAUUUUAAAUGCUAAAUAUGGAGUUUGCAUAUGAAACCUUGGUCCAUAUGGACUUCAUUUAAAUUGUUGCUAGAUGCAUUAGUGCAAAUCAUAACAUUAUUACCAUGUUCAUGCAUCAUAAUGUUGCAUAUGUUUGUGUCUUGAUUUCCGACACCGUUCCUUCUCGACAGGUCCUGCUCCGGAAAGUGUUCGAGAGUACCUAUCAGUGGAGCAGUGCCCCCCUGUUGAUCUACCAGGCAAGCAACCCCCUUGUUCAUUCCGAUACAAUCCCACUAUCUCAUUCUUGCUCUCCUUUAUUGCAUUAGGACAACAAUGAUUCAACUGCUACUUUAUGCUGCGGUAGUUGAACCCAUUCCUCUGCAUGACCUGUCAUUGCCACAGUAAAUAGUUGAAACCCACUAGCGUGUGUAGGAGUUGAUUGAGCCAUGUGGUGUUCCUACCAUGCCAUGCCUGCUAUUGCUUAGAGUUGUGUUAGGUCUGAUUCAUCGGGAAUGAAUUGGAGUGUUAUGAUAUGUUCUAGUGCUGAGAGUUAAGCGUGUGAACACGAUUUGGUAAAGGUAGCGGUGAGAGGCCAUGUAGGAGUACAUGGUGGGUUGUCUCAUUGGGACCGUCCUUAAGAACUGAGUUCUGUGUAAGUCGUCCAAUGAGUAGCUACUACCACACAUUGGGCUCCGGGUGCUCCAAGCUCUCUCGGCUUAUUAACCGCCUUGAACUCUGUCCAGGAGUUGCAAAUAGUUUCUGGUGUUUGUAGGUAGUGCUAUUUUUCUACCGAGUGGCACCCGGCAGGGUGGACUUGGGACAGACUAGGCACAUGUGGCCCGGUGUACCGAGUGGCACCCGGAUGGUGGCCUCGGGAACCCUGUACACAUCGUUUGGGGCCGUGAGCGAAACCCCGGCCGGAUCUCCUUGCGGAUGGAACCCAAAUAGGCGAUAAACCUGGACUAGAGUCUUGUGUGGUUAGUUAGGUCGUGGCCGACACCCUCGCCAGGCUUCAGCUUGAAGGUUGCCGAGAUACAUGAAGUAUAUAUGGUGAUAAGUGGUGAGAGCGUGUGUGAAGAAGUACACCCCUGCAGGGUUAUCAUGAUCUAUUCGAAUAGCCGUGUCCUCGGUUAUGGACUUCUUGGAUGCUUACGUGGUACAUAGACAACUUUAAGUGGAUACUCUAAAAUGCUCAUGACAAGUGUGAGUGCUAUGGAUGGCCUUCUCGUAAGGAGACGAGGAUGGAUCCAUAGUAGUGUAUUGAUGUGGUGAUUAGUGGACUCGUGUGCGCUGCCUCAUCUCAAAGAAGUUUCUCGUUGUCGUAGAACAGGAUAGCCACUGAGUCAAAGCUGGCUUGCUGCAACUACACCCCACAUUACCUUCUUGAUACAAAUGCAUGUAUGAUAGGAUCUGAUGUAAGUCUUGCUGAGUACCUUUGUACUCACGUUUGCUUUAUUUAUGUUUUGCAGGUGAGACAUCUGUCUCACUAGUAGUACCACUUGGACUUCGACGAGUAGCUUGUUACCUCAGCUACGAUCUUGUACCUUGGAGGGACUUGUAGAUAGUCAGGUUUCUUAGCCUUUUUCUUUUGUAGUUGUCGGUACUUAGACAUGUAAUGCUUCCGUUGCUUGUAUGCUCUGAAUGAUGGGUCAUGUGACCCCUGUUUGUAUUAAUGUUAUGUGGCUCUUCUGAGCCUUUAUCUAUAUGAGUUUGCGUUAUGUUGUGAUGCCAUGUUGUACAGCACAUACUUGCAUGUUAUGCGUACGUGUGACGUGUAUUGCUAUGUGUGGGAUCCGACAAUCUAGUUGUUUAUCCUUGGCAGUCUCUCUUAUGGGGAAAUGUAGUCUAGUGCUUCCUUGAGCCAUAGUAGUCCGCUACAGCCCGGUUCACCGGAGUCCUGCUAGCCCAGCACUACUGCUCAGGACACUUGACUGGCCGGCAUGUGUAUCACUUCGUUCCUGUGUCUGUCCCUUCGGGGAAAUGUCACGCGGUGACAUCCGGAGUCCUGUUAGCCCAGUGCUACAGCCCGGAUUCACACGCUGCUGACCGACACGCUUGAUGUGAAUCAUGUAUGCCUGUUCCCAUAGGUUAGUGCCGCUUUGCGUUCAUGACUAGCCAUGUCGGCCCGGGUUCUCUGUCAUAUGGAUGCUAGCGACACAAUCAUAUACGCGAGCCAAAAGGCGCAAACGGUCCCGGGCCAGGGUAAGGCGACACCCGUGGGGAUACCGUGCGUGAGGCCGCAAAGUGAUAUGAGGUGUUACCGGCUAGAUCGAUGUGAUUUGGAAUCGGGGUCCCGACACUCACUCCAGGGGUAAUUUUGAAUUGGGCAUCGGAGGAGGCCUGUUCUUCCUCCCGGGCUCAGAGGGCGAAGUGGAAGAUCUUCAGAGAGCUACAAAUCUGACUGCAAGUAGAGGCAGCGCAUGGAGGAGGAGAAUAGGGUUGCGGCUGAAUCGGGUCCGUCUUGAGGUACGAUCGGGAUCUCCUUGUCUCUGUUGUGGGACUCAUACGGAGGAUGCGGGAGAUGGAGCAGUGGUGCCACCAUUGUUGGUCUUCGAGAACCUGGGUGGUUUCCAAUUCAAAAAUCUGCCUGAUCCAGGAGAUAGAAACCGAGAUGACCAAGUCAACAUGGCCACCAGGUCAGCACCUCAAACAGGGCCUAGUGUCAGUGAGUUGGGUAGAGAGAUUGGAGGUGACUUCUUCACCCAACUAUGGGCGGAUGAAGGGGAUAAAUCAGAUGCCUCCCCUAGGGUUUCUAACCAGAGAGUGGUGGUGGUGUGGAUCUGCAGAUCAUUGAUAGAGGCCAAAAAAUUCGGUGUUGAGGAUUGCCACCCCAUCCUGGAGAGCGAGAGUGUUAGCCAAGUAGCCACCCAAUUCAACAUCUCAAGAUAGGGGUGGUUCCAAGAUCCAAAGGCAGUGUUUGCUGCGUUCCUUGAGAAGGUGAAGAUGGGAGAAGGAGGCCGAGGAAGAGGCAAAGGUAGGGGGCAGGGCGAAACCAACAAAAUCCGGUACCCCAAGAUGAGUUUCAACACUCUAGGCUGUCGCCGGUGAUGUAUGGAUUUCCCCCACCACCACAGUUUGGGUUCCCAGGCACCCCUCCUUGGGGUUUCCCAGGUGCAUACCCCCCAUACCCACCUCCCCCAAAUUUCCCAGUGAAUAAUCAGUGGGUGCCGCCAGGGCAAUCUCAUGCACCCCCAGGAAAAGGCUAUCAGGGUGGAUUCCAACAACAACAAUAAGCAAGUGCAGGGGGCAGAAUAACCAGUCUGGAAGGGAUAAACAGAAGAAGAAUUUGAACAAGACUAGCUCUAGCAACAGUGCAGAAAGUAAAGAGAAGAUGGUCGUGGACUUCACUGAAUAUAGUCAAUCCAUGUGAUAUAACUGUGGUGAUCCAGGACAUCCACACACUGAGUGUGGAAAACCAAAGCUAUGUUUCAUCUGCAAGAGUGCCACCAUGCUGUAAGUGAGUGCCCUGUCAGGAAAAGGCCACAUCAGAUGGCUAAAUUUGUUGGUAGUGCGGCUGCAGGAUUGGGAUUCUAUCACAUAGAAGUGCCAGACAUGGGACAUAAUGCUAUUGUCAGCUUUAAAAACUGUGGGGUUGUGUAUACUGAAUCAGGAGAAAUCAACAAGGAGGACUUGGCCAAGGAGUUUGCGAUCAUCUAUAAAACAAAUUGGCCUUGGCAGAUUAGAACCUUUGGAAGGUGGUCUUACCUAGUGAAAUUCCCACCACAUAUCUCAGUCGACCAGGUGGCUGGAUAUCCUUGUUUUGGUCUUCCAGAGAAGACAUUACUAUUAAGGUGGUAGCUUGGAAAGAAAACUUAGAAAAAAGAGACAACUUCAUUGAAGUCUGGGUCCAAAUGAGAAAGCUUCUUCCCAAAUGGUGUGAGUGGUCUUCUCUUGACCAAAUCACAUCUGUGUUUGGACUGCUUGUGGAGGUAGAUUGGCAACAGAUGUUCAAAAGUAUGUUUGAAGUGGUCAGAGUCAAAAUCCAAUGUAGGGAUCCCAACAAAAUACCUAAUGAAAGACUGUUUUCUCUAGAGGGCAAACUGGUACAUGUUCAGAUCAUUGUAGAAGUACCUAACCCUGUAUCUGUAGAAAUGAUUCCUACAAGCUCUAGUGACAAGGAUAGAGGAGAGGAUACAGACAAGGACAACAACAGUGGCAUGGACACUGAUGGUAGGCUAGAGGAAGGAGGGAACAAUCAGAAAACUCUCAAUGGCAGUGGUGGAAUAGAAGACGGGAUUGGGAUGGGUGGAGGCAGCAAUAGUGGUCAGAGGACUCAUGCCUUGGCUGACACCGUGACUCCACUCAGUGAGAAAGCCAUUUGGGAGGGCUUUAGAAAGGAACAUGAGGUAGCAAUUGAAUCACACUCUGAGGGGUCUGAAGUAGUGCCUGCAGAAGAACCUGAAAGGGAAGUUACCAGAUUCUUGUUUGUUGAGAUGAAUGAAGAGCUUGAGAAAACUGAGGAGGAAAUUAGCCUGUCUGAAACAAAUCUUUAGGGGAGAGGUGAAGAGAUGGUGAAUGAUGGAGAAAAGGAUGAGGAGGAGGCCUAUCUUCCUCAUGAUAUCAUACCCACAUAUGAGGAGGAGGAGGCUAUGUUUGAACAUAAGUGCAGGAAGAACCCAAAGAAACAGAAAACAUGGAGCCUAGUUCAACCUGAAAGGAAGAGCACUAGAGUGAAAGGGAACAUACCUAUCAUGGUGAAGGCUGAAUUACUCAAGAUGAGGAAAAAUCUGGAGCUACCAAAAACAACUGUGAAAGGUAUAAUCCAUUCAAACCCUUUUAAUGUUCAACCUGUUGAGGAAAUACUAGAUAUGACUGAUGCUUUUGGUGUAGAGAUUAGAGAGGAUGUAGAUCUUAAACAAUCAUCUACUCCCCUGGGUGAUAGUAUUAUAAGUUGUAGAAAUUUGGUAGGAAAGAAUAAAGGUAAAGAUAGAGGGGGAAGUAUCAUCAGUAGGAAUAGACAGGGCAAGCACCCUGGUAAGAAAGGUUCCAAAUGAGAUACAUCUUCUGGAACGUUAGAGGGGUUGCGGCCCCUGGUAGACAAAGAUGUAAAGAGGAUACUAUUAUGCCUUUAAAUCCUGUUUACAUAGGUUUUCAAGAGACUAAAAACAUACUUUCUCUAAUUCCUUUCCUAAGAACCUAUUAGGCAAUAGAAAUUUUGAGUGGAACUGGCUUCCUACCUCUGGUUCUGCUGGUGGCAUUUUAGUAGGUGUAGAUUUAGACAGGUUUAAAGUGGUUAGUAGGGAGAUACUUGAAUUCUCUGUGAGUGUAGUGGUUUGUAAGAAAUACACUGAGGUGAUUUCUAGGAUUACCAUAGUGUAUGGCCCUGCUUACGAGGAGAGUAAACAGGAGUUUAUUUCUGAGUUACAUAGUAUUUUUCUUAACUAGAAUGGCCCUGCUAUUGUAGGGGGAGAUUUCAAUCUUGUUAGGAAUCAAACUGAUAAGAACAAUGGUAGAGUAGAUUUUAAGUGGAUUGACAGGUUCAACUCUUGGGUAGAUUUUUGAUCCUUGGUAGAAAUUAACAUGUCUGGUAGGAUGUACACUUGGGUAAAUAAUCAAGCAGACUUGAUUAUGUCCAAAAUUGAUAGAAUUUUCUGUACAACUGAGUUCGAAGCCAUUUUCCCUUUAGCUAAUGCUAGAGUCCUCCUUAGAAUUGGGAGUGACCAUACCCCUGUUAUUUGGGAAUCUGGUUGUGAUGAAACUCCUAAAAAGAAUAGUUUUAAGUUUGAAAAGUAGUGGUUAAUUGUUCCUAAAUUUAGAGAAAUAGUCUCUAAAGCUUGGAAUACUAAGUGUUUUAGUUCCAACCCUAUUUAUGUUUGGCAGAGUAAGGUGAGAGCUUUUAGAAGAAUAGCUAGAGGGUGGAGCGCCAACUUAGAGGCUUUUCUUAGGAAACAUAACAGGAAGCUCAUAGAAGAAUAUGAUAGAAUAGAUAUAUAUAUAUACAUAAUCAAAUGGGAUGAAUGACAUUGAUAGGGAUAGGAUGAAGGAGAUUUUAAAGGAGCUUAGUGAUAUAUGGUGCAAAGAAGAGACUAAAGCUAGACAGAGAUCUAGAGACAGAGACAUUCUAGAAGGAGAUAGGAAUAUGGCCUAUUUCCAAGCAGUGGCUAAUCGGAGGGGGAGGGACAAAUGAUUUUUGGUCUGGAGGGGCCUGAGGGACCCACCUCUGACCAGGAUAAGAUGAUGAAAAUAGCUAUGGAUUUCUAUAGAAAUCUGUUUAAAGCUGAACAGAGACCUAAUAUUGCUUUGAAGCAAGACUUCUUCAGUAGUGAGGAGAAGGUUUCUGUAGAUGAUAAUAUUAAACUAGAAGCUAGAUUUACUGAAGAAGAAGUUAGGAAAGCAGUGUUUGAAUCUUAUUCAGAUGGGGCCCUUGGCCCUAAUGGACUUCCAUUUAUGCUCUUCCAGACCUUUUGGGACAUAAUUAAAGAGGAUCUUAUGGCUAUGUUUGAGGCGUGGUAUGACCAUGACCUAGACAUUUUUAGAUUGAAUUUUUCCAUGAUUACCUUGAUCCCUAAAGAAGAGGAAGCUAAAGAGAUGAGGAAAUUUAGACCUAUUAGCCUCCUUAAUUGUUGUUUUAAGAUAUUCACCGGUGUUAACUAAUAGAUUAGCUUUGAUCAUUGAUAAGUUGAUUUCGGAAAAUCAAUCUGCUUUCAUUGGAGGGAGGUACAUUUUGGAAAGUGUGGUUACUGCACAUGAAGUGCUACACACUACACAUUCCUCUGGUAGAAAAGGGAUGAUUCUUACGAUAGAUUAUGAAAAGGCUUAUGAUAGAGUUAACCUAGAUUUUGUUUAUGAGGUCCUUGAACUAAGAGGUUUUGGUAGGAAAUGGAUUAACUGGAUUAAAAGUAUUACCCAACAGGGAUCCAUUGGAGUCAAGGUGAAUGGAGUUGAGAGUGAUUUCUUUAUUACUAGUAGUGGUUUAAGACAAGGGGAUCCUUUCUCACCCUUGCUUUUCAACCUGGUAGUUGAUGUGUUUGCCAAGAUGGUAGUUAAAGGGUCUCAAGCAGGGUUGAUCAAAGGAUUAUGCCCCAAUUUCUAUCCAGGAGGGGUAACCUGCCUACAAUAUGCAGAUGAUACUCUGCUUUUUGUAGAUAAUGAUCAUAGGGCGGCUGUUAACCUCAAAUGGGCCCUGACUUGCUUUGAAUUAGUUUCUGGUAUGUCUAUUAAUUACCAUAAGAGUGAAUUAGUCCCCAUCAACUUAGAGGAGGAGGAGAUCCAAACUUUCCUGGAGAUUUUCAAUUGUGUUAGAGGAAAAUUCCCAAUCAAAUAUUUGGGUAUCCCACUGCAUUUUGAUAAACUUAGAAGAGAAGAUCUGCAACCCCUUAUUGAUGCCCUUCUGGCUAGAAUGGCUGGUUGGAGGGGUAAACUUAUGUCGUUAUUAGGGAGGGUCACUCUAGUAAAAACCUGUCUAGCUAGCAUACCUAUAUAUAUGGUAUCUUUCUUCAAAUUUCCAAAAUGGGAAAUUUCCUUGAUCAACUCCCAACUAGCAAAUUGUCUCUGGAGUGAUGAUGAAGGAAAUCAAAAAAUCCAUUUGGCCAAUUGGCAGUCUGUGUGUAUGAAGAAAGAAUAUGGAGGCAUGGGGAUUCCAAAUCUGCAAGAUUUGAAUCUAUGCCUGAUAGGGUCUUGGAUCAAAAGAUAUAUUUGUAGUGAGGGAUCCCUAUGGAGGAGAGUUAUUGACUCCAAAUAUAAUACUAAGAGACCAAAUAUUCUUUGCUCCAAUGACCCACGCCCAUCACAAUUCUGGAAGGGUGUGAUGUGGGCCAUGAAAGCAGUUAAGAUUGGGUACAAAUGGUCGGUAGGAAAUGGUAGAUCCAUCCUAUUUUGGGAAGAUAUUUGGUUCGGUAAUGCUCCUCUUGCCACACAAUUCUAGGAUUUGUAUUGCAUUACUAAUAAUAAGAACAAAACCAUAGCAGAAACCUGGGAUGGGAAUACUCUUAGAAUUUCCUUUAAAGGAAUUUUGAUGAAGAGCUUAUGCAUCAGUGGUUUGACUUGGAAACGAUUGCUAAAUCAAUAGCCUUUAGGGGGAUACAACCCAUCUACACACCUGAUGUGUGGAACUUGAAGGUCCCACCUAGAAUACAGGGGUUUCUAUGGCUCUUCUCUCAUAACAAAAUUAUGACCUGUGAUAAUAUGAGGAAAAGAGGCAUUCCAAAACCCUUGGAAUGUGUACAUUGCAGUGAAAUAGAAUCGGUUCACCACUUAUUUUUUGACCGCGUGGUAGCUAAGUUGAUGUGGAAAGAAGUGGAGAUAAGUUUUGGUAGAAGCUUCCACUCCUUCUUGGCGCUAGCUACCUGCUGGCUCUGCAAUAAGAAAUUUGCUCAUUUAAAUGUGGUUUCUUCUGCAGUCCUGUGGGGGCUGGGCUAUGGAACACUAGAAAUUCCAUUGUGUUUAAUAGAGCUAAAUGGACUUCUGUCAAACAGGUCUGGCAGAAGAUAAGUCAAUAUCUAGGGGAUUGGGUGAAACCUCACAAGGAUCUGCAGGAGGGACAGAUGAAAAAAAUUCAGAGACCAUCUGCUUGGGAGAUUGUGAUCGCCGCUGGAACUGGAACCAAACUGAAAUGUCAAGAAAACCUGCAACAACUGUCCUGGUCCAAGACCAUCCAAGGAAUGGCGCAUGGAGGGCGCGCUACCCUGGAGCAGGUGAAGGAUGAUCCAAGGAAAGUGGAGGAGAUCCAUGUGGUCUUCAUCCCCAUGAGCUGAUUCAUGCUCGCCGGUCCUGUGUUGGCCUUUCCUGACCUAGUUUCUUAUGCUGGAAGCUUAUCACGUUAAAAACUUUAUAUGUUGUAAUACUUUUAGCGCUAUGUUGAACCUGGGUUUAGGCCAGUAGAUCGUUUUUUUUUAAAGCAGUAGAAACUAGGUCAGGAAAAUGGAACCGGGGGACUAGGUCGGAAAAAAAAUGCAGCCACCCAUCCAUGUACGGGUACGACCAAUGUGGAGAUCAAGCCACGACCGCGUACCUCCUCGUCGCCCGUAUGCUGCCUGCAUAUAAAGUAGACCCGGAACCACGGAGACGGAGCAUCUCCUCUGCUUGCUGGCGCCUGGCAACGUAGGCAGUAGCUACACGAUUUGCCUCUCCAGCGCCAAGCCAAGGUUUCCGCUACCCGAUAAUUCGACUCUAUAAAAUUCAGAAAUAAUUUCCCUUCCACCGACGGUUUCGCGCCAUGGGAAGCGAUGCUCUCUAUCGGUCCUAUCAUCCGUUCAAACUAUUUCAAAUCAGUGUGUCUGUUUCGUGGACCUUAAAGUGAAACGAUGGCAUUUUUUUUGGGGGGGGGGGGGAGGAAGUGCGGAUCGUCAUGUGUGAUUUGGAAAAAGCAAAACCAGGUGAAAACAAGCAGUCGAUUUUACUGUCCCGAAAAGAAAUGAGAAAAGAAAGAGGUGGCAAUUGAGCUCUGAGAUGAAGAAAUGGAAACCUGAAAAGGCUGCUGUGCUGCUCCCCCCAGACUGAAAAUGCAGCCACCCGUCUACGGGUACGACCAAAGUGGAGACCAAUCCACGACCGCGUACCACCUCCUCACCCGUAUGCUGCAUAUAAAGUAGGUGCCAACCGCACGGCAAUUUCGUUACAGAGAGCUCCAUCGCUGUUUCAUCCAGAGCCCCGCCAAUAUCUCCAAAAUUCUCCGCAGUCAGGGAAAAGAGUGGUGCUAGAGAGAUGGAUGGUAUGCUUGCAUCUAUGAUCCAUCCUUCUUGAUUAAUCGUCCUUGGUAUUUUCCUAUUGGUAGUAGUUUGUUGUGCUGACUAUUCUGGUGGAAAUUCGUGCUUAAGAUCACCGAAUGAAUCUUCCUUAUUUGUCACUUUUUCUAUCUUCCUCGUAGUAGAGCAAUCUUGUUUCUUUUUUGGUGAUAUUUCGUGUUCGUAUCAGUUCAAAACUGGUCGCAUUCCGGCUGAUUUUCCAUGGCAAAGGUUCAAUUGGGGGUUUCUUGGUCUUUUUUUGGCCCGGGUAGUGGCAACUCGCAAAGUUUCGCCUUGAUGAUCUCGCUCUGCUAUUUCCCUCUCAUGACACAAAGAUUUGGUCAUCUUCUUGUUUUUUGUUUCCUGAUGAUCUCGCUCUGCUAUUUCCCUGCCAUGUCACAAAGAUUUGAUCAUCUUCUUGUUUCUUGCUUCUUGAUGAUCUCGCUCUGCUAUUUCCCUGUCAUGCCACCAAGAUUUGAUCAUCUUCUUGUUUCUUAUAUCAACUUUGAAGCCCGCGAUCUGCAGACCAUGAUCCUCAAGACGGCGGUGCCCCUGAUGGCCAUGGUGCUGCUGGUCACGGCGUCGACUGUCUCCAUGGCGCCAUACGACUGUGCCUGCGCCUACCUUCGCGCGUGCUUCGGCAGCAACUACUUCCUGAUGAUCGGCGAGCUCUGCCAGAUCAACCUGGCCCGUCUUCUGGCGAAGGAGGCCGUUCUGGCGCCGACGCUGGCGGCCCGGCGCUACUACGCGGUGGGCGCCGUCGCGUGCUUCAUGGAGCUCGUGCUCAAGCUCUACAUGAUCCUGGUGCUGGUGAGUCUUACUCUUUGCGCUGUGUCCGUCUCUUCUCUUCUUUCUCAAGUUCCGGCUUGAUUUGGGCGCUAAUGAACUUGCUCUCGUCGUUUUCGUCAGUGCCCCUAGGCGUGUGAAUGUGCCUGUCCAAGGAUCGAAGAUGGAUACUUUUAGAGUCUCAAGAUGCGCCGUUUUGUUCAGUUAUUACUACUAUAUGUCGUAUGGUGUUUUAGUUUCAAUUCAACUUGCCUGUCUGGAGAUGUUCAUCCUUGGGUAAAAGACUACCUUUUUUAGUACUACUGUAGCAUUUUGUUGUUGUCUUGUUCCGUUGGGGUUUAGACUGUCUGUCUGUUUGUAGCAGCAGCUUCGGAGUUUAGACUGUCUGCAAGAACUUGGACGGGAUUUGAAUUUUUUUAGCUGAAGCCUUGAAGGUUGUAAUGUGUUAUGUGAGCAGCAUUUCUCAUUCUUGACGAGGUAGAGUAGUAAUUUGCAGCUUCUUGUUCAUGUGCGCAUACGCCGCUGUUUGAGCAAUCAGCAAACUUCUUCGAAAUGAAACAUGUGCAAUAUAUUUUUUCCUUGAGGCUUG
rnacentral:lncRNA from 1 species